UCAGGCCAGACACAACAACAUGGAUAGUUAAGGUGGAGAUGAAUGAAGGUGAAGUGAUUGAACUAGACACCAAAUACAAUGAUAGAAAAAAUCUGCCAUGGAAAUUGUUUCGUUUUUGGAAGGAUGCUAGUCUUAGCAAAGACAUGGCUGAGAAGUGCAAGCAAGUUCUUAGUCUUUGGGAAGAGGGAAAACGUAAAAGAGGAGUGUUGGAUGCGGAGCUGCCAAAGCAUGUCUUGGGAAUACGUCCAGCCAAAAUAGAAUAUGAAUCACCUCUGCACAAACAUGUAAAAGCAGCAGUGGGUUUUCUAGAGGAUCUGGAAAUAAAAAGAAUAGGAAUCUGGGGAAUGGUGGGAACCGGGAAGACCACAAUAAUUGAAAACUUGAACACUCGUGACAAUAUUAACAAAAUGUUUGAUAUUGUCAUUCGGGUAACUAUCCCAAAGGAGUGGAGCGAGGUAGGGUUGCAAUAGAAAAUCAUGCGUAGGCUAAAUUUGAAUCUGCCCUACUGACAUUGAGGAAAAUACACAGAUAAUAUUCGAAGAGUUGAAGAAAAAGAAGUGUUUGAUUCUUUUAGAUGAAGUUUGUCAUCCACCCUACCUCGCUCCACUCCUUUGGGACAGUUACCUGAAUGACAAUAUCAAACAUUUUGUUAAUAUUGUCACGAGUGUUCAAGAUUUCAAUUACUGUGGUCUUCCCGGUUCCCACCAUUCCCCAGAUUCCUAUUCUUUUUAUUUCCGAAUCCUCUAGAAAAAGCACAAGAAUAUAUUUUUAUUUCAAUUAUUGUUGACUUAUUCUUAUCUGUUUAUCAUAAGUUCUAUAUAUAUACUAAGAAUUGCAAAGUCUUAAGAAUAUCUUAUUUCUCAACUCGGUACUAGAGCAGCUCAGUCACGACAAUGGCUACCUCUUUUCAAAGUAAUCAACAAGCUAGUCUCUACUCUCUCUCAACUUCUGCUAUUUCAAAACCUUGCUCCACUAACGCUGAAACUAGAUAGAAACAACUACACCUUCUAGCACUCACAAGUGUUGCCUGUAGCCGCGCUCAUGAAUUGGAAGGAUAUUUGUUUGGGACCAAAGUUUGCCCAUCUCAAUACGAAGACCACAACUUGCGAGGAGAGGAUCCUGGUGAGGUACGUCAAGUCAAUCCUAGUUUUGUCGUCUGGAAGAAAACUGACCAGUCCUUAAUGAGUUGGCUAUUAAAUUCAAUCUCCGAGGCCAUGUUUGGCCAUGUUGUGGUCUCCCAUGAAGUCAGGAGUACCUUCGAAAAGCUAUUUACAACAGAGUCAAAAGCAUGUACAUUGCAGCUCCGUUUUUAGCUUCAGUCAAUUAAGAAGGGAUCCGUGAGUGUAAAUAAUUAUAUCCUAAAGAUGAGGCUAUGUUUGGUUCCCGGAAAGUACAAAAGAAAGAAAAAAAAUGCUAAGAAAAAUGAUUUUAUCAUGUUUGUCCUAUGAAAAAUAUAAAAAAAAAUCAAAUAUAAUUAAAAUUAAUUAAAAACUUAUGUAUUUUUAAAUUAUUUAAUCUUUAUAUUGAUGAGUUAAAAUAAAUAAAAUGAGUUUGAAGUAACAAAAAAAAUAAUUUAUCAACUUUUAAUUUAUUUUUUUAUUUUCCUUCACUUUUUCUUUCCUUCUACUUUUCCUUUGUAUUUUCUUUCCCUCGCAUUUUCCCUCAAAUUUUCCGGGAACCAAACAUAGCCGAAAGCUAUUGCCGAGAAUUUGUCUACUGCAGGACAAUUAGUUUCUGAUGAGGAACUAAUUUUGUACAUUCUUGGAGGAGUGGGUCAGGAGUAUGAUCCUGUGGUUAUCAGUCUCACCUCUCCAUGUGAUGAGGUAACUUUGCAACAAGUCCAAUUUAGGCUGCAAAGCCAGGAUAUGAGAUUAGAACAAAUUAACUCAGUUGCUGCAGCUCGAAGGAAGGAUACACAAAACACAUUCACUACAGAAAAACCACACUUUUAGUUGUGAUUCCAUGUUUUCAAUAAUGCAAAAUGUUAUAGCUACAACAAUUUGUCAUCAUAACAAAUAUGCAUUUACUAAAAAUAUUUCCACAAUAAAUUUAUUAUUUUAGUUAUAAUAAUGCUAUAAUUAAAUAUUUAUUUUUAAUUACAAUUAUAUAUCAACAUUUAUAUAUAUUUAUAUAAUCAAACCAAAAUUUAACUAUGAUUACAUAUCACCAUUGAAAAUUUUCUCGAAGAAGUGCAUUCUGUUGGUGGUAAAUGAUUAUCCCCAAAAAGUAUGGAAGUGUAAUUUUAUUCAUUUAAGUAUUACACAUUAUAAUAAAUAAAUAAAUAAAAAUAAUGAUUGAUGGACUUUUUCCUCGGUGUUUGUAACCAAGUUUGGCACAACUUGUAAGAAAAAAAAAUGAAAUAAUAAUUAAAUUAUCAUUGCUAUAAAAAAAAAAAAACACACACACAUACAUUUACACACCCAUAGAAAUAAAUAAUAUUAAAAUUUAAGACAAAAGAAAUUAUAACAUAUAUUUAAGAUUAACUUUUAUUCAUUCAUAUAUAUUUAAUAGUAUAAAAAAUUUAAAAGAAAAAUGAAGAGUAUCAUUUAAAAAAAAUAAGAAAUAUUAAAUAAAAAUUUUGCAUAAAAAAGAAAUCCAAGUAAAGGAAAAAUUUAAAUACCGAUUCAUUUUUCAACUGUGGACGGUAAUAGAAAUAAACCCGGAAUCUAAACAUGGCCCAAAACUAUCAAAAAUUUAAAAACCACCUCCGAAAUGGUAAAUACCUUACUUUCCACUCCCUCUUCCGAUCAUCUCCUUGUACCUUAUGGUCGAAUCCAGCCUCUGCAACUUCAAUUGCUGCUUGAACUUGUUGAUGAAGUCGUCGGCCUUCGCGUCCACCUCCUCAUCGUCGUCAUCACCCUUCGCCACCGUCGCUUUAGCAUUCCCUUCCCUCAUAUUCGCCGGUCUACAAAAGCAAUUCUCGUAUUGUUGGUAUAUGUUGAUGAUGUCCUGAUAACUCGGAAUGAUCAAUGAAGAUGAAAUUGCCUUGAAGAAUUUGGGAUCAUUGAGCUAUGUCCUAGGUUUUAAAGCACAUCGAACAAAGUAUGUAAUCUAUCUCUGAAGAAAUAUAUGAUUGAUCCAUUGUACAAGGCUAACACGUUGAAUGUUAAAUGCAACCCAACACCUAUGCGCCAAGGAACAAAAAUUCACCUUGCUGAUAGUGAUUUAUUUGAACAGCCAACUCUAUAUUAGAGCAUCAUUGGAGCUUUGCAAUACCUAACUCUAACCAGGCUAGACAUAUCAUUUGUUGUAAACAAACUUAGUCAAUAUUUGCAGGCACCAACAGUUAAUCACUGGAAAGCUUGCAAAUGCAUCCUUAGAUACUUAAAUGACCCUCUUAACUAUGGGCCUCUCUUCUCGCCAACAACAUAAGUGACACUAGAAGGGUAUGUUGAUGCAAAUUGGGCUAGUUCCUUGGAUGAUAGAAAAUCUACAAUAGGUUAUUCUAUUUAUCUUGGUGGAAACUUAGUUGCAUGGAACUCCAGAAAAUAAAAGGCAGUAUCUCGCUCAAGCACUGAAUCACAAUAUUGUGCCCUUACUUAAGCUAUAACUGAACUUGUUUGGUUGCAAUCUCUAUUUUUUAAAUUAGGAAUUGAGAUAAAUAGGUGCCCUACACUCUGGUGUAACAAUACUGGAGUUAAACAACUUACUUCUAACCCAAUCUUCUACUCAAGAACAUAACACAUUGAGAUUGAUGUUCAUUUUAUCGAGAAGAUAAGGUAAUUGCAAAAGAACUGGGGAUAAAAUAUGUGCCAACAGAAGAUCAAACUGCUGAUAUCUUUACAAAGUCAUUAUCCAUAUCUCAAUUCCACUUUCGUAAAGGCAAGCUUGCUGUUGUUCAAUCCCCACGGUCUCGCUUGAGGGAGCAUGUUGAAGACUUUUUUGUAUGUGGAAAAUGACCUAUCUUAUCAAAAUUAGUUACAGAGAGUCCCUCUAAACUCAAACUCUAUCAGAGCUCUCUCGGACUCUUUCUCUCUCUGAGAAGCUCCAUCCUCAUCCUUAUCUAUUGGUUAUGAUAGGCUUUCCCUUAUUCUUAUCUGUUAUCAUAAGUUUUAUAUUCUAUAAAACCACUCAAGUAAAGUUAAAAUAGACUAAGAAUUGCAAAGUCUUUCAAUGCUCCAGAAUCUCCUAUUUCUCAACUAUAUAAUAUCCAGAAACCUUUUUAAUGUAGCAGUAGAACGAACUAGAUAUAAAUUCAAUUAUUAUAAAGUCAAACAAAUAAAAUAAAACUAGAAGAUAAGACUUGAUUGAGUCUUAUUAUUCUGGGUUGUUUAGUUUGGAAAAGUCCUAGAUUUUGAGGAGUUUGAAUUUAAAAUAACAUCAGAAGAUAAGGCUUGACUGAGUUCUAUUAUUCUAGGUUGUUUAUUUUGGAUGAGUCUUAGUGUAUUUAAAUUUGAUUUUAUUUCUAAUUUGAAUUAGAGAGAAUAUUCGAGUACGAUUGGUUAGUUGCUAAAUUCAGGGAUUGCUUUGUUUAUUUAAGUUCUUGAUGUAAACCAAAUUUUUUAAUAAAGUAUUAUCUAGUUUCUCUUCCAAAUUCAAUAUGGUAUUAGAUCUUUAGUGACUUUGCCUAUAGAGAGCAGGUUACACGUAGGCUUGGGAACAUGAAGAAUAAAAAGCAAUCUAAAGCUAUUCGGGAACAUGAAGAAUAAAGAGCAAUCUAAAGCUAUUCGGAAGAAUGACACUCCCUUUACCGGCCACUGGUGAGAAAAAACCAUCAGCAAUUUUAAUUUUAUAACUCUCAAAACAAGGUUGAUAAGAGUGAAAGAGAGUUAUAUCAAAGGUCAUGUGAGAUCGGAUACACCGAAGUCGAUAAUCCAUGGGUUUGACUUUGAGAAAGCAUUCAAGGCUCUAGAACAUAUACCUUUCUAGGCCAUGGAACCUGAUCCUAUAGUGGAGGUACUUGAAGGAUCACAUGUGAGGAGUUUCUAAAGUAGCUCCAUCUGUUCUUGGUUGAAAGGAGUUUUGUUGGCUAAGUUAUUGGAUUGUGGUGGUUCAUCAUUGGUAGCACGAUAACCUCGAGGUCCAUUUUCAUAUGUUUUGUUACUUUUCCAAUUGGGCGGCUUCCCAUGAAUUUUCCAACAAGUUUCUCAAGUGUUACCAACUGAAUGACAAUGAUCACAUCAUGACCUAUUGGAUCUUCUUCAUGAAUCAAAGUGUUGAGAAUUUGGUCCCUUGGUGGCUAGGCUGAUCCGUCCUUGCUUAGAAAGGACAAUGACGAGGUGUGAUCCGUUAUCAUGACAUUCUUUCGUCUCUCUUCUUACCAAACUUCAAAACACACUUCUUCGAGUAAUGGGUGUGGUUAGGUGUUAAGAACCCUUUCUCGGACUUCAUUGAGAUUCUUGUUGAGUCCAACCACCAAGAAUGUGAAGAUCCUUUAUUUUGCCACAAUUUUCUAAUAAUUGAGGCUAUCACUAGUGCAAUCUCAUUCCAAUUAUUUGAACACGUUCAGUUUUUGCCAAUAUUGGAAGAGAAUGCUAGAGUAUUAGGUCACACUAAAGUUCCUUUUCCAUAACUCUAGAAGUUGGCGUUUGAUUUUGAACAUCUUUGCUGCAUUUUUGCUAUUCGAAAAAAUCUCCUUGGUUGCAUCCUAGAUUUCUUUUGCUAUCUUAUAGAAUAGGAAUGUCUGGCCUACUUUCGUCUCCAUGGAAUUAGUAAGUCAAGACAAAAUCAUAUUGUUCUUAAAAAACCAAGUUUUAUAAGAUGCAUCGUUCUUUGUCAGGGUUGUCUUCAAGCCUGUGAUGUAAUCAUCUUUGCCUCUCCCACAUAUAUACAUUAUUACUAAUUGAGACCAUUGGAGAUAAUUUUUUCCAUUUAAUUUGUGGUGAACAAAAUUCUCAAAACCACCAUUACUACCGAAAUUGACAAGAGCAGAAUCGGAGAUCACCUCCAAAGAUCUUGUUGGAUGUUCGCCAACCAUUGCAGUUUUCACCAUAUUUAAGUUUAGAUCUUAGGCUUUGAUACCAAAAUUUAGGUAACACACUAAUUGAUACUAAUCUGACUAUAUUAAAUGAUUUGGAUGUUCCUAUUGCAUUUUGGAAAGGGGUUAGAUUGUGUACCACACAUCCCACUGCUGAUUUUGUUUCCUCUGAAAGAUUAUCUCCACAAUUUCGAGCAUUUACUACUAAUCUUUCUAAAAGUGAUAUACCCAAGGAUGUUCAUGAGGCAUUACAAGAACUAAAUUGGAAGACAGCAUCACACGAUGAGAUUAAAGCUCUUAGGAAAAAUGGAACCUAGGAAUAGACCGAAUUGCCUUUGGGAAAAUCUACUGUAGGAUGCAAGUGGAUUUUCAAUGUGAAAUAUAAAGUUGAUGGGAAUAUUGACAGAUACAAGGCAAGAUUGGUGGCUUUCAAUGUGAAAUAUAUGUCAAGGCAAGAUUGGUGGCUAAGGGGUUUGCGUGGGAUUUACGCAAACGUAUGGAAUAGAUUAUUAGGAAACAUUUGCUCCAAUUGUGAAACUUAACAUUGUCCAAGUUCUACUCUCCAUUGCAAUCAACAAUGAUUGACCUCUUCAUCAAUUAGAUAUAAAAAAUGCAUUUCUUAAUGGUGAUCUCAAUGAAGAAGUUUACAUGGAUAUUCCACCAGGAUUCAAAGACGCUCAAAAAAGAAUCAAGUGUGCAAGUUAAAGAAAUCUCUAUAUGGCCUAAAACAAUCACCUAGGGUCUGGUUUGAAUGUUUUAAUGCAAUUGUUAAGAAAGUUAGGUACAGUUAGGAACAAUCGGACCAGAUGAUGUUUUUUAAACAUUCAUCAGAUAGGAAGAUCAUCAUUCUUAUCAUCUAUGUUGAUAACAUAAUUCUUACAAUUGAUGAUGAAACAGAAGUGAUAGAUUUGAAAAACGCCUUCCCUCGAGAAUUUGAAAUCAAGGACUUGGGAGCUCUUAGGUACUUCCUUGGCAGUGAGGUGGCUCGAAUUUCAAAGUGGAAUAUUAGUCUCUCAAUGGAAACAUGUCCUUGAUCUUCUGAAGGAAACUAGUAUGGUUGGAUGUAGACUAGUGGACACACCUAUGGAGGAGAAUGGCAAGCUUAAUGAUGAAGAAGAAAGCCCUUUUAUUGACAAAGGUCAAUACUAGAGACUUGUUGGGAAGUUGAUUUAUUUAUCCCAUAAUAGGCCAGACAUAGACUUUCCUAUUCGUGUGGUUAUUCAGUUCAUGCACAAUCCCAUUGAAGAACAUCUUAGUGUAGUUCACAUAAUUCUUCAAUACUUGAAAAUGACACUUGGAAAGGGGUUUUUUUUUUUGGCUAAAGUACUAGAAAAGGAAUCGAAGUAUAUUCUGACAUAAAUUGAGUAGAUUCCGUGAAUGAUAGAAGUUCCACCUCAAACUACUAUACCUACGUAUGGGAAUUUGGUCACUUAGAGAAGUAAAAAGCAAUCCAUAGUAGCUCGAAGUAGUGGAGAAGCUAAGUUUCAGGCUAUUGCACUUGGUGUAUGUGAAGGACUAUGGCUAAAAUGUGUGAUGAAGGAGUUGAAGAUUUCAAAUGAGUUUUCGAUGAAAUUGUUUUGUGAUAAUCAAAUAGCCAUCCAUAAUUCGGUUCAUCAUGACAAAACCAAGCAUGUGGAAAUAAACCAACAUUCCAUUAAGGAGAAAGUUGACAAUGGAGAGUUUUUACUGUAGUACAUGCUUACCACUGCAAACAUUCUUACAAGAGCUCUACCAAGAUAACAUUUCAAUUUUCUUAUAAGCAAACUAGAAAUGAUCAAUAUUAAUUCCUUAGUUUGAGGAAUGUUGAAACCCUAAGUUUUUUAGGAGUAUGAAUUUAAAACAAAACCAGAAGAUAAGGUUUGAUUGAGUCCUAUUAUUCUGGGUUGUCUAGUUUAGAUAAGUCUUAAUGUGUUUAAAUUUGAUUUUAUUUCUGGUUUGAAUUAGAGAGAUUAUCGGAUGAUAUUUUGUAGGUUGGUUAGUUGAUAAAUUUAGGGAUUGCUUCAUUUAUUUAAGCUCUGGAUGUAAACUCAAUUUUUUAAUAAAGUAUUAUCCAGUUUCUCUUCCAAAUUCACCUAUUGCAAGUGGAGACACCUACUCUAUUGGAUGUUGAUUUUCUGCUGAUUUUUUAUUUCAGAAUACUAAUUUUCCAUAGAUUGUUUGUUGUGAGGGAACCCAAUAUAUAGGCUUGGAUUAAUCUAUCAACAUUUGUUAAAUAUUACCUACUUGUUUUCUUAUUAUUAGAUUCAUAUAAUUUGUUACUGCUUUUAUAAUGAUGAUAGUCACACAAACAUAUUUUUAGAUAUAUAGUUAAUAUGAUUCCACAUAAAUUAUGAUUCCACAUCCAUUUAUGAUAUAUUUGUUGACUGUUUUAUGUUUACCUAUUAUUUUAAUUUUUUUAGAUGAAGAUGUUGGAUUAAAAGACCUUAAAUGGAGAGGUUUUGUAGUCAACUUAAAAAGACAAUAAGCAUGUCAGUUCAAGGCUCUGGCUAAUCAAUGUGUCAACUACUGCUAGAACAAAUUUUUUUUUUCUAGUCCAUCUUUUGCUUAGUAUUUUCUACUAUUUACAAUUGAUAUAGUGGCUUCAGUUGUAUUUAAGGGUGUUUUUUUUUUUUAAGUUAUGUUUGAUUUCUAGAAAGCAUUGAGAAAAGGAAAAGAAAUAUUGAAAAAAAAUUAUCCUUUUUAUGUUUGGAUUCUAUAAAAAGGUUGCAAAUUGACCAAAUCGGGUGAAUUGGUAAGAACAAAAAGCCUAUAAUGGAAUCUGCAAGUAAUGUUUGAUUCCCAGAAUGUUUGAGGGAAAGAAGAUAGAGAACAAAAUAUAAUGAAAGAGUUAAGGAAAAUUUAUAAUAAUUUUUUUUUCUCGUUUGAUUGUUCUAGCUUUGGUUAGAUGUAAAAUAUAUCGAAUAUCAGUAAAUGAGAACACUUACAGUUUCAUUUUCUUUGAGGCAGUUGUGGCCUCAAAUGCAGGGGCCUUUAUGAAACCACCAGAACCUGUCACUCAUAGACAAACAGCCAACAAAACAAACCAAAUAUUAGACGGUGAAUUUGGAAGGCCACAUGGAGUUGGAAAUUAGUAUUCCCCCACCCUGUUUUUAAGCAUGCAAAUGAAUAAGAAUACCCAUUUUAAGUGUUAGAAAUUGGGAUCUAAUGUCCAUAUGGGAAUACCUAAUCCAAACCUUGGGGAAGUUGGAUAAAUGAGUUACACAUUCAGUGAUAUAUACAGAUACACAAACAUCCCAAUAGAUGGCAGUAUAGCAUCGCUAGUGCAAGCGUGCAUAUACCUUUUCCAGCAAAAGAGUCUAAGUGAUCUUUUAACGAAAACCAGCAACACGUGCACAUGCUUUUUUUGAUUCAAACUGAAAAUCUGUGUAUCCUACUGCAUCAUUUACGUCAAAGAAUAGGUCCAAAAAUGCAAUGAAUUGGGCAAUGUACAUACCAGUUAUAAAUAAAAUGAAUAAAAUGGAGAUCACCUCUAUCUAUGGAAAGGGAAAAAAGACAUGAAAAAUAACCUAACCUGACUGUUGAGAAGGCUUUCUUUCUUGCCUCUUAACUUCACCUGACUGUUGAGAAGGCUUUCUUUCUUUCCUCUCAGUUUCACCUGACUGUUGAGAAGGCUUUCUUUCUUGCCUCUCAGCUUCACCUGACUGUUGAGAAGGCUUCCUUUCUUUCCUCUCAGCUUCACCUGACUGUUGAGAAGGCUUUCUUUCUUGCCUCUGAGCAAGAAGCUGAUUCUCAAUUUCUUCUAGCUGAGUCGUCAAAUCUUCAUCCCUUUUAAUGGGGACAAAUACAUUAUGCUGAUGAGCAAAUCCAAAAAAUGAACUCCACUCCAAUGACCUCCACCAGUCUGCCUCUCCUAUGAUCACAUUUAUACUAAUACUACAGAAUUCCUUGUCAGACAGAGUUCCAAGGCACGGGCAGUUAUAGAAGCUCAUCCAUUCUAAUUUUGGUGCAAUGGGUAAACCACUAGAAAUGUUGACCAAUUUAGGCAUGAAAUGAAGUGAUAUCUUCCUCAAAUUAGGGAGAUAUGUUCUCAAGGGGAAUGGUUUAUGUUCAGCAGGAUCUUCAAGGGUCACUAUGCUGUUGAUUUCAGGGCACCAUUCAGCCACAAGCUCCUCUAAGCUGUUGAGAUUUUCAAGCAAACCCAAAGUAAAAAUGGUAGUCAGCUGUGGGCAUUCAUGUAAUGUCAAGGACUUUAGACUAGAUAGACAACCCCUCCAAACUGGUCCCUUCCAGAUGCUCACUAAAUUCUUCAUAUAAUGAAGCCUUAAGAAUUGUAGAGACCCAAGUAUAUUUUCUCCAUAAAAAUCUCCAUCAUCUUCUCGUUGUUUACAAUUUUCUGCUCCAUCCACAAUGGUUUCAAUCUUGUAACAUUCCCCCAAUACACAAAAUUCCAGCUUCUUCAUAUUUCCAAUCCCAAAUUCAGAUAGCUUGGUGAGAGUUAAAUGGCGAUCCAGGAACAAAGCAGUGCAAUGCUGGAGUACCUCCUUGAUUUGACUUGGAAUGCCUUCACCAUUCACAUACUUCAGGCUCCUUGCCUGGAGUUCAAAUUUAAUAGCAAGUUCAUUGGGUAGUCGAGAUAUAAUGCGGCUGUGAUGACUGCCAACAACAAAUCUAAAGUGGACUAAUGAUGUGUAUACCGACGAAGUUCCAUUCCUCAUAAAGUGAUCAAGCGGUGCAACUUGUGGCAAAUAAAUUUUUAGAGCCUCCAACUGUUUUAAGCUGCACACUUCCUUUACAAUAUCUUCCAUGGUCGCAUUCCAUUGUUCAUCAUCAGGGUUCACAUCUAUCCUUAACUCUUGCAAUUGAAACAAUUGUUGUAUCACAUUCCGAGGAAUCAGUGUGGAUGACUGAUUUUUUCUGUAUCCAUGAAAUGACACGUUCAAGCAUUUCAACUUUGUCAGUCGUUCAACAUCUAUGGGUAGGUUUAUAAUUUUAGUGCCUUCAAGAUUGAGCACCUCAAGAUUCCCUAGUUUUCCAACUUCAGGUGGCAGCUCCAUUAAAAGUUCACAGCCUCUUAAAAAGAAAAUUCGAAGUUCGAAUAACUUAAAGAGAGAUUGUGGUAAAGAUCUGAUUCUAGUGUAGGACAAGUCUAGAAUUUGGAGGACAGGCAAGCAUUCAAAGAACAUCGGAGGAAUAGCUCUCAAAUGGUGAUUGGACUGCAAAAACAACACUUUGAGUUGUGAUCCAUGAGGACUCGUUGGUAGCUCCAAAAGUUUAUUAUUCAUCAAAUGCAUCUCAUUGGCUUUUUCCCAUGCCUCAUCUUUUGGUGGUUCAAUUAGUCCCCAUCCACCCAGCCUAAGAAAGGGUGAACAUGAUUCAAAUCUUAAGAAGUUUAAUAACUCCUCAUGAAUUUCCCUUCGCAUUCUGACAAAAUCAGAAUCUCCAUACUGAAAACUCUCUAACAAGAAGGCAUUGACAAGAUCCCCCACAAUCUGUUCACCUUCAUCAAAUGUCCCUACCAAGCUGCUUGUGAUCCACUCUUCAAUCAAAUGCACUUUCUCCAUCUGUCCCCAAUUCUCCAUGUCUACACAGUAUUGUAAAUACUUGUUUGUCGAACCUGAACGGCCCCACAUGAAUGCCAAUGCAUUAAAUAAGACUCUAUCUUUUGUCUGAGAUCUGUGUUGUAAUCCUAGUGUAUAAGAUGCAUAUUCCCAGAUCAAAACAUCAUUCACGUCUUUCAAAGCUCUUGCCAUUAUAACAACAGCAAGUAAAUGGCCACAACACUUUUCAACCACAUUUAUGGCGAGGCGUUGGAUCCCUGAAGAGUGCAUAACUUCCCCAACAUUCACACAGAACAAUUGCCAUGAUAACAGAUGAUUCUCCAUCCUGAUCUCUACACCCACUGCUGUUACGUCAUCAACAUUCUGAGAAUUAGUUGUAUAAACUAUUUUUUGAAUUUUCUUUGAGUUCCACCAGUUGGUCCCCAUGUCAUAAAGAUUUACCCUUUCACCAACCUCAUGAAGAAGGAUGAAGAAGUUUGUGCCUUUCAGUGUUUCAUCUAAUUUCCGUUCUCCUGAUGUGGAGGGAAACAAGUCCCGUUCAAUUGAAAAUCUAAUCUCUUCAAUGGUGGAACAUCUUGAGACCUCAACAUCAAUGACAUGAUCAAAUAUACAACAUUCCUGUAGUUCGCCCCACAAUUCUGAAAUAACUGUUUCUCCAUGGCUUCCUGAAAUCCCAAUCUUCCGAAUUUUAGGGUAUUCUAUAUGCUGUAAAAUUUCACGAAUAGCAAAGUCCACUGCCAAAUCAUAUAUUCUUUUUGGCGUAGGCAUUAUUUGGCCAUGCCUUUGUACAUCAAUCCUGCUAAAGCUCUUCGUAAUCAAAACUUGGGAAAAUAAAGGUUCAAUUUCAACCAUGUAUCGAGUCAUCAUUGUACUGAUUCGAUUCUCUAACUUAAAAGCAUCGAUCUCUUUCUUCUUUGAAGGUGCUUCCAUUUCUCUCACCACAUCAUUGAUCUUCAAAGUGUCCCGAACCCACUUAUAUUGAUUCUGCUUGUGGCUCUCUCCAUUCAGCAAGCUCAUAAGAGGAUAAGAUAUAAUAAGGCACACAAUAUCCUUCGUCCUGUUCAAUAUCUCAGCACUCUGCUUGAUUCUUUUGUGGACACUCCUGUCAUCUUCUAACUGUGUGGAAGGCCCAGCUAUAUUGGUUUUGCUUCUGCAGAAAUGAAGGAAAAAACAUUAGAGAGAGUUCAACUAGAAAGCAAUUUCAGAGAACUAUUUGUAGUUAACCUCUUAUGAGUUGUGACAAGUGUGCACAGUAAGUACAAAUACAAGAUUGUUUGAGAAAAAUCUCGAGCAAAACAUGGUGGUAAAAGAAAUAUAGAAGCCAUUUGCAGAUAAAAUGAUAACUUUAAGUGAUUUUUAGAAGAAUUGCUUUCAAAAAUUUACUUUCUCAUACGACUCCAAGAUGAAUUCUUAAUCCAAUGUUUGCUUAGUGUAGGGUGCCUUGGUGAGAGGGACCUCAAAUACUAGAGUAUACUAAAAAGAUGUGGGGCCAUUUAUUUUUGAACAGAAAAUUUCUUUAUAUUUUUGUUUCCAAAAGUUUGCUUUUGAGAACAGAAAGUCUGGUUUAUUUUGAGUGUUGAAUCAUUAUAAAUAUUAGGAAGUGGUGGUUGAUUAUAUUUUUUCUUGAGUUUCGAAAAAGAAUUAAGUGUUUAGGAAGCCUCACAGUUCAUUGGUUUUCUCACAGGUUACAAGUUGUUCGGUCACUCAAAAAAUCUAUGAAAAUUGUUGUGUUACUGGAAACUUUAAUGCAAAUAAUAUUAGUUCAAGAACACAAAAGAUAAAAAUAAUUGACAUAAAGAAACACAAGGUUUUAACAUUGUUCGAACAAUCAUGCCUAUAUCCACGGAUGAGAGAGAAUUAUUCUACUAUACUAUAUACAAAGGAUAGAACCAAAUACAAAUAUUGUGUUCCCAAAACAUCUCAUAUUUCCUCACUCCUUUGUAGCAAUACCCUAAAUCACAAGUCCCUCACUCCAUUGGGUGUCAUCUAUUCUUCUUCACAUCUCUAUCCACCCACCCUCUAUAAUUUUUACAAGGUCAUCUCUAUCUCAUGAUUUUUCUCCUCAUGACCUGAAAUAUUUAUAGAAAUAUUCCUAACAACUUUCCUUAUUGUAUAAGAAAAUCUAAUAUUUAAAUAAGAGGAAAAGUAGAUUUUGACUCACUAAUUUGAAAAAAAUAUAAAAAAAAAACCCCUCAAAUUUGUAAAUAGGUUUUAUAUUCAUUUAUUUAAAAAUAUUUUAAAAUGCAUGUACUUUUUCAUAACUUAAUAAUUAUUUCCUGAAAUGACUUUAUUACUUAUGAUGUUAAUAACACCAAUUAACAAUUUUUUUAAUCGUAAGACUCGAUUUGACAUUAAUAAAAUAAGAAAUUUUAAAAAUUAAAAACACAAUUAAAACUAAAAAAAAAAACUUUAAAGUUAAAAAUAUAAAAAUAAAAUAUUAUGCAUCUUUAAAAUUUUUUGGUUUUUAAUUUUAUUUAAUCAUUAUGUACUUUAGUUUUAAUUCUAUUUUAAAUUUUUAAAAUUUCUUACUUUAUUGUUGAUGUCAACUAAAAUUUUUAUUCAAUUUUAUUAAAAAAUAUAUAUAUGAGAAGAUGAGAGGCUUUAUAUAAUAUAGGACAUAAAAUCAUUAUUAACUAAGAGAUAAGAAGGAUUAGAAAGAUUUUAUUUAUCACUUGAGGUUGUUGGAGAAUUUUCAUAAUGAUUUGUAUCUCAUAUUAUAUAAUAAAAAAUUUAUAAUACGUUUCAUUGUAAAACAUUUUUAUCAAAUUAAAAUGAUAAAUGAAUUUUGGAUAAUUUUAUUUAAUAUUAUCAAGUAAAAAGGUAUUUCAGGAAAUAAUUAUUUAACUUAUGAAAAAGUACAUGCAUUUUAAAAUAUUUUUAAAUAGAUGAAAAUAAAAUUGAUUUAUAAAAGUUGAGGUUUUUUUUUCUGUAUUUUUUUUUUUAAAUCAGUGAGUCAAAACCUAUUUUUCCCUUAAUAAUAUAUCAACUUAGAAAAUAUACUAUAUAAUAUUUUUUACGAAAAUGAAUCUAUAAUAAUUAGGAAUUUUGGGCACUUUUUAACCAUCUACAUAUCUUGGAUCAAUUUCUGUUAAGUUAAUCUAUCAUCCUUUUAUGAUAGACACUUUUUUGUUUAUAUCACAUCCUGAUAUCCUGAUAAGAGAAUAAUCGACUCUACCUUCAACUAAAAUUCUUUUUGCCAUCAUCUAUUGUACUUUAUUCUCUUUGCCUUCUCCAUAAAUCUUCAACCCAAAACUCUUAUACCAAUUUAUUAUGUCAGCAAAAGUUUUAAUACAAAUAAUGUUAGUUCAAGAACACAAAGAUAAAAACAUCCCACACAAAGGAACAUGAGGUUUGAACGUAGUUCGACUAACCAAACCUACAUUCACGGAUAAGGAAGAAUCAUUCUACUACACCAUAGAAAAUAUUACAAAGGAUAUAACCAUUCUACUAUACCAUAUAAAACAUUACAAAAGACAGAAUCAAAUACAAGUAUUACGUUCUGAAAUAUCUCAUGUUUCCUCACUUCUUGUAUCAAUACCUUGAACCAUAAGUCUCUCAUUUCAUUGGAUGUCUCUUAUUAUUUUUCACAUCUCUAUCCACCUCUCUCACUCCAUUGAGUGUUUCUUAUUCUUCCUCAUAUUUCUAUUCACCUCAUGUGGCCUUUACAAGUCUAUCUCCAUCUCAUAAUUUUUUCCCUCAUAAACUAGAAUAUUUAUAGAGACAUUCCUAACAACUUUCUUUAUUUUGUAAGGAAAUUUAAUAUUAUGAUAAUAUAUCAAUUUAAAAAAUAUUCUAUAUAAUAUCUUUUUACAAAAAGGAAUCAAUAUUAAUUAGGAAUUUGAGACAUUUUUUUAACAAAAAUCAAUGUAAUGGAGUAAGUAUUUAUCCAAAGAAGCUAGUGGUAUUUUUACAACACAUGGGAUAGAAUGGUGACUAAGUGUGUUUGGGAGUGUGUCUAUUUGAACUCUUUUUAGUUAAAAUACUUAAAAAAACAUUUUUAAGAUAAUUACUUAUCAAGUACUUCUUUAAAAAGCACUAUAAGUGAUUUUUCAACUUUUAAAAUUUUUCCAAACAAUAGCUUUUUUUUUUUUUUUCCAAAAGUACUUUUUAUGCUAGAAGGAUUCUAAAAAAAAAAGACAAGGAAUAAAAUAUUAAUGAAAAGCAUAGGAAAAUAUUAAAAUAUUUCAGUUUCCGUGUAUGUAUAUUUUUUAACAAUUUAAUUUUCUUUUCCUUAUAUUUCUUCAAAUUGAUAAAUGGUAGUUUUUUUCAUUCAUACUUUCAUUCGUUCAUGUACAUAGUAUAUAUAGAGGGUAAUCACCAUUCUAAGAAUAGGAAAGAAUGAUAUAAGGAAAUAACAACUAAUAUCCUAAAAUCUCAACUUUCCUAAUAUCUCAAUAUUCCUAAUAUCUCAAUAUUCCUAGUAUCUCAAUAUUCAUAAUAUCUCAAUAUUCAUAAUAUCUCAACUUUCCUAAUAUCUAAACACUAAAUGAUAUAAGGAAAGCAUUUCCAAUAUCUCAACAUUCCCCCUCAAGUUGGUGCAUAGAUGUCACACAUGCCCAACUUGUCUAAAAAUUUUGAGAACACUUGACUUGAGACAGCUUUGGUAAGGAUAUCAGCCAAUUGAUCUUCUGAUCGAAUCUUAGGCAAUUCCACAAUCUUAUCAUCCAACUUUUCCUUAAUGAAGAAUCUAUCCACCUCGACAUGCUUUGUACGAUUAUGUUGUACUGGAUUAUGAGCAAUGUCACAUGCGGCUUUAUUGUCACAAAACAAUCGGAUUAGUUGCCUAGAUAGGUAACCUAAAUCCUGUAAGAGGAGUCUUAGCCAUAAUGCCUCACAAAGUCCUAGAGACAUACCUCUAAAUUCCGCUUCUGCACUUGAACGAGCGACGACAUUCUGCUUCUUACUUUUCCAUGUCACAAGAUUACCACCUACAAAGGUAAAGUAACCAGAUGUAGAUCGCCUAUCAUCCACUGCACCGGCCCAAUCAGCAUCAGUAUAUACUUCUAUACUCUGAUGAUCAACAUUUUUAGCGAACAAAAUUCCCUUCCCAGAAGCAUUCUUCAAAUACCUCAAAAUACGCAUGACUGCAUUCAUAUGUUGCUCUCCAGGAUUAUGCAUGUAUUGACUCACUACACUCAAUGCAUAAGCAAGAUCUNNNNNNNNNNNNNNNNNNNNNNNNNNNNNNNNNNNNNNNNNNNNNNNNNNNNNNNNNNNNNNNNNNNNNNNNNNNNNNNNNNNNNNNNNNNNNNNNNNNNAUGCUCUCGGGGAUUGCUUCAACCCAUACAAUGACUUCUUCAAUUUGCACACCUUCUGACAUUGCUUUUCUGACACCAUGCAUCCUGGUGGAAGAUCCAUAUAUACUUCUUCAGAUAACUCGCCAUGCAGAAAGGCAUUUUUCACAUCGAAUUAUUGUAAUGGUCAAUCUAGGUUUGCAGCUAAAGACAAUAAUACUCGAAUUGUGUUGGUCUUAGCUACAGGUGCAAAUGUCUAUGUGUAGUCAAUUCCAUAAGUUUGAGUGUACCCUUUUACUACCAGUCUUGCUUUAAAUCGUUCAAUACUAUCAUCUGCCUUGUACUUCACAGUAUAGAUCCAACGACACCCAACUGACUUCUUUCCUGGUGGACAUUCUACGAGUUCCCAUGUUUCAUUUUUCUGCAAUGAUUUCAUCUCUUCAUUCAUGGCUGCUUUCCACCUUGGAUCAGCUAAGGCUUCCUGCACACUGUUAGGAAUAGAUACAGUAGAUAAUUGAUUUACAAAUGACUUAUUUGAUUCAGACAAACGAUGGGUAAACACAUAGUUGCUCAUGGGAUAUUUGACUUUAGUAGACAAUUCAGGUUCAUAUGUGGGUUUAGGAAUACCUCUAUUAUGACGAUGUGGUAACCGUUUCAUGAAUGGAUCAGGUUCCAAAUUAAGAACACCCUCAACAGACGACGAUUGGUUUGGUAUUUCAGUGAAGACAUCUUCGGACCCAAAUUGUUGACCACUCAUAUCCAACUCACCAACUUCCUGGUUCACUAGUUCAGAUUGUCUAGAUUCAUCUUCCUCAGAGAUAUGAUAAUUAUAAUCGAGAGUCUGAAUUUCUUUAUGAUACUCCCCCUGAAGUUCAGACUCAGAUGAAAAAUACAUUGAAUCUUCAUGAAACACCACAUCCAUUGUAAUAUACAUUUGUCGAGUUGGAGGAUGGUAACAUCGAUAUCCCUUUUUGUGCAAUGCAUAUCCAACAAACACACAUUGCAAUGCAUGGGAAGUUAACUUGGUGCGUUGGUGCUUGUGUAGAUGCACAAAUGCCACGCAACCAAAAACACGAGGAGGUAGAUUUGGGACGGUUGGGGCAACUACGGCAUUAGUAAGAACUUGGAGAGGUGUUUGAAAGUUAAUUGAGCUAGAAGGUACUCGAUUAAUCAAGUAUGCGGCAGAUGUGAUUGCUUCUCCCCAAUAAGAUAUCAGUGUUUUUUAUGCUAUCAAGGAAGCACGAACAACCUCUAACAAAUGUCGAUUUUUUCAUUCAACGACUCCAUUUUGCUGGGGUGUAUUGGAACAAGUAGUCUGAUGAAUGAUGUCAUGUCCUUCCAAAUACUUUUGAAGAUCAGAACUUUGAUAUUCUCCACCAUUAUCACUAUGCAGAACCCGAACCUUUGCAUUGUACUGAGUUUCAAUUAUUUUAUGAAAUUUUUGAAACAACAAGUUCACUUCAUCUUUGGUCUUCAUCAAGCAUAACCAUGUCAUUCUGGUACAAUCAUCAAUAAAAGUAACAAACCAACGUGAGCCACUCAAAGUUGGGACUUUGGAUGGGCCCCAAACAUUAGAAUGUAUAACCAUAAAAGGAAACAAACUUUUAUUCAAAAUUAACGGAAACGAAGCACGAUGGCUUUUAGCCAAUUCACAAAUAUCACAACGGAAACCAGAAAUAUCACUCUUUGCAAACAAACUAGGAAACAAUUUUUUUAAAUAACCAAAGGAAGCAUGUCCCAAACGUCGAUGCCACAACCAAAUUUCAGAUUUUUUCUUCUCCCCCUCAAAUCCAUUUGCCAUCAAGGCUUGUUGCAACUUAUUUGAAUCCUUUGAUUACAAGUCCAAGUAAUAGAGUUUUCCCCAUUUAAUACUACAACCAAUCGUCUGUGUUGUUUGGAUGUCCUUAAUCAUACAAAAUUCAGGCUAAAAAAUGACAAUACAAGAUAAGGUUGUAGUGAUUUGAGAAACUGACAAAAGAUUGUAAUCUAAAGAUGAAACAACUAAAACAGAAUCCAAAUUCAAAGUAUCAGUAAGAGUUAAGGAUCCUUCCCCAAUGACUGGGGUUGUGUUACCAUUGGCUGUGGAAAUAAUUUUUUGUCAGGAAGGUCUAAGGGGUGAAACCUGUUUAGAAUCAAAAGUCAUAUGAUCUGUAGCACCAGAAUCAAUUAUCCAUGCACUAUUAAUAACAGGUGUAAAAGUAUUUAAAAACUUACCACCAUGAUCAGUAGCGGCUACCAAUGCAGAGGCUUUCUCAGCAACAUUAGCCUCUGUUUUUAUUUCGGCAACAGUUGCAGUCGAGGUUUUCUUGGGAUCCUUCUUCCGUUGACCACGAUUAUUAUAAUUAAUAACAAAGUGUUGAUAGCCAAAACAUGAUCUAAAGGUCCAUGGUUCAAACCCUCGGUUCCUUAUUGUUUUCCUGGUCAUACCAAGAGUCGUUGCUUUGAAAUUGUGGGAUAUCCAGACUGGUGGGACCAGUCUUAUUGAAGUGAGUGCAUUUGAAGGUUGACUUAUCAAUAUUAGGGUUUGUCUUAGGAUGGUUGAUCGCUGUCGGACUACCAUAGCGACAAAAUAUCCAGGAUUUCAGUUCCAUGGCUCUGAUACCAUCUUCAAAUUGAUAAAUGGUAGUUUUUUUCAUUCAUACUUUCAUUCGUUCAUGUACAAAGUAUAUAUAGAGGGUAAUCAUCAUUCUAAUAAUGGGAAAGAAUGAUACAAGGAAAGAAUGAUAUAAGGAAAUAACAACUAAUAUCCUAAUAUCUCAACUUUCCUAAUAUAUCAAUAUUCUUAAUAUCUCAAUAUUCCUAGUAUCUCAAUAUUCAUAAUAUCUCAAUAUUCAUAAUAUCUCAAUAUUCAUAAUAUCUCAACUUUCCUAAUAUCUAAAUGCUAAAUAAUAUAAGGAAAGCAUUUCUAAUAUCUCAACAAUAUUUUCUAUGGACAACCAAAGGGUAUUUGAUUAAAAGGGAACAAAUCAUCCCCAUUUUGUAAAACUAACCCUUCAGCUUUUUUUUCAACUUAAAAAAUACUCAUUUUGGAUAAAAACACUCAUUUUUUUCUUGCAAAAAUAACCCUUUUAUAAAACACAAAUGUAAAUAAUAGAAGUGUUGAAGGGCACUUAUAUCAAAAUUGGGUUACAAUUCAAGUUUUAAAAAAAAUGGGAGAAGUUAGUUUUAUAAAUUAGGGAUCUUUUCAUCCCUUUAAAUCAAUUAAUCCAAUAAAAAAAAUUAUCAUUUUUCUUUCUUUCCUUUUUUUCUCCCUAUUUUCUUUCAAUCUUUUUCCAACCAUCAAACAUAGCCCAAUGAUUUUAUAUUUUGUCAAUACUCUUAUUCACGUUUUCUUAAUAGUUUUGUUAUUACUAAAUACCACCUUGCUUCAAAAUUUAUGGUUUUAUACAUGUUUACGUCUAUAUGAGUUCCCUUUUAAAGAAAAGAAACUCUUAUUGUUAAUCCAUGCCAAUUUUACCUUCAUCCAAUGCACCAAUUUAUUAUUCUAUCUUUACAUGUUUCAUAUCAUUAAUUAAUAAAGAUAAAAAAGAAAAUAUAAAAAUUAUGAAAAAAAAAAAUUUAAAUAAACAAAGGAAAAUAAUCAUAUUGAAUGGAAAAAAAAAUCCAAGAAUAAAAACAAGUUGAUUUAAUAAAAAAAAAAUAUAACAAUUAAAAAGGUUUUUUUUUUUACUUCAAUUUCCUCAAACAUGUCCUAAAAAUGAAGGUAAAAAAAUUGGGAAAAAUGAGUUUUGACUCACCAAUUUGAAAAAAUAUAGAAAAUGAAGCCCAAUUUUUAUAAUCAAAUUUAUCUUCAUCUAUUUAAAAUUAUUUUAAAAUACAUGCACUUUUUAAAAAAUCACAUAAUUAUUUCCUAAAAUAAUGUUUUACUUAUUAGGUUAAUAAAUCCAAUUGACAAUUUUUUUUUUACCAUGAAAAUUGAUUUGAGGUUAAUAAAAUAAGAAAUUUUAAAAAUUAAAAAUACAAUUUAAACUAAAAAAAACUUUAAAGCUAAAAAUAUAAAAAUAAAAUAUUAACUUUCACUUCAUUUAAUCCCAUUAGUAAAAAAAUAUAGAUUUCACAUAGAGUUGGGAAUAUUUUAUUGUUGAUGUUAACUUUUAGUAAGAGAAUUAAAAAUAUUUUAUUUAUCAUUUUAUGAUUCUAGAGAAUUUUUUCAAAAUGACUUGUAUUUCAUAUUAUAUAAUAAAAAGUUUAUAAUCUAUUUAUUUGUAAGAUGUUUUGAUCACAUUAAAAUAAUCAAUUAUUUAUUUGAUAAUUUUGUAAUAUUAUCACGUAAAAUGAUAUUUCAGAAAAUAAUUAUAUGACUUAUAAAAAAGUGCAUGUAUUUUAAAAUAUUUUUAAAUUAAUAAAGAUAAAACUAAUUUAUAAAAGUUAAGGUUACUUUUUCUAUAUUUUUUUAAAUUAUUCCCUAAAUAUUUGUUGAUAAUAAAAAUAAUCUUUAAAAAAAUAAUAAAAAAUUAAAAUAAUAGAAAUCUUUCAAAGGUAAAGAAAUCUUGGAAAGAGAAAAAAAAGGCACUUCAAGUAAUUUAAAUGAUGCUUUAAAAAAAUAAAAGAAAGAAGAAAAAGAAAUCAAAUUUACUUUAAAGUUUAAACAUACUUCUUAUUGAUGGAUGAUGAUAGUAGAUGAAAUUUUUUGAUUAUUCUACCCAAACACAACAAAAAAUAAAAUAUGAUAAAAAUAUUCAAUUAUUCUACCCAAACACAAUAAAAAAUAUAUGUGAUGAGUACCUAAGAAAAUAUGACAAAAUGAAAAUAAUUUUCAUUUUUCUCAAACAUGACAAAAGAUAUAAAUAGAUUAGUUAAUUUUGGAUGGUAAGGAAACUCCCUUCAAGAUUUUCAUAUUUUAAAAUUUAAAGCCUAUUAAGAAUCCAUUUGCAGUGAUUUUAGGAAAUACUUUUAAUUUUUCUAACACUUGAAAUUUUUUAUUAUUCAAGUAUUAGAGUUGCUAGAAACAUUUUUUGGAAUUACUUCUAAAAGCACUCUAAAUUUCCUAGUUAGAUGUUGUAAACAUAAAAAUUUUAGUGGAUUAAAUUACCACUAAUUUGAUCUUCAAAAUGAAUAAAUAAAUAAAUAAAAAUAGAUAUCCUCUUAUCGAUAAGUUUACUAGAAAAGGAAAAUUAAUGUCAUAAUAUUUAUAAUAAGAAAAAUAUUAUUAUUAUUAUUAUUAUCUUGUUGGUGAACCAGAAGAAAAAUUAAUAAAAUCAAGGAACUAAAUCUCUUGAAUUAAGAAAUUUAAGUUCCCUACCUUCACCUAACUUUUUUCAAGAAAGGGGAUCAGGGGAGAAAUUUAGAAAUCGGAAAAACUCAGAGAAAAAAAUCCAAAGGCAACUUUGUACGAGAAAAAAAACUUCACAACAUAAGAAAAAGUUUUAUCAAAUCUCUCUGACAAGUUUGGUAAACAAUAGAACUAUUACACGUGUUUUUCGCCAUUUAGCAAGUUCACUAGAGAAAAAGCUACUCCAAGCCCUUGAUUGAUCUUCAAAUCCAAGGAAACAAGUUUGUCAUCAUUCUUCAAGUUGUGGUAAAAACAAAUGAAUUAGAGGAAAAAUAUUCUUUUGUAAAUAAUAUUUUAUUUGAGACUAUACCCUACAAUUUUAAUUUCAACAAAUACUUUGUUCCCAUUAUUUUUCCUAUUGUUUUGAUAAUUUUAUAGGACUUUAUAUGAAAUUUGUGCGUACAAAUGACAAAAUGAAUUAUCAUAAUAUUACUUUGGGGUGACAUUUGAAUUUUUUUUUUCUCUUUUAAGAUAAGCAAUGUGAUGAAUUAAAACACUCACGAGUAUCUCCAAUAGAGAUGCUAAAGAAGACUUAAAAAGUUUUAGCUUUCCAAGUAUUUAAAAUUAUUACAUUUAUAAAUUUAAAAAUUCAAAUUGAUUAACUAAGUUAUAAUAAUAAUAAGUUUAAUAUAUUAAAAUUGUGUUAACAGAUUGAAAUCAUGUUAACAACUAAAUGGAUUAGAAUUGUGUUAAUGAGUUUACAACAUUGAAAUCAUGUUUACGAGUUAUUCAUGUCAAUUCAUACAUAAUCUAGACUUAACUCAUUUAUUAAAUGGACUCGUGUGAGGUCAUUUGGAUAUGAUGAUUAAAUGUAUGGUAUUCAAAUCAAAUAAAUUUUUUCUAUUUUUAAAGUUUAGACUACAUGAAUUUUGACUCAUUUGGCCCGUGCUAUAUAUAUAUAUAUAUAUAUAUAUAUAUGUGUGUGUGAAAGAGAGAGAGAGAGAGGGGGUUAUUUAAUUAAAAGGGAUGAAACAAAAAAAUUCCUUUUUUAUUUUUUAUUUUAUAAAAAUACCCACAUCUUUUUCUUAUAAAAAUAAUCUUUUCUUUUAAAAUUUACAUGUAAAUAAUUAAAAUAUGGAAUGAAAUUUAUGUCAAAAAUAGACUAAUUAAGUGGAGUGGGUUAAUAUAUAUAAAGUUAUUUGAUUAAAAGUUUUUGUUUUCAAAAAUAGAGUACUUUUAGGACUCUUUGACAAUUAGAAUAGUUGUUUUUAGUUAUUUUCAUUUAUUUUUUUGAGAAUUAUUUUUAAAAUAAUUAUACAAAUACUAAGAAUAAUUAAAAAUAAAAAACUGCAUAAAAAUUAUUUUCUAAACAUAUUUAAAAAUAUAUAAAACAUGUUAAAAACAUUUCAAAUCCUAAACAUAUAUUUGUUUUACAAAACAUCGAGAAUUGUAUUCAAAAACUGUUUUUUAGAACUAUUAUAAAAAACAAUUACCAACGUAACAUUAACUCUUCAUUUGUUCUAUUUCUUUUUGACAAAAAUAACUUCACUUUUAUUUUUAUAAUAUGCAUAUAUAUAUAUAUAUAUAUAUAUAUAUUAAAGAUGAAUUGCUUUUCAAUUAAAAACAUUGGAUGAGUAUAGGAGAAUUCUUACCGAAUCAAAUUUUGAGAGUGGGCACGCAAAGCUCUCGAUGCCUCAACCCUCCUAUCAAAUUGAGCCUUCUUAUCCAACACCUUCAACCACUUCAUCACCCUCUUCCGAUGUUUCAUACUGAGUCAUAGUUUACAAAUGAAUUUAUAUGUGAAUAAAUUGAAAAGGAAAAUUUUUAAGUUUAUGUUUCAUUUUUUAACUUUUUGUUGAAAACAACUUCCCUUCAAAUUUCAAAAUGUUUAUUCUUUUAUAUAUAUAUUUGAAAGUUUAAAUCCAAAUACUUAAAACGGUGGAGACAUUUAUGUUAAAGAUGAAUUACUUUUCAAUUAAAAACAUCAGAUAGUAAAAGAGAAUUCUUACUAAAUCAAAUUUUGAGAGUGAGCACAGGAUGGUCCUGAUGCCUUAGCCUUCGUAUCAAAUUGAGCCUUCUUAUCCAACCACUUCAUCACCCUCUUCUGAAGAUCCAUACUGAAUCACAGUUUCCAAAUGAAUUUACAUGUGAAUAAAUUUGAAAGCAAAAUUUUUAUGUAUUUGCUUUUUUUUUUUUUUUGAAACUUUAUAGUGAAAACAACUUAAAAUGUUUGUGUUUUAUUUUUUACAUUCUUACUAAAUAUUAAAAUCCAAAUUAUUUGACUUUUCUGAGUACUAAAAAUAAAUUUUUAUUUAUUUUACUUCUUAAUAUCUAAUAAAAAUAAAAUAUUAGAAAUACAAAUAACUUAAUAUUUUAAGUUAUUAUUAUUAAGUAUUAUUUAGCUUUAAAUUUCAUUUAGAAUUAAGUGAAAAAAACAAACAAGAGUAUGUUUGAUUCAAGGAAAAUACAGAAAGAAAGAAAGAAAAAAUAUAAAAAAUAAUAUACUACUACCUAAUUUAACUUAUUUUAAGUGAUUAAAUAAUCUAAAAAUAUAUAAGUUACAAACCUAUUUUAAUUACACGAUAAAAUCAUUCUUUUUUAACAUCUUUUUUCUUUGGAACCAAACCUACAUGGCCUCAGAACAGGGUAUCACUUACGGAUUGGGAUCCCCUUCGGAAGACAACGGCCACCGCCGCAGCAACCUCUGCGAGACCUCGCCCAGAUCAUUUCUAAAUCUCACAGUAUGUGAAGACAACGGCCGCCUCCAAGGCAACUUCAGCCACUUCCAACGCUGAUAAAGCUGCUCCCCCUGAUCGUUACUAAAUCCCAGAGUGUCGGAAUCGGAAUCCGAAUCUGAAUUCAUAUCCCAUUCCCAAUCCGAAUCUGAAUCUGGAUCUAUAACUUUUCCCAGUUCACUCGUACCCUCCACUGUCAAGUUUUGGCUGUUGCUCUGCUUCGCCUCCAUCCCUCAGUCGGUAAGGUAGCUAUGAAUUUCCAUCACCAAUUUUAGCUGAUUUUUCACCUGCAUAAACUGAAAGACUGGUAGGUCUUUGAAGGCACAUUUGGUUCCUUCGAAUUCAACCCCGGACGCCUUCGUCCUGUACUCUAGAGAGGGUCCAAAUUAUAUAAUAUAGCUAGGUUUACUCCAAGGCAGUGAACAGUUAUUUAAUAAAGUUAAUAACUUAAUACUAAAUUAAUUUUUAAAAUUUAUUUAAUAAAAACUAUAAAAAAAAUAAUUUAUUUUAAAGAAAUAAGCUUUUUUAUAAAAAAAAUUAUAAAAGAAUUUGGAACAAUAUAAUUUAUAAUUAAAUAACAAAAUUAUUUAUUUAGACCUAUUUUAUAGCCGGGUGUUUUAGCUUUAAAGUUACGUUAGAAUUCAAACCAAUAAAAAAAUAUUAUUUUAUUAGAUACUGAACUCCUAAUUAUUUUCAAAAUAUUAAUUAAGUUUAAUAAAUAAUAUUAAUGAAUUAACAUAAAAAUCUAAUAUGAAAUAAAAAUAAUUUUAUUUAAUUUUUUAUUAAAAAAUAUUAUUAAAUAAAAUUAUCAAAUAAUUGUAACAUCAAAUAAUAGAAGAUGUAAAUAUAGAAUAAAAAUAUUUUUGAAACUAAAUUUUUUAUUAAAUAAACUAAUUUUAAUUAAUCUUAGUAACCACUAAUAAAAAAUACUAAACAAUAUUAAAUAAAAAAUUUGUUGUAAAUUUAUAUAUAUAUAUAUAACACAUUUUAAUUUUAAAAUUAUUAUAAUUAAUUAAAAUUUAAAAAUAAUAUUAAAUAAUAAAAAUCGAAUAUCAAAUAAAAAUUUGAAGCAAAAUCAUCGUAAUUCACCUUUAUCUUUAUUAUUUUAAUAUUUCAAUAACUUAAAUAAGAGGGUUGUACAAUGGGAUGUGGGUUUGUACACGUAAUAUUGUGCAUGACCCUUGUGUAGUGAAGAAUGGGUGAAUAGGGUCCACGUGUCGUUAUGUGGUGCAUCUCUUGUUCAGAUAGUAGAGAAAACGGUUACACUUAGUUCUCAAUUAAAUUACAUAUAUAUCAUUCUUAUUAGUUUGGUGUAAUGGGAGAUCAAUGGUUUAAACAAAAUAAGGAAAGUAAAAAAGUUACAACAAUACUUUCAUUCUAGCUUUUAUAGUAUAAAGAUAUUGGGGUGAUUUCCACAACCAUUGUUUUAUUCUUUCUACCCACCUAUUGAACAAGCCAAUUGAGGAGGUGCAUUUUUUCACUCUAAGGUAAUAUUGUUUUUUAUUUAUGAAAAUUUGAUUUUUAAAAAAUGUGGUUUUUUCAUUUAUUUUAGUUUAUUUUAAAAUAAAAAAUAAAAUAAGAAAUAAAACUCUAAUGUAACUUCUUAUGUUUCUCAAAAAAAAUAAAAAAAUUGUAAAAACCAUUUUAUCCAAAAUUGGGUUAUUUAUUAGGAAGCUAUGAUAAUAAACACCUCUCCCACAUAGUUAUGGUUUCUAUAGAACAAAUGAAGUGAAAUAUAAUAAUUAAUAAUUAAUUAAUCAUGGAUACGGGAAUGAUACGUACAAAUAAUUAUGUACAAGUUAUAGUAAAAAUUAAAUUAUAAGAAUAGAUAAAAUAAAUAAAUAAAAAAGAAGCAAAUUGAUUUAUUAAGUUAAUUAGAAAAAAAUAUUUUAUUAUUUACCACAUAAUUUGAAGAAUUUAUUUGUAUUAAAAAACAAUUUUAAAUUGAUGAUUUCAAUUUGUUCACUUAAUAAAAAUUUUAAUUUAUUUUUAAUUGAUUUAAUUUAAUUUGUAUUUAAUUUUCAUGAAAGUUAUUUACAUAUGUUUUAUCAAAAUAAUUAAGAAAAUUCAAUUUGACAAUAAAGAUGAUUUUUACUUGCUUUACUAGAAAAAUAAUGAAUUUUUAUAAUUUUAUUUAAUAAAAAUUAUUUUUGCAAAUAGACAGAAAAAUGAAUUUUUAUAUAUAUAGUUAUUUGUAAGCAAAUUGAUUUUUGUGAAAAAAUGAAGUUUUCAAUUUUCUUUACAAAAAUAUUAAAAACCAAGUAGGAAAAAAAAAUUAAUUGGAAGAUUACUUUUUACAAAAUUGUUUUAAUCUUUUUUCUUUGCGUUUUUUUUUUUACUUACCAUAAACGAUGUAUUUUCUAUUUUGUUCAAAAAGAUUUAUUAAAAAAAUGAUUUUAUCCUUCUUUGAUUUUUGUGGAAAGGUUUUUUUUUUAAAAAAAAAAAUUAUCUUUGAUUUUAUUAAAAAAAAAAAAAAGAGUUUUGAAAUUUUGUAUCAGGUUGAAAGACGAGCCACAGUUAAGUUUUGGUGAAGUAGCUUGAAGUGUGGCAGCUACCAUUCCUACCAUGACCAUCAUAUCGUAUCAAGGUUGAAUGACAAGUCAAUUUCUGUCCGCUACAGUUAAGUUUCGGGUGAAGUAGCUUGAAGUGUGGCAGCUGCCAUUAUCAAGGUUGAAUGACCAGCCAAUUUCUGUCCGAUGCAGUUGAUUAUUAGGUGAAGUGAAGUGAAGUGUGGUAGCUGCCAUUCCUGUUGACCAUGACCAUUGUAUCAUAUCAAGCUUGAAAGACCAGCCAAGAGUUUUGGUGAAGUAGCUUGAAGCGUGGCAGCUGCCAUUCACCAUGACCAUUAUAUGGUAUCAAGGUUGAAUGACAAGUCAAUUUCUGUCCGCUACAGUUAAGUUUUGGGUGAAGUAGCUUGAAGUGUGGCAGCUGCCAUUAUCAAGGUUGAAUGACAAGUCAAUUUCUGUCUGCUACAGUUGAUUAUUAGGUGAAGUGAAGUGUGGCAGCUACCAUUCCUGUUGACCAUGACCAUUGUGUCAUAUCAAGCUUGAAAGACCAGCCAAUUUCUGUCAGCUAUAGAUAAGUUUUGGUGAAGUAGUUUGAAGUGUCGCACUGCCAUUCACCCUCAAAUGAUAUGACCAUGGGAAGGGAAAAUUCUAUAGUACCUCUAUCGGUACCGUACCAAAGCCCUUGAUGCCCUAAAUUAUAUCUUGACCAUUCAUUUUAAAUUUAAGAAGAAAAAUCAACUCGAUCAAUUAAGGGAAGAACCGAUUAUGACCUUCCCUAUGGUACCUCUGUUGGUACCCCACCAAAAAUCUUUUAAGCCAUUGGAUGCCCUAAAUUACAUCUUGACCAUUCAUUUUAAAUUCAAGAAGCAAAAUCAACCCGACCGAUUAAGGGAAGAACUGAUUAUGACCUUCCCUACGGUACCUCCGUCGGUACCCUACCAAAAAUCUUUUAAGCCAUUGGAUGCCCUAUAUUACAUUUUGGCCAUCCAAUUUAAAUUCAAAAAGAAAAAUCAACUCGACCGAUUAAGGGAAGUAUCGGUUGUGACCUUCCAAUCUCUUUUCUUUUUCACUUUUCCUCCAUCCAUUUUCAACCAUUUUGGGUUUAUAUAAAACAAAUAAAAGAUAAAUAUUGAGAUAAAAAAAUAGAAUUGGAUAAAAAUAAAAAUAAAAAUAAAAUUGAUAUAAAAUUUGCAAAACAUAUUUAUUAACAAAAAAAAAAAAUCAUCACAUAUUAUAAUUACAUUGUUUUAUUUUUAACAUUAAAUUUUUAAUUUUACGUAACAAUGAAUAUAAUAAUAUUUUAAUAUGAAAUGAGUAUUUGCAUUAAAAUUCAAUAUCUUGAUAAUCAUAUGUAAAACAAAUGUAUUAAAUAAUUAGAUUGUCCUCAUAUUUUUUAUACCCUCCAAAUUCUAUAUUUUUUGAAUUUAAGGUUUUUAAAUUAUAAUUACAAUAAAAUAAAUUACAAAUAUUAUUUUGAGUUACUAAUGAUGGUAUUUUCAAAAAUAAAUUUGUAAUUUCAAGAAAUUAAAAACUAAAAGUCGGUAUGAAAAAUGUUAUGAAGGUACUAAGCAUGUAUUUAUCACAUUCUUCAUAUCAUGUGAUCAUGGGAAUUAUUCUGAAAAAAAAUAAAUUAAAACACUAUGCAAUUGUAGAGGGUAUGAAAAAUAUGAAGAAUUCUUAUAUUCUUCAUACCCUUCUUCACAUUUUUAGUACUCCCAAAAUUUUAUAAUUUUUCAAAUUUUAAGAAAUUUUUUCCACUUGUAAAUAUAAUAAUAUUGCUUAUUGGUACUAAUUAAGCUAAAAAAUGAUGGAAAUUAUAUUUUUAAAAUUUAAAAAUUAAAACACUAAAAAAUUGGAGAGGCUACGAAGAUUAAUAUAAGCAUCCUCACAUUCUUUAUAUAUUUUCUCACAUUUUUCGUACUCUCAAAAUUUUUCAAUUUUUUGAAUUUUAAAUACAUUAAUAUUGUUUAUUGAUACUGAUUAAUCUUAAAAAUGAUGGAAAUUAUCUUCAAAAAAAUUAAAAAGUUGAAAUAGUAAAAAAUUGAAGAGGGUAUGAAGAAUGUGAGGCUAACAUUCUUCAUACCAUUCCACACAUUUUUCCUACCAUCGAAAUUUACAAAUUUUCAAAUUUUCAAAAUUUUUUUUUCCACUUGGAAAUACAAUAAUAUUUUUUUUAUUAAUACUAAUUAAAUUUAGAAAUGAUAGAAAUUAUCUUCAAAAAAAUUUAAAAAUUAAAAAUUGAAGAAAGAACAAAGAUCCUCACAUUCUUUAUAUCAUUUUUCACAUUUUUCAUACCAUCAAAAUUUUACAAUUUUUCAAAUUUUAAGAAUUUUUUUCCACUUGGAAAAACAAUAAAUAUUGUUUAUUAAUACUAAUUAAGCUUAGAAAUGAUAGAAAUUAUCCUCAAAAAAAUUAAAAAAUUGAAAUAGUAAACAAUUGGAGAGGGUACAAAGAAUGUGAGGAAUGUUCACAUUCUUCAUACCCUUCCUCACCUUCUUCAUACCUUUGAAAUUUUAAGAUUUUUUUUCACACUUGGAAAUACAAUAAUAUUUUUUUAUUGAUACUAAUUAAUUUUAGAAAUGAUGGAAAUUAUCCUCAAAAAAAUUAAAAAAUUAAAACAUUACCCUUGAAAUUUUACAAAUUUUCAAUUUUUUUUUUCCACUUGGAAAUACAAUAAUAUUGUUUAUUGAUACUAAUUAAAUUAGAAAUUAUGGAAGUUACCCUUAAAAAAUUUUAAAAAAUAAAAAUUAAACACUAAAUUUUACAAUUUUUUUAUUUUUUUUCCACUUAAAUAUACAAUAAUAUUAUUUAUUGAUAUUAAUCAAGCUUAGAAAUGGUGUAAAUUAUCCUUAAAAAAAUUAGAGAAUUAAAAUACUAAAAAUUUGGUAAUUGUACAAAGAAUGUGAGGAAUUGUACAAAAAAUAUGAGGAUUCUCACAUUGUUCUUCGUACAAUUUUUCACAUUCUUCGUACUUGGGAUUUUUACAUUUUUUAUGAUUUUAAGAAUUUUUUUCCAUUGGAAAAUGCAAUAAUAUUGUUUAUCCGUAGUAACUAAGCUUAGAAAUGACAAAAAUUAUCCUUAAAAAAAAUUAAAAUUUAAAACACUAAGUAAUUGUAGAGGGUACGAAGAAUGUGAGGAUUAAAAUUUUAUAAUUUUAAGAAUUUUUUUAUUUGGAAAUUCAAUAAUAUCUCUUACUAUUCUAAUUAAGCUUAGAAAUGAUGAGAAUUAUCAUAAAAAGUUUACAAAAUUUAAAAUUUUAAAAAGUAAAUAAUCGUUUUCCAAUUUUAAAAACGAAACUCGUUUUUUUGUUUGUUUUGUGAAAUUUUGAUUUUUAGAAAAAGACUUGGAAUCAUCAUUUUUUUUUUUUUUAAGGAAAACAUAGAAUAAGAAAGAAAAACCAUAAGUGUGACUUCUUAAGGAAAAAAAUAGGUCUGUGAAAAAUUGAGUCUGGGUCCGGGGGUCAAGUUACCUAUUGGGAAGGUAUGGUGGUGAGUCAUAACACCCCUCUAAGUCCCUAAAAACUGGUCUCUACUAAAUAAUGUGAAACAAACAUAACAAUUAACUAGGAAAUUAAUAGAUACCAAUGAAAUAAUCAAAUAAUAAAAUGAAUCAUGUAUGAGAAUAAGCAAAGUGAGAGUGAGAGCGUACCUUGACAACAAGUAAUAGUGCGCUGUCAUGGAAACAAAGUUAGUUCAAGUAUAAAAUUAUCACAUGCAUAUCAAAGAACAAGAUAAAGAUCAAACAAUAUUCAUUAAGCGUAGUAGUUGACAAUCAGAAGAGAUCAUAUGUAAGGCCCCCAUCAAAGCCCAAAUUUAUCUUGUAUGAAUUAGUCUCAUUAAUUCCAUUAUUUUGGAAUUAUGAAAAAUUCAUUAUUGCUUAUUGAAAAUAAAGGAAAACGAAAAAAAUUAUUUUUAAAUCAAAGAAAAUUUGAGAAAAAUGCUUACCUAAAAGGAAAUGUAGCAAGUUUAUUUAAAAACGGGAUUUUUAGCUACUUAAAACCCUAAUGAAGGAUGAAAAAUGGUAGAAUUAAAAAAAUAUUUGAAAACUUGAGUGAGAUUAAAAUUAUUUGAAAGAAAACCAGAGUUUUGAAAUUUGUUUGAAAAUUGAAGUAUCGAAAAUUAUUUGAAAAUUGGAGUUUUGAAAAUUAAAUUUAAGAAUUGGAAUUUUGAAAAUUAAAUUUGAAAGAAAUUGAAAUUUUGAAAAUUAUUUAAGAAUUGGAGUUUUGAAAGUUAAAUUUAAGAAUUGGAGUUUUGGAAAUUAAAUUUGAAAGAAAUUGGAGUUUCGAAAAUUAAAUUUAAGAAUUGGAAUUUUGAGAAUUAAAUUGAAAGAAAUUGGAAUUUUGAAAAUUAUUUGAGAAUUGGAGUUUUGGAAAUUAAAUUUGAAAGGAAUUGGAAUUUUGAAAAUUAUUUGAGAAUUAGAGUUUUGAAAGUAAAAUUUAAGAAUUGGAGUUUUGGAAAUUAAAUUCGAAAGAAAUUGGAAUUUCAAAAAUUAUUUAAAAAUUGGAGUUUUGAAAAUUAAAUUUAAGAAUUAGAGUUUUGGAAAUUAAAUUUGAAAAAAAAAAUUAGAGUUUUGAAAAUUAAUUGAGAAUUGGAGUUUUGAAAAUUAGUUUUAAGAAUUGAAGUUUUGGAAAUUAAAUUUAAGAAUUGGAAUUUUGGAAAUUAAAUUUGAAAGAAAUUGUAAUUUUGAAAAUUAUUUGAGAAUUGGAGUUUUGAAAAUUAAAUUUGAAGAUAAUUAAAGUUUGGAAAGUUAAAGUUUUGAAAAUUAAACUUAGAAAUUGGAGUUUUGAAAAAUUAAAUUAAAAAUUGGAGUUUUGGAAAUUUAUUUGAAAAGGAAAGUUUGGAAACUUAAAUUUAAAAAUAAUUCAAGUUUGGAAAGUUGAAGUUUUGAAAAUUAAACUCAAAAAUUGGAGUUUUGAAAAAUUAAAUUAAAAAUUGGAGUUUUGGAAAUUAUUUGAAAAUUAGAGUUUUAAAAAUUAAAUUUGAAAAUUGAAAUUUUCUAAAAAAUUGGAAUUUUGAUACCAAAAGAUGAAGAAUUAAGAUAUCGACAUGUGGUCGUUGGAUUGUGCACUAGAUGGGUGGCCAUGCAAAAGUGGGGGCCAGGAUGCAAGGUGACUACUUAGAGACUGUGUGGGCUGUGACAGGCUAGGAAGGCUGCUUGGUGACUGUGUGGGCUGUGUCAGGCUAGGAAGGAUAAUGGGUGACUGUGUGGGUUGUGAUAGGUGUAUAGGGGUAAGCUAGUGAGCGAUAGGGUACGAUGGGUUUGGUGACAUAGGGUUAAUGGUGGUAAGCUGGUCCCAAGGUAUGGCUUAUUCAACUAAGUAGGUAAUACGAGUUUCUUCCAGUUUCUUCCACUAUAGGAGCUUCUUAAUCAAAUGAAAGGAUUGAGCAGGCAACAUGAUUCUUCCGGUCGCUUUCAAUUUCAUCAAGAAUUGACCACCGAUUCAACAAAUACUCCUUUAACUGUAAGACCCUUAUGGGAUUGAAGCUCUUGCGACCACCUGAGGGGCAAACUGCAUAACCCAUCAUAAUCGCCUAAAACUCUAAAGCAUUAGGUUUCCAUCCAUCCUUGUGCAUCGACUCAGAAAGCCCAGAAAUCUACUGGUUUCACUCACCCAACUGAAAAUGGAGCUUCACACCGACAUUCAACAAUCUCAUAUACUCCAUCUCAAACCCCGUACAACCCAAUAGGAGACUCACAGGAAGGUAUACAGAGGAACAGAGCAAAGACGAGCAGAGUAAAAGAAAAAGAAAGAAAAGAAAGAAAGAAAAAUAGAAAAAAAAACAAAUAGAAAAUCAAGAAAAAAUUAAGUGCAUGAAGCCUCAUUUCAUAUGUCUUUCGUGAGCUCGAAGCAAGUGGGGGAAACCUAAAGAAGAUUCAAAACAUGAAUAAAGAUACCUCCAAAUUGCUACACAAUGUAUAUAGAACAGAGUCCCGACAACCUGAAAUCGGCCCACGAGAAUAGCAGGUGAAUCAACAACAACGAAGUACAUAAAAAGAAAUAUCCGAAAGUCAAUAAAGCUCAACAUGUAAUCCAUAUUAUCCACACCUAAAUCAACAAAGCGAUACCAGGCAAACAAGAGGAAUGAGAGAAGAGAAGUAUGUAAUUCAAAAUAGGUUUCGUGACAAACUUACCUGGAGUUGCUCCUUAUCUAUAUUAUGCUCAUUCCCCUAUCACUGCUCGUUUCUCUUCUUUUCUCUUCAGCUCGCUCUCCCCGAGGGUGGCCAUAUUGGUGUGGAUGAAAGUGGUGGUUGUGAUGUAGGCGAUGUCUUCCAUGCAGAUAGAGGUGUGUGGUGCCACGUAGGGCGAGGCGCAGUGGUGCUAUGGGCGUGGCGUAAAGGUUGGUUCUAUACGGAAUAGGUAUGGAAGGCCGUGGAAGUGACCAGGAUGUGGGUAGCAACAAGACGGUGAUGAUCUGGAUGGGUAUAGAGGUUGCUAUAGAGGUGAUGGAGUUGAAGGUCGUGGGUGCAUAUGUGUUGGGUGUUGAGAUGGAGCCACCUACUGGUGUGGGCUGGGUUUUGGCGCUGUGUUUGGGAGCUUGGUGGUUCUCCUUAUUGGAAGCAAAAAAGAAAAAAAAUGGUGAUUUGGGUGAGGUGGUGAGGUUGCCGGUGGAUGGAGUUGUGGUUGCCCCGGUCUUCUUGGGUUUCCUUGGUGAGAAAAAAAUAAAAAUAAAUGGUGCUCCCCCCUUAAAGCCCAGAACCAAAUCCAAUUUCAAAAGCAAUAAUAUAAUAGCAAAACCAAAAAAACUAUUCUCCAAAAAAACAGGGGUCUACAAUAAUAAUAUUGUUUAUUCAUACUAAUUAAUCUUAGAAAUGAUGAAAAAUAUCCUCCAAAGAAUUAAAAAAAUGAUACACUAAAAAAUUGGAGAAGGCAUGAAUUACAAUUAAAAUUAAUUGAAAUCACACAAUUUCUUUUUCGACUUCAAUUAACCGUUGUAUUGUUUUUCCUAAUUUCAAAAUUUCAUCCAAUCUUUAAAACAAAAAAAAAAAAAAAAUCAAAUUUAGAAUAAAAAAUUAAUAACACAAUUUUCAAUUACUAAUUAACAAUAGAUACUUAUUUUUAAAUUUAUUUUAAAAAAAUUUCCACUUCAAAUAAUUAUGAUAUCCUUUAAAAAGAAUAAUUACACUCACACUUUUUUCACCCUCUAAUUUUUCUAAUUUUUUAAUUUAAUAUUUUUUUACCACUUCUAAUAGCAUUAAUAUUACUUAGGCAUACUAAUCAUCCUUAGAAAUAAUGGAAGUUAGCCACACAAAAAAAAAAUAAAAACACAAAUAAAUUUCCUUAUAUAUAUAUUUUUUUUAAAUUCCACUUCCAAAAAAUGCUUUUAAUAUUUAAUCCAAUCUUCUAAAAAAAUAAAAAAUAAAUGAAUAAAUUAAAAUUAAUAAAAAAAAUUAUAAUACCAUUUUUAAUUAAUAAUUGAUUGAUCAUAAUUCUAAUUUUUAAUAAUAAAUACUAAUUUUAAUUUAAUUAUAAAUUAUUUUUUUUACAAGGUCUUAGUGUUUAAACCUCAUAUCAUAAAAUGAGAUCACUUCCUUUUCAAAGAUAUGGUCACCGAUGGGUUACUUGUAGUAUUGGUUAUUUUGAAUUUUUUAUUCAUCUAGUGGUUUAUUCUUGUCGGUUAAAAAAUGGAGGUAUGUAACGAAAAGCACUGUUCGGUUUUAAGUCAUUGGAUGCCUAAGAUUACAUCUUCACCAUCCAUUUAAAAUUCAAAAAGAAAAAUCAACUCGACCGGUUAAGGGAAAAACCAUUUCAAUCUCUUCCCUUCUCACUUUUUCUUCGUCCAUUUUCCACAAUUUUGAAAACUUACACGUGGCUUAUUCUUAUCGGUUAAAAAAUGAAGGUGUGGUACCAAAAAGCACUGUUCGGUACCAUAGAAUGAUCCUCAUGGAAAGUCAUGAUUCCACGUUGAAAGACAAGCCCAAGUGUGUUCCUACUUACCCUCAAAGAAUAUGACUUUUUGUUCCAUGAUGAAAAAUAUGUGCCAACUGCCCUUCCUACCGACCCCUCAAAGAAUAUGACUUUCUGUUCCAUGAUGAAAAAUAUUAAAGGGGACCAGGAAAAAGACAAGACAUUUAUGUUUAUUUUUGAUGCUUGUACCAAAAUUUUAAAUGAGUUAUUUUUCUGAUGAUUCUGAAAUGAGGUGAUUGAAGACGGAACAUUACAUGUCAUCUAUUGACGAAGGGCCUUAAUUUGCAUUGGAUUUAGCAUCAAUGAGAUCAUGAAUGGAUGGCAAUGAUGAUUUCUUUAUGGGCAGAUGUAUAAAUUAAGGCUAAGUUGGAAGUUUGGCAUAGGGGUUCCUCUCUGCAGGCGCUAUUUUCAAGUCCAACCUUAAAUGUGGUCAGGUGGUAAGUUGUCUGGUUCAAAUCUACCAACAUUUGCAUUUUUUUAACCACCACAAGAAGGAACUAAGUUGAGAUGGUGGAAAUAAUACUAUCUUGACACCAUGGAAGUCAACUCAAGCCUCAAUCGUCAAGCUUUUCUGGAUGGUGUGCAGUGGGCAGUCCAUGGAGAUCUAAACAGCAAGAUCGAUAGUGGGAUCUGAUGCGUUUUCCAAGCCUCUUUCCCUGAAUUUGGAUCCUCAUCAGCAUCUCUCUCUCUCCGUUUCUUCAAUCAGGUUCAUUUUUUUUCCUUCAAUGUGAUUUUCCCCUCUCUACGAGUUGUUUGCUUGUUUGAUUUCAUAACAUUAAGUGACUGCACCUUAAAUACAUGAUCUAUUUCUAACCGAAAGGUUUGAGGGUGAGUUUGUGAUAUCCCAUGCAGAUCUCUUUUAUAUUAAGAAGAUAAAGCUAGAUAACAUGUUGGAAAGUUUUAUAAUUAUGUAGAGUUAUGCUACAGUCGCUAUUGCUCCUAUAGAGAAUUGAAGGGGGAAAACUCUACUUGUAUUUUUGUGGUUGAUAGUCCUUCAUCCAGUCCUGAAGUACAACGACUUCAAUUUUGUAGUAACCUUAUAACCAUUGGGUGUCAAACCUAAGAGAGAAUUGAAGAGGCUCUAAUUAAGGUUGGUUAAGAUGUAUGUGAUAGAGUGAAAAUGGCGUUAGAGGUUUAGAAAAUGGAUUGAGGUGGAAUGGAUGAGUGUUUAUGAGGAGGAAGGUGUGAAGAAUCGCCAAAAACAGGAGAGAAAGAUGAUUGAAAACUUUGAUUAAAAUAAUGUGAAAUAUGUUAGGAAGUGAGCAUGUUUUUAAACUUCCUCCUCAUGGUCUUUUUGCACAAAACAAUUUACACAAUCUAAGUCGUAUAGUGAAAGAGCUUAGCUUUAAAACUAAUGUAAUAUUUUUAAAAACAUGAUAUUUACACAAUGGUUUUGCUUUUCACAUUAAAUGGAUGUUUAAACUAUAAAAUACAAUGUUUUAAAAACUAGACCGGACUGAUCGAUCCAACCGUCGGCCGGUCAUCGUUUUGGUCCGGUUAAUUGGACCGGAUUGGGAUUGAACCUGGGUUGGACUUCUUGAACUGGUGGUCCAGCCGGUGAACCGGACGAACCAGCCGGUUCCCUGCGAAUCGGUGGUUCAAUUGAUUUUAAUUUUUUUUUUUUAAAAAAACAGCAUCUAAACAACGUCGUUUUGGAGUCCUAAGCCUGCAACCUCCAAAGUCCAAACCCUCCCUCCUCCCCCCACAGCAGCUGCCAGCUUGCCGCUCCGCCUGUCGCCGAUGCGUCGCGGCCUGCGACACCCAGUCAACUCCCGCCGGCAGUCGUUAGAAGCUGGCAACCCUCCCUAUUGCUGCCUCUUCCAGUCUUCCCAGUUCCCUGCCGUGGCAUUGGAAACCCCUCCUUGCCACUGGAAGCUUGGAAACCACCUUGACUGCCUAGUAACCCCCCACCUCUCCCGGCUGUAAACAUCCCCCACCUUCGGUGUUUCAGAGAAAAGAGAGGGAAAGGGAAAGAAACGGAAAAAGAAAAAAAAAUUGCCAUUAUUCAUGCAAUCAGUUUGGUAGUUUCUUUUUCAAAUAAAAAAUUUUGCCUCUCUAGUUUGAUAUUUUUCUUUUUGGGGGUUCAAUUAGUUUGGUAGGUUGACUAGUUACUUUACUAAUUUAGAUAGAAUUUAUUAAUUUUUUAAUUUUAAAUAAUAUAUAAAAUAAAAAAAUAUAUAUUUAUGACGUCACAGGUUCGACCGCCGGUCUGACCAAUAAAUCGUAAACUGGUAACUUUUCCGGUUCAAUGGCCGAUCUGAUUCUGAAAACAUUGAUAAAAUAUUAACUCCAACCCUAAUCUUAUGAAAUUGAUUAAUGACAAAUAUAGGUCAAGGGUUAAAACCCAAGCAUAUUUCAUAAUCUAAAGAUAAGUUAUAAUGAAGGAGAAAUACAACACAUUAAAUCCUCGAAUUAAAAAUCAGGUAGAGACAAAUCAAAAACAUAUAAAAUACAAGAACAAAAAAUGUGUGUGUGUAUAUAAAGCCACAAACUUGACAUUCCGUUUUAAGAGGGAGAUUCAGAAUCUAGAAUGCUCGGUUAAUGUAAGAUACUUGGAAAAUGAGAGGGGAUAGGAGUUGGUUUAUAGUGGAGUUUAAAUCCUUUGAAAUCUUAAUUGAUGAGACUAGAGGGAAGCGAAGAGGAAAAAUCUUGUUGAGAAACAAAUGUUUUUUUUUGUGGUUUAGGUUUAGGGAGCUAAGUUUAUCUCGUUAAUUAGAAGGUAUGUAAGCUUGUUAUAGGGAUGAAGAUGGUAAGUAAUGCAACAAAGUCCAGGUUGAAUAUGGUAGAGAGUUUAGGUUGGAGCACUGAUCAAAUAGGACAAGGAGGUACAUUCUCUGCUUGGUUAGUUCUAUGGAGGUUAAGAAAUUUUCUCUAUUUUUUCCUAAAGGAAGGGAUCUACCUAGGGGGUGGUCUAUUGUGGGUGAGAAGCUUCAUCAUCUUGGUGUGGUUUUUUCUUCAGAGGCAAGGUGCAUGUAGUCUCCUCAAGGAAGGUUGAGAAGCUCAUGGUAUGGUGGAUGAAGUUGUUUGGAUUCAGGUCGCGAUUGAGGAGGUUCAUAGGAGAAAGAAAUAAUUGAGGCAGGGGCGGACCCACCAUGGGCUCGGGGCAUGUUCUUUUGUUGAUUUAGGAAUUUUAGAAAGUUAAAAAAAAAUAAAAAUGCAAAUUUGUCCCCUCUAAAAAACUAAUUUUGUGUGUGAAAAAAUAGAUAGGAUAAAAAAUUAGAUAAGCACGAAUAUUGAAUAAAUUGAAUAAAAUAUUUGUUUGUAUUUCUAAUUUUAUUUAAUGUUUCUAACACAAUGAAUUUUUUAUAUUUUUGUAUUUGAUAUUUUAUUAAUUUCUUUUUUUGUUCUGAGCCAUGUUCUGAUUAAUUUUGAGAUUUUUAAAAUGUUUAAACUUUUAGGCUUAAUCAAGUAGUUGUUAAUUCAUGAAUAUCUACAUAAUUAUUCAAAUAUAUGUUAUUUAAUUGUUGAUAAAAAUUUAAUUUUGUUUAAAUAUUUGAUAUUUUAUCAAAUAUCAUUUUUAUUGAUAAGUUAUUUUUAGUUUAAUUUAAUGAUUUUUAUAAAUGUUCAGAUUUUUAGGUUUAAUAAAAUAUUUAUUAAUUUAGAGUUGACUAUCUAAGUUUUAAUAAUGAUAUUAUACUUACAUCAUAGACAACUUUUAAAUAAAAAAUUAUCACUAUAUAGUGAUUUAUGUUUAAUUAUUUAAAAACACCCAAAAAAUUAUUAGUGAAAUUAUUAAUUUUUUUCUAAAAGUUCUAUGGAAAAAUAUUUCUAAAAAAUGUUAAAAAUGUUUUGGUGAAAAAUUUCUUACUAUCUUUAAAUUUUUUUUCACAAAUAUUAUUUGACUUUUUUUGUUUUAUGAACUUUUGGUAGACUCUUGUCAAUUUUUUAGUAUUUUUAUUAUUUAAUUUAUAAUAUUAUAAAUUCUUCUUUUCUUUUGUAAUUAUCAUUAUUGAAUGACAUCGAUGCUACCAUUUCUAAAAUAUAAAAAUUAAUCUAUAUUUAUUAUAAUUCACAAAUUUUUAUUUUGUCUCUCACCAAAAUUUCUGGUGCCACUGAGUUGAGACAUUCUGAUUGGGAGAUGGGGUGACUAUUUAGAUCCAAGUCAUGUUUGGGUGGCCCUUUACCGCCUUUGAGAAGGGGGAGUGAAGAUUUCCUUAUUAAGGGGGGCCCUUAUUUUAUUUGACUUUAGGAAUGCUCUGAUGUUGAAGUAGAUGUUGAAACUACUCCUCUUUGUCACUUGUAGUGGGCUAGAGCAUUGGUGAGAUCAAAUGGAAGCAUAAUGCCUAGGUCGUUGCAAGUGAGGGUCUUUAUGUCAAUGUUAUUAAGUUAUGGUGGGAAGUGCCACCAUGGCUCUCUCAAGUGGUGUUGAAAGGUGCGACCAGUAGCCUGAAGGUUAGGAGUGAAGGAGAGGGUUAGGCAUGCACUGGAGAGAGCAUGAGGAGGCAGGCAUUGUUUGCGGAAAAGGAAGUAGAGGGCGUGUGGUCUUUUUGAUUGUUGGAGUAGGACGAUAGGAGGGGGCCGGGGCAGCUGAUGGUUCUGAAAGGGUGCAUGCAGAGGGGCUAGGGGGUGAUUAUGAUAGUGGGAGAACAAUGACAAUGGAGGCUGUUUAGACUUGGUGUGUUUUAAGGAAGUUGAAGGUGAGGUUGUAAACUUGUAAUUGGAAAUGAGGGUUGGGCCUUGAAGAUUUGAAAGGAGCCCACCUUCUUAAUGAUAGCUUUAGUGAAGAGGCAAGGUGUUGUAGAGGUCCAUUAGAGAAAAAAGAAGUUUUUUGUGGCUUGGUCGGGUCUGUUUGGGCGGAGGGGCCUUGUACAAUGAGAGAUCCUUAGGAUUUUUAAAGGGAGAAUUAUGUUUUGGGGGUAGAUGAGCCUCCAAAUUAACAAAAGGUUCAUGUAACUCUUCAAAUUGAGCUCAAGACCCAAUGAAAGUAUGAAAAUUGAGUUGAAGGAUAUCAUCAUUCAGUAUUUCCAAAAAUGCCCUUUGUUGAUUUUGAGAAAAAAAAUUAAUAUUUUUGAAAAAUACUUUUAUUUAAUUUAAUAUUUUUUAAAAAUACUUUUAUGUAAUUUAAUAUUUUUUAAAAUACUUUUAUUUAAUUUAAUAUUUUUUAAAAAUAAAUUUAUUUAAUUUAAUAUUUUUUUAAAAAUAUUUAAUUUAAUAUUUUUUUUAAAUACUUUAAUUUAAUUUAAUAUUUUUGAAAAAAAAAUUAAUUUAAUAUUUUUGAAAAAAAAUUAUUUAAUUUAAUAUUUUUGAAAACUACUUUUAUUUAAUUUAGUAUUUUUGAAAAAAAAUUAUUGAAAAAAAAUUAUUUAACUUAAUUUUAUAAAAUAUUUUAUAUGUGUUCUAAAAGGGUAUAUUUGUCUGUUACUAUUUCAUAUCCUUCAACUCAAUUUGAAGAGUUAUAUGGACAUUUUAUUAAUUUGGAGGUCCAUCUACCCCCAAAAGAUAAUUCUCCCAUUUUUAAAAGGAAGAAUUACUGUAUAGGAUGGACCGAGUGUGAUUAUGACUAAGAAGAGUCAUCUACUUUGAUAAUUCCUAAAGAGGACAGUAUAAGAGAGAAAAUUCUCUCCAAGUCCACAUUUCGUACUAUAAUGUGCUAAAAUACCAUAAAUGUCAUUCAACUAAAAGCUUUUGGAACUCAAAGCAUUUUAAACAAUUUACUUUUGUUUUAAGGUGUGUGGGUCCCAUGUUAGUUGUAAUCAAUGACACCAAAUUUUUAAAUCAAAAUUUUGGGUUUUAACUAUUACAAUUAUUAUAUACAAUGAUAGUAUAAUUUGUUAUUUAAAUUUGUUAUUUAGAACCAAAAUACUUCUAAGAAAUAUUUUCAAAAUAACAUCUAAUGUGUUUUCUUUUUACAUAUUUCUAUUUUUAUUUCUAAUUUUUAAUUUUAUUAAAAACAAAACAAGUUUUACAAUUAUGUAAUAAGAAUGAUGAACUUUUCAUGUACAUAUUUUUAAUUUUAAAUUGAUAAAUCAUGUUUUUGUAUUUAGUUCGAGCAAGAUAGAAUGUUUAAUUUUUUAUUUGGAUUGUCUAAAAAGAAUAAGAAAAUGAUGGAGAAUGUUUAACCGUUUUUUAUUUUAAUAAUAAAAUAAUUUUAAAAAAUUAUAUGAUUUUUCUACAUUUUUUUUUCCUUUGCAUAGUGUUUUUUCUUAAUUUUUGUAUAUAAUUUUUUUUCAAUGUAUCGAGUGGACGAUGUUAAUACAUUGAAUAUCAAUGAGGUAUAAAAAAAGAUCUUUAAGACUAUAACUUUUAUUAUAAAAUACAGUUAUGAUAAAAAUAUAUUAUAGUUACAGUAUAAAUAUACCUAUAUUACAAUAAAACCUAAUUGGGAAUUUCAACCUUUUUUAUUUUUUAUAAAAGUAAUAGUUUUGUAUAAUCAUAGUAUACUCCAUAAUAUACUUAUAUUAGGAAUCAUUUUUGAAACCAAAUAAAAUACUAAUUUGAAUUUGUAUGAGACUUGUAGGUUUUUAUUUUUAUUAUAUAUAUAUAUAUAUAUAUAUAUAUAUAAAUUAUUAAACAAUUUUAAUACAUUGAGUGAAUGAUAUUAAUAUGCUAAUAUGAUGUGUUAAUACCAAUGCCAAUGAGGUUUAAAUAGUUAUUUCUAUAAUUAUUAUACUUAUCACAAAAUAUAGGUACUACAUAAAUGCAUAAUAUUUACAAUACUAAUAUAUUAACGUUACAAUACAUUACAAUAUAAUUUAACUUAUUCUUUUUUGAAUUUUUUUCAUGUGCUAUAUUACUAAAUGAAUAGUUGUGUGUUAUUCAAUUCAUAAGUGCCUGUGAAAAAUUAUUUAUCAAAAAAAAAAUAAUAAUAAAAUUGAUGAGUGCUUGUGAAAAAUAAUUGCUCAUUCUAUUAGGGUAACAAAGUUUUUAAUUGUAUGUGACAUAUAUAAAACGACAAAAUAACCUAUAGUGUGGUUUUUAUUUAAGAGAUAUUAAAAAUUAAUUUUUUUUACCAGUUCUUUAAAAAAUCUUAAUUUUUUUUUGGAAAAUAAGAACUUGAAAAAAAAAGCAUAUUUAAAAAAAACAUUAAUUUUUUAUAAGAAAAUAAGAAAAAAUUAUAUAGUUUUUUAUUUUAAUCUUUUAUUAUCUUUGACACACAUAUAUAUAUAUAUAUAUCCUAUUUUCCUUUUUUUUUUUCCUUCACUUUUUCAACUUUGCCAAUUUUUUUCGUAACAAAAGAGUAACAAUGAUAUGAAAAAUUUAUUAAAUAUACUAUAUUGAUGUCAUAAUACAAUAUAAUUUAUGAUGUUAAUACAAAAUAAUAUAUUGGAUUAAUAAUACAUGAUUUAUUAUAUUAUUUUUAUGGAAAUUCUAACAUUCAAGUAAAUAAUAAAAUUAUCUUUAUCUUUGAUUUUUCUAAGUAAAAUUUUGUUAGAUAGUAGGUUCAUUGUUCAAAAGUGAAAAACAAUUUUUUGGGAUACAAGAUAUACAUUAUUGAUUGUACUUAUCAUCAUGACAAAUUUAUUUAUGAAUAAUAUAAAAAACCACAUUCAAAGGGUAAAAUUGUCCGAUGAUAAAUUUUGUCCUUUAUAAGAAUUCUUAAGAUAAGUACCCUUACUGGUUAUUAUCAUCUCCAACCCACCCUUUUUAAUGACUUUCCCUUUUUAAAAAAUGAGAGGGCUUCAUUGGUGUUUGGUGCUAUGGUUGGGUCCUUUGAUGCUAGCGGAAGUUUUAUCUCUUUCUCAAUGCCAACUCUUUCAUCAUUGAUCAAUCAUUCCUUGUUCAAUGAUGAAGCUAAAGGAAAUUACUAGAUUUCAAGGUUUUUUUUUUUUUUUUUCGGUAUUCUCCUUGGGGAUGAGGCUUCUUGUCCUUUUGGUGUGAUUUGAGGUUCAGUGAGGAUGAUUUGUCAAUCCUAGUUAGAAGGAGGGGAUGAUUGGAAACGCUCCUCGGUUUAUUGAUUCAAGCUCGUUGAGGAUGAUUUUGGCUGAUGAGAGUUCGAUGGUGUUUUUAACUUUAUGGGGAAGGAGAUUACAAAUAGGGAGGUUGGGCAAGAUAGAAUGAAGGGGAAGGUCGAUGGUUAUGCUAUAGGGGAUGAGGUUUAAUUGGAGAAUUAAUCUUUUAGUAGGUUGGUUACUUUCGCUAAUUUCUUAGGCAUGCAAUAAAGGGUUUUUGAGGAAGAGAUUUAGAUACUCCUUAAUAGAAUUAGGGUAAGAAAGAGAUAAGAGGCUAGGUGCAUGGUAGAAGAAAAUGUAAAUCUGUAUCUUCACAUUUUGAAGGAGAGCUCAAGAAGCUCAAGUGGUUAGUAAACUGUAAUAGAGCAGGAUUAGAGGGUGGAAGGGGCAGAGAAGGUAAGAUUAUUUCAUCAUGUGAGAGAUAAAGUUAAGACUUUUAUCUUGGAACAUGAGAGAAGCUAAUGACAAUCAUGAAAGGACGAUUAUAAAGUCUUUGAUUACAUGGCAGAAAGUAGACUUGGUCUGUAUACAAGAAACUAAAAGCUAAGAUCUAUUGACUAGUCUUAUGCGUAGUUUAGCAGCUGGUAGUUUCUUAAAGUGGGGUGCAGUGGAUUCAAGGGCUACUUCAGGUAGGGUCUUGGUUUUUUUUGGGACGAUAGGGUGUUGUAUUUGGUAGGCAUGGAAGUAGGUGACUACUAGAUUUCAUGCCUUUUUAAGAAUUAUGAUGAAGGGUUUGUUUGGAUAUUCAUGAGGGUGUAUGGUCCCUCCCUUGGGAAAGACAAUAAGGGCUUAUGGGUAGAGUUGGGGGCCAUUAGAGGGUUGUGGAAUAACCCAUGGUGCAUUGAAGGUGAUUUUAAUAUUAUCAAAUCUCUAGGGGAGCAUAGUAGAGUCAAUAUCUAUCUACUACCAUGAGAGGUUUUUCACAAAUCAUUGAGGACUUUUAGUUAAGAGAUCUUUUUUGAUUGGCAAAGGGGAGGGGGGGAGGUGGUUUGAAUAAUUAGUCCUCAUCGAGAUUAAACAAUUUUCCGGUAUUAGGGAGUUAGGAAGGCCACUUUAGCUGUAUAGUGCAAUGUAUCUAACCUAGACUUGUGUCAGAUCAUUCACUAAUUUUGUUGGACUUGGAGGGGGGGGGGGGGGGGGGGGGUGUUGAAGAGAGGCUCUACUUCUUUUAGAUUCGAAAAUAUUUGCCUUAAGAAGAAGGAUUUAAAGAUAUUCUUAAAAGACCGUGGAUGGGGUUCGGUUUUAAGGGUUCUUAUAGCUGCAUGACUAUUAAAAUUUAAAGGGGAAGGGGGUUUGAAGAGAGGCUCUACUUCUUUUAGAUUUGAAAAUAUCUACCUUAAGAAGAAGGAUUUAAAGAUAUUCUUAAAAGACCGUGGAUGGGGUUCGAUUUUAAGGGUUCUUAUAGCUUGAUGACUAUUAAAAUUUAAAGUUUUGAAGAUCAAAUCUAUUAACUUACAAAGAAUAGUACAUAAAUUUACUUAAAUGUUAUCUUCUCUUAAGGGACUUAUUCUAGCCAACACUUGCACAUCAAUGCAAUACUCUCUUGUACUCCUUAAUGGAUCACCCUAAUUUCAUGUUAAGGCUUAGUGAAGCAAAGCACCAAUCCUUGCUUUUCUACAUACCUUAAAGGGCUUUAAAGAAACUUCUUAAAAGAUUUCUAAGAAUUUGGAUCCUAAAGCAAAAUAAUGGAAGAUAGUUUUUUUCUUCAAGGGUUUUUUUUCCCGAGUUUUCUUUUUUUCUAAUGUGUGUGUGUGUGUGUGUAUAGAUAGAUAAUUUUUAGAAAAAUAAAAUAAAAUUGGUUAGGCACUUGUAUGCCCAAGGACAUUUGAGCAUCCUAAGUUGGAUGCUCAAAUAUUCUCCCUGGGUUUCCAUUUUUUCAUGCUCAAAGCUAACUUAAUCACUCCCAUUUUCUUUCAAGGAUUUAUUGUGCAUCCUUUUAGCCUUUACUUGACUAAAACUCAACUCUAGUUUUCCUUUAUUUUUACCCAUAUCGAAUAACUUGCAUUACAUGAGCCUUAGAAUGUAGUUUUCAACUAUUUCUCAAGGUAAAUAAGUUCCAAUGGAAUUAGGCAAUCUUGACUUAAUGCAUUUUUGGAGCAAAUUACCAAUGUAACAAUUACAUUAACUCACCUCUUUUGUCUUUUAUUAGGCAUUAAUCAAGAGUGAACCUCACAUUAUAAUGGUUUUACAAAUCUAAUUAAUGCUUACCAAGUUAGCUUUCGAGUCCUAAACAUAAAACAUGUGAAUAAGAAUGGGUAACUAUAGGCUUUAAUAGUCCCUUGCCUUCCAUGAUCUUUAAUGGUAUUCCAAUAUGGAAAAGUUACAUUUCCCUUUCUAAUGCUUCAAAGGCAAUAAGCUAAGACCUUAUUCUAGUCAAGUGCUUAGAUACUCACUAUCCAAGUACCAUGUAUAAGACUCUUUAGCUCAAUGGAUCAUAUACACAACUAGAGACUUGAGACUAUCCUUUUUAACCUAACCCUUUUCAUCUUAGACUUGGACAUCUUUUCAACAUGAUGAAUUUAGGUCUUAGACUGAUUUUGUACUAUAUUUUAGCUUGAAAUUAACAUUUCUAUUUAACACUCUAUUUUUCAAUUUAUGUGACACUCUCAUAAGUUGAUUCAACUUAGAUGGUAAGUUAUUAAACAUUCAUUUGUAGCAUCUAUUAACAUUGAAUUAUAGUCUUCCAUAGUGGUGGUAUUUAGUGCUUGAUAUUGAGUGAGAUCCUUUUAGAGACACAAUCCGCUUGGUCUUUACCAAGGUAGUCCUUACUCCACUUAGAAUUGUAACCUCAUCAACAUAUUAUAGGUUUAUUUUCAUAACUACAAGACUUCCCUCAAUUCAAUAAUGAUCAAGAAUUUUAGAACUAGGGUGUAAUAACUUUUCUUAGAACUCAGUUCUUCAUGGGUCGCUAUUACAUUAUGUAAGUUCUUUAAACAUGUAGCAUCCUUUAUUUCAAGAAAAGUCAAUUUGGUCAUGCAUUAUCUGUUCAUUUUUUACUUCAUUCAAUUCAUCCAACAAACUUUUAUGUGAGGCUUCCCAACUAACUUUUUCAAUCUUCAUUUUGAGAAAUUCAUCAUACCAUUUUAUAGAAUGAAUUAAACGAUAAUUGUGAAAAUUUGGGAACAUUAUUGAUUAAUUUACCAACGUACAAGGGAAAAUAUAUAGGCUAAAAACAGUGAACUAAAUCCCUGCAACAUUGGGAUAUUGUUUGACGAGAAAUGGAAUAAUUUGUAUAAUGGGAUUUGUAUAUUCAAUUGCUCUAUUAAAAUGGUUACAAAUGAGCUCAAUAUAUAUAGCCCAUAUAUGAUCUAAAUUUGUCUAGAAAUGUCUAAGGAAAGUUGACCCUGUAGAGUAGAGGGAUUGUAGUAAUCUGAUCCCUUCGCUUAUGCCUGUAAUGUAGGGAUUAUACAACUCAUGUUCACACUCCCCCUCAAGUUGGUGCAUAGAUGUUGCUGAUGCCCAACUUGUCAAGUGAGUUGUGAAAGACCUUACUACACACCGCCUUAGUGAGGAUGUCUACUAGUUGGUCUUGUGAUUUGAAAAAUGGGAAUCGAAUUAUCUUAGCUUCUAAGUUCUGCUUGAUAAAAUGUUGGUUUACUUCCACAUGCUUAGUUCGAUCAUGUUGGACUGGGUUAUGGGCAAUAUCAAUGGUUGCCUUGUUAUCACAAAGCAAGUUCAUCUCGCAACUGGGAUGAAAGCCAAUUUCUGUCAACAAUCUUCUUAGCCAGAGUAACUCACACAACCCCUUAGCCAUUCCUCGAAACUCCGCCUCUGCACUAGAUAGUGCUACGACCUUCUGUUUUUUACUUCUCCAUGUUACUAGGUUUCCUCCAACAAAUCCGAAGUAGCCUGAUGUGGAUUUCUUAUCAGAGAUAUUUUUUGCCCAAUCAACGUCAGUAUACCUCAUAAUUUUUAGGUGCCCAUUCUUUGAGAACAUAAUUCCCUUUCUUGGGGUUCCCUUAAGAUAUCUCAAAAUUUGAGUCACUGCAUUCAUAUGGUCUUCACUAGGGCAAUGCAUGAAUUGACUCACUACAUUGACCACAUAGGCAAUAUUAGGCCGGGUAUAUGAAAUAUACAUUAGUUUUCCAACCAAUCUCUGAUAUCUACCUUUAUCAGUGGGGAUCUGGUCAGGGUAUUCUCCAAGCCUGUGAUUUUGUUGUAUUGGAACAUCUACUAGUUUACAGUCUAGCAAUCCAACUUUUGAUAAUAGAUCGAGGGUAUACUUUCGUUGGGAAAGAAAUAUGCCUUGUUUAGAUUGAACCACCUCAAUUCCUAGAAAAUAUUUCAACCCACCUAAACUCUUCAUUUCAAACUCUACUGCCAACUAUUUUUGAAGUUUCGUAACUUGGUAUCAUUUCCUGUGAUGAUCAUAUCAUCUACAUACACUAUUAGUGUUGUUAACGCUUUAGAAAUGGAGUGUGAUUAGAAUUGCUAUGUUAAAACCCAUACUUUCUCAUUGCUAGGCUAAUGAGUCCAAACCAAGCUCGUGGAGAUUGUUUCAAGCUGAAUAGGGUGUGUUGCAGUUUACACACCGUCUUGCUAGACAUUUCAAUGUACUCAAGGGGUAUCCAUAUAAAUUUCCUCCUCGAGGUCACCAUGGAGGAAUGCAUUCUUUACAUCAAAUUGGAGUAGCGACCAAUCAAGGUUCGUUGCAAGGGAUAAAAGGACUCUUACAGUGUUCAACUUGGCUACAGGCGAGAAGGUCUCCAUAUAGUCAACUCCAUAAGUCUACAUAUAUCCUUUCGCUACAAGUCUCGCUUUGUAGCGCUCAAUCAACCCAUUUGCCUUGUAUUUGAUGGAGAAUACUCAUUUGCACCCCACUGUCUUGUGGCCUUUUGGUUAAGGGAUAAGAAUCCAUGUCUUGUUUUUCAACAAUGCUUCCAUUUAUUCCUUCAUUGCUUGGACCCACUUAGGGUCCUAUAGAGCCUCCUCUAAGCUUGUAGGAAUGUGAUGCAUUGAUAAUUCAUUAUAAAAGCUCUUUAAGGGUUUUAAGAGCUUCUCUAUUGAGACGUAAUUGGGAAUCGGGUACUUCGAUUUGUGUGUCUCAGUAUCCGGAGUGUAGCAUUCUGGUGGUUUGCCACGAUUAUGCCUAGGAGGUAAUUGAUAACCAUUGUUAGUUAAAUAUUUUGUGACAAGAGGAAAACUUACCUCAAGAAUCUCUUCAGGAAUAUUCUCAGAAGUUGGGUCAUGAGGUACUGUAGAGUGAGGGGGUGUCUUAGCGAUUGGAGUUAGUGUCUCAGUAGUUGGCGUUGGUGGGUCUGUAGUCUAUUCCAUACCUAUGGUAGUUGGUGGCUCUGUAGUUAGUGGGAUGUCCUUGAACCAAUUCAACUAUUCAUCGUGUGUCUUCCCCUGAAGAGAAGAAUUGGAUGGAUGAUAGAACAUCUUGGACUCGAGGAAGGUGACAUCCAUAGUAACAUAGAGCCACCUGUUUGUUGGAUCAUAGCACCAGUAACCUUUCUAAUUGGUGGCAUAGCCUAGAACGAGACAAUGACGAGCAUAAGGGUUGAGUUUGGUGCGUUGGUUGAGGUGAAGAUGAACGUAGACAAUGCAUCCAAAGGUUCGGGGAGGAAGUGUCGUAGCCGGAAGUAUUGAUAUGCUUGCGGUUAAGUCCUGUAGAGGUGUUUUGAAACCCAGAAUCCGGGAUGGCAUUCGAUUCAUGAGAUGCACAACAGUUGUAACCGCAUUAGGCCAGUGAGAACUAGGUAUAUGUGUACCUAAUAGGAGGGCACGUGUGGUCUCGAGAAUAUGGUUAUUCUUACGUUCUACUACACUAUUUUGCUUUGGAGUAUGAGGACACGAGGUCUGAUGUAUCAACCCAUGCUGGUGGAAGUACUCUUGGAAUUGUCGAUUCAUGUAUUCAUUGCCAUUAUCAAAGCGAAGGACUCCGAGUUUGGUAGAAAAUUGGGUUUGAAUCAUUAUGUGAAAUGAGCAAAAGGCAGUAAAAACCUCAUCUUUGUUUUUCAAUAGGCAGAGUUGUGUCAUUCAAGUGCAAUCAUCACAAAAAAAAAAUCAGCGAUAACUCGAUAGAGUAGAUUUUGAGAAUAGUCCCCACACAUUAGAAUGAAUUAAGCUAAAAGGAACAUCUCUCUUAUUCUUAUGUAAAGGAUAAAUUGCCCGGUGACUUUUUGCCAAAAUACAUGUUUCACAUUGAAAAUUUGAGAUAGAGAAUUUAGAAAGCAAACUAGGUAGUAAAUGCUUCAAAUAUCCAAAUGAUGGAUAGCCGAGUCGUCGAUGCCAAAGCCAAAUCUGUUCUAUUCUGGAAUCACCCAACCGUCCCACAUGAUGUGGUUGUCCUAUUGAAGUCGUCUAUAUUGUAGAGCCCCCCCUUCUUAGUACCAUGCCCAAUAAUUUUUUUCGUGAGAAUAUCCUGGAUAAGGCAAAAAUCAGGGUACAUCAGUGCUGUAAAAUUUAAGUCCUUAGUAACUUGAUUGAUAGAAAACAAUUUAUGAGAUAGGGAUGACACAAAUAAUGUAUUGGAGAGUGAUAACAUCACAGUUCCAACCCCUUGUACCAAUGAAAUACUGCCAUUAACAUUCGCAAUGCUAGUUCGCUUAGGAGCGGUAUGCUGACAAAAGUCCUGUGCAUCAAAUGUCAUAUGAUCCGUGGCUCCGGAAUCCAAGAUCCACAAGUUGCACUCACUCCUAGUAGAUCCAUGAGAUGCUAUACUUGGUGUGUUGCCGAUAGAAUCAGUAGGAAUUAGAGACAGUUUGGGUUCUACUGCUGCUAUUGUCGUUUUACCAAUACCGGGCUUAAUCAUUUACAUGAUUUCAGAUGUUUUGUUUAUUAUCUUUGAACUCAUGAAUCACCUUUGUGGGUCAAGUUAUAUCAUGCAACCGGGUUUCUCUUCUUUACUGUGUCUUUUGGCUCAGUGAAGGGACUGUUGAUUUGUUGGAUGAAGAGGGGUUGAUGUUAAAACUACCAAAUUAGUAGCAAAGAGAAGUAGUAAUGGGGAAAAGAGGAGAGAGUUGUUGGUUUGCAGUGGAAUCCAAGUCUUUUUGAAAUUUCUGUGGAUGUGUUUGGGAAUAAACUAAAGGGGAUCAUUGUGGAAAGAAGCAGAGGAUUCACUUCGUGGAUAAGGUUUGGAAGUUCCAGCUUGUGUUGGCUAUCGGAGGGAGUGGAGGCUAACUGUAGGGGGGAGUUUGGGCAGAGAUUCGUCAAAAGUUGGGAGGAUGGAGGUAGGAGGUUCAAACAAGAAUGUCGAGCAAAUGAGGCUGGCGGAUUUUUAUUGUGUUUAGUGGUAGACUUGGAUGCCAAGAGACAUUGUUUAGUGUUCCCAGAAGGAAAAGCUUUCUUGGAAGGUUGGGCUUUGAUGGCUAAAAAACUUCGCUCACUUGGAAUAUCGACAUGUGAUGAGCCUAGGGAAGUUUUUGAAUCUUCUAAGACUGAGAGUAGAGAUGGGGAUUCGAAGGAGAAGAAAGAAAAAUCCUACGUUGAUGCGGUGAAUACAAGAGGAGUUUCAAGAGUGAGAAGGCUAGGGGAAGCAGCAUGGCUACAACUUGGAGAAGAAGACGUGUCAAGAGGAAGGGAGCUGCUGGACCGAUGCCUUGUUGGGAGACGGGGAGAAACUUUGGUUUCAAUUCCACACCUGUGUGAUCUGGAAAGCUGGGGAAAAAGUCACUGGAAACUCAAAGGAGGAGUAAAGUUCGUGAGAAUGGGGGGCCCUUUUAUUUUGAUUGCGUUUGAGAAUAAAACAUAGGCAGACAAAGUGUUAUUGAGAGGUUUCCAAUGUUUUAAGGAUUUGGUUCUGCAUUUGGAAAGGUGGGACCCAAAAGUGGGUUGUUCUCAAAGUUGUGAACAUCUUAAGGAAGUUUGGGUGAGAGUGAUGGGAUUACCAUUGCAUCUUUGGAGCCGGGAAGUUUUUAAGAAGAUUGGAGACUGUUGUGGGGGCUUUGUUGCAGUGGAUGAAAGCACUGUUGCUUUAAAGGAGCUCCAAUGGGCCAUAUUACUAGUGAAGUCGGAGGGGACAGAAUGGCCAAGUUCCCUGCAAGUGGUAAUCGACACUACUUGUUUUGCUUUUCAACUGUGGUGGGAGGUGCUGCCAAGGGUGUCCGAAGUGCUUCCGGUGAUAAAAAAUGGGUCGGGGAAGGAGCAAGAGGCUAGGGAAUAAGAAGGGGGGACUUCACGCCGGCAGCAUGGUGAAGCAGAUGCAGCCAAACGGACAACCUACAAAGGUGGUUGUGCUAUCUGAAGAUGGUGAAAAUCUCUGUAGGACAGACAUGGAGGCUCCUCUUUCUGACUUGAUGUCGACAAGAGGGGCAGAGGUAGACAAAACCAAAAGAUGGCAGCAGUCUGUUUGGGGGAUUAAUUAAAAAAUUGGGCCUGCAGCUAAAGCUAAGGGAAUGUUGGGUUGGGAUGUGGAGCUGGCAGUGGAGAGGAGGCCCAUUGUGGAGGGCUUGAUUGGAAGCAAAGAAGUUUGUGGGCCAUCACUCUUAAGCCCAAUAUCUUUCAGGCUGGAGACAAAUCUCCAGAGGAGGCCCAUUGAGGAGGGCCAUUUAGGUUCCAUGGAGGACAGUGGGCUGUCCCAAUUAGGCGCAUUACCAAACACGCACUUAAAGAGCUGCGUGGAAGUGGGCACUCUGGAAUCUCAUAAAGGCCCAAUUGUGGGACGAUCCACUGUCAAAGACUCUUUUGAGGCUGAGGCUUGUGGAGGUUUCCGAGAGGAGAUCUGUGGGUGUCUAGAUGGGGCUGAUUUUGGACUCCAGCAGGUGCCAUCUCCUCCGACGCCAAAGACUAAAAUGCUCUAAGUUUAAAUGAAGAUACGUCUUCUUUCUAGGAAUGUUAAAGGGGCUAAUAAUUGUGAUAAGAGGAAGGUGAUCAAAGCCUUGAUUAAGAAGAAUAGGGUGGACCUAGUUUGCUUGCAGGAAACAAAAAUCCAAGAGAUGUCAAGGGGCCUUAUUCAGAGCUUAGGAGUGGAAAGGUUUUUAGAUUGGGGAACUGUGGAUUCAAGGGACUCAACGAGUGGUAUAGUGGUGUUCUAGGAUAAUAGGGUGCUGGAUUUGAUAGAGUUAGAAAAGGGAGAACAUUCAAUUUCCUGCAAUUUUAAAAACUGUGAGGAUGGCUUUAUGUGGACUUUUACAAGGGUUUAUGGUUCGACCAUGAGGAGAUACAGGGAAUGUUUGUGGAAUGAGUUGGGGGCCAUCUACGGUCUUUGGAAUGGGUCGUGGUGUGUUGUUUGUUAUUUUAAUGCCAUCUUAAGCCCUGAAGAGCGCAGUAGAAGAGGGAGCUUGAAUUCAGACAUGAAAAGAUUCUCAGAUGUAAUAGAAGAUUUAAAGCUAAAGGAUUUGCCCUUCAGAUUUUGGUCAAUGAGUCUUUCACAAGGAUAGAUCGAUUUUUGGUCAAUGAGGAGUGGGAUUACCGUUUUAGUGGUUCAAGGCAAUGUGUCCUCCCGAGACCAGUGUCUGACCACUUCCCAAUUAUGUUAAAAGGAGGGGGGCUGAGAAGGGGACCAUCUCCCUUCAGAUUUGAGAAUAUGUGGCUCAAAGUGGAGGGGUUUAAGGAGCUGUUGAAGGCUUGGUGGGAGAGGGACAGUUAUAAUGGUUCUGCAAGCUUUAUUCUGGCCGAAAAACUAAAGGUUGUAAAGUCUAAACUGAAGGAGUGGAAAAGAGAUGUCUUUGGAAGGGUGGAAUAUAGGAAGAAUUCAGCUUUGGAUCAGCUGCAGUUUUGGGAUGCAAAGGAGAAGACUAACAGAGUGUCCUUGGAAGAGAUGAAUGCUAGAAGAGAAGUGAAGGAAGAAUACAAAAAAUGGGUUUUAUUAGAAGAGAUGACUUAGAGACAAAAAUCUAGGGAAGUGUGGCUGAAAGAGGGUGACAGAAAUAUUAGAUUUUUCCACAUGAUGGAAAACGCUCAUAAAAGAAGAAACAAUGUGGACCAAAUUAGGAUUAAUGAUGUUUGGCAUUCGGAGGAGAAUGGGAUUAGCGAAGAAAUAGUGAAUGCCUUUAGAUCUUUGCUGUCCAAUCCCGGGGACUGGCGCCCUUCUUUAUCCUGGCUACAGUGCGAAACGUUGCAAAAUUUGGAUGUUAAUGCUUUGGAGGCACAGUUCACGGAGGAGGAGGUGCAUGACGCAUUGCUGGGUUGUAGUGGGGAUAAAGCCCCGGGGCCUGAUGGCUUCACAAUGGCUUUUUGGCGGUUUGCUUGGGACUUUGUGAAGGAGGAUGUGAUGAGUUUCUUCAAGGAGUUCCAUGAUCAUAACAAAUUUGUUAAAAGCCUAAACGCAACUUUUCUGGUUUUAAUCCCAAAAAAAGUGGGGGUUGAAGAUUUGAGGGAUUUUAGGCCCAUAAGCUUAGUAGGAAGCCUGUACAAGUGAUUGGCUAAGGUUUUAGCCAAUAGACUUAAAAAGGUGGUUGGAAAGGUGGUUUCUAAGGCUCAAGGGGCCUUUGUGGAGGGUAGACAAAUUCUAGAUGCAGUGCUAAUAGCUAAUGAAGCCAUUGACUCGAUUAUGAAGAAUAAUGAGAAUGGUUUUAUGUGCAAACUUGACAUAGAGAAGGCAUAUGACAAUGUGGAUUGGUCUUUCCUUCUCACAGUUAUGCAGAAAAUGGGCUUUGGGGAGAAAUGGAUAGGGUAGAUUAAGUGGUGCAUAUCCACUGCAAGUUUUUCUGUGUUGAUUAAUGGAACGUCUAAGGGUUUCUUCCAAAGCUCAAGAGGAUUGAGGCAAGGUGACUCUCUAUCGCCUUAUCUUUUUGUGAUAGCCAUGGAGGUUUUUAGCUCAUUUCUUAAAAGGGUUGUGGAUGGAGGUUUUAUGUCGAGUUGUAAAGUGAAGGGUAGGAAUGGAGAAGGGGUUCGGAUUUUCCACUUGUUGUUUGCUGAUGACACCUUGGUGUUUUGCCAAGCUUCUCAAGACCAACUGACUUACCUAAGCUAGUUGUUUAUGUGGUUUGAGGCCGUAUCAGGAUUGAGAAUUAACUUGGAGAAAAGUGAACUCAUUCCAGUAGGGAGGGUAGAGAAUAUUAAUGAUGUUGCCUUGAACUUUGGUUGUAGAGUGGGUAGUCUCCCAUCCACUUAUCUAGGCCUCCCCUUGGGUGCUCCGUUUAAGACAGUAUCAGUGUGGGAUGGAGUGGAAGAGCGGUUCCGUAAAAGAUUGGCCAGGUGGAAGAGACAAUACUUAUCAAAGGGGGGGAGAGCAACUCUAAUUCGAAGCACUUUGUCGAAUCUCCCUAUUUACUUUAUGUCCUUGCUGAAGUUACCAAGUUCAGUUAGACGAAGAUUAGAGCAAAUCCAAAGGGACUUCCUUUGGGGUGUUGGCAACUUGGAGCGAAAACCACACUUAGUAAGAUGGAAGGUGGUGUGCUUAAGUAAAAAGAAAGGGGGAUUGGGGGUUAAAUGUCUUUCCAUUCUCAAUAAGGCUCUCCUUUCCAAAUGAAAUUGGCGAUUCGCAAAUAAGAGAGAUGCUUUGUGGAAUCAAGUGAUUAGAAGAAAGUAUGGGGAAGAUAGAUUUGGUGAGCGCUCGAAUCUCUUUUAGAGUUGGCAAUGGGAGGAGGGUGAGCUUUUGGAGGGAUAGAUGGUGUGGGGACCCCCCUGCGUGAGUCUUUUCCUUCCCUCUUUGCCUUGUCUGCUGAAAAGGAAACUUGGGUGGCGGAUGUUUGGGAUCCCUUGGCCGAGGGGGGUUGGAGCCCCUGUUUUUCAAGAGUUCUAAAUGAUUGGGAGGUGGAGGAGGCAGAAAGAUUUUUGGAGCAUCUUCACGGGAAGAGAGUGCUUGGAGAUGUAGAGGAUAUGGUGGUUUGGACCAAAACAAAGAGCAGAAAAUUUUCGGCAAAGUCUCUCUACCUUGCUCUAGAAGCGGACUGCCCUGUUUUGUUUCCUUCUAGUUGUAUUUGGAAUGGGUGGGUACAACCCAAAAUCAGUUUCUUUGCGUGGGAGGCAGCAUGGGGUAAAACCUUAACCCUAGACCUUGUUCAGAAAAGAGGAUGGUCCUUGGCAAAUAGAUGCUUUAUGUGUCUUGAGAAUGAGGAGACCAUGGAUCUUUUGCUUCUUCACUGUUCAAAAACAAAGGCCUUAUGGGAGUUACUCUUUACCUUGGUUGGGGCGUCUUGGGUGUUGCCCUCCUCAGUUAGAGAGACUUUUCUUAGUUGGCAUGGUUCAUUUGUGGGCAAAAAACGUAAGAAGGUGUGGAGAGCUACUCCUCUUCAUAUAUUUUGGACGGUGUGGAAGACUAGAAAUAGAUUGGCAUUUAAGGAUGACUAGUUGUCAAUCCAAAGAUUGAAAUAUUCCUUUCUUUUCUCUCAUUGGUCUGAGGCUAAAUUGUUUAUAGUUGAACGCCCUAUAGCUAUAGUUAAUUUUAUUGAUUGGUUGGGAUCCUCUUAAGGUUGUUUUUGGGCUAGGUGACUUUUUGGGCCUCUUUCUUUUUCUUUAGCCUUUUUGGUGGUGGGUGUUUAGGUUUGUAUAACUUGCAUAGUUUUGUAUUCCUUGAGUUGCUUUUUUGGCGUCUCUUUUUAAUGAAUUAUCUUUACCUAUCAAAAAAAAAAAAUUAUGUUUCUUUUUAUCUUGGAGCUUGUGCCAUCAGUCUGGGUAUCCAUGGAGCUUAAAGCAAGAGUUUUGUGUGUGUUUGGAAUUUCUACAAUGGGAGCACGUUAAGCCUUCUAUCCAUUGCUUUGAAUUUGGGCUAGUGGGAUUAGAUUUAUUGAGUAUUAGAACUUCUUCUUUUCCAGAUGGGUUGGGGCCCGUUUUCAGCCCCUUGGAAGUCACCCCAGCUCCCAUCCUUUCAUCGAAACCAUUCUCCAUCACUGUCUGUCUCACCAUUUCCCGUCAGAUGGAUGCGUAAGCUUGCUUAAUUGUCAGAAAUGGUUGCAUCUAUAACACAGUGCUCCUGCCUUGGUCAAGUCGAUCAUCAAGGCCGUGAGAAACACAUAGACCCUCUCCUCCUAGAGAAUUGUGUUGUAUCGUUGCACAUCCUUAGGGCAUUCCAUGGGGUUUGGUCGUUGAAAAUCUAUUUUCCUCCACAAGCCUUGCAGCUCGUUAUAAAAUUUCUCCAAAGAUCCACCAUUUUGUUGUAGCCUACUCACCCGUUGUUGGAGCUCAUACACUUGAGCAAUGUCACUCUCGUCGAAGAAAAAGACAGUGAUGGCGUCCCAAACUUCUUUCGCAUUGGGAUACCGGAUGAACGUGCUAACAAGGGAUGAAUCCAUGGUGUUGAUGAGCUAGCCUUUGAUGACGUUGUUUUUCGGUUCUCCAUCGUCAGAAUAAUGGAUUAGUUGGAGUAGGUUGGGAUAAAUCACCAUUAAUGUAACCUAAUCUAUCUCUCCUGGAGAUAAACAUCUCCACAACUUGGGACCAUAGUGCAUAAUUCGAUUCAUUGAGUUUUAUGCUGAUCGGGGAAGUAUCCAUUGCUGCAGUUGGGGUUGGGGCCUUGUUCAGCACGUUGGCCAUUUUCAUGGUGAGUUAUGCUAAAAUAGAGGUUGUUGUUGGUGGAGACCCUCCUAUCUGAGAGUCUGAUUUAGGGAUUUUUCUAGGUUGUUGUUAAGUUGUUAGUGUUGGGUAGAAUCAAGGAGUUGAUACCAAAGGGUAGAAACAGACCUGCUGUGAUACCAUGUUGACAAGAAAUGGAAUAAUUCGUAUAAUGAGAUCUGUAUAUUCAAUUGCUCUAUUAAAAUGGUUACAAAGGAGAUCAUUAUAUAUAGCCCAUAUAUGAUCUAAAUUUGUCUAGAAAUGUCUAAAGAAAGUUAACCCUGUAAAGUAGAGGGAUUGUAGUAAUCUGAUCCAUUCGCUUAUGCUUGUAAUGUAGGGAUUAUACAACUCAUGUCGACAUAUUGAUCCCUAGAAAAGAUAGGAAACAAUCCAUAUAAAUCAGGGAUAAUAGAAAACAAUCCUUAUAAAUAAGGGAUAAUAGAAAGCAAUUCCUAUAAAUUAGGGAUAAGGCUAACUAAUUAAAUCAAAUAUUUACAACUUUCCUAACUAAUUAACAAUUCCUAUAAAUUAGGGAUAAAGCUAACUAAUUUCAAUCAUCACAAUUCCAGCCUGGCCUAGUCAACUUUGACACUCCUCCUCAAGAUGGGGGGUGGAUAUCAUCCAUUCCCAACUUGCCAACGAUGGUCUAAAUGAAUGAGCCGCUUAAUCCUUUGGUUAGCACAUUAGUAACUUUAUUGCUAGUAGAUACAAACAGCGUGCAGAUUAGUCCACUAUGUAUCUUCUCUUUUAUGAAAUGUCUGUCAACUUCUAUUUGUUUGGUUAGAUCAUGUUGCACAGCAUUAUGUGCAAUGUUGAUUGCUGACUUGUUAUCACAAUAAAGUUUUAUAGGUCCUUCCCAUACAAUCUUUAGAUCUUCUAAGAUGAUUUUUAGCCAUAGAAGUUCACAAACUCCUAAUGCCAUUGCCCUAAAUUUAACCUCUGCAUUUGACCUUGAAACUACAUUCUAUUUUUUGCUUCUCCAAGUUACAAGGUUUCCACUAAAAAAAGUAUAAUGGCCUGAUGUUGAUCGUUUAUAAUCAAUAGAUCUUGCAUAGUUUGCAUCUAUGUAGGCUUUUAAAGUUAAUUUUUAUCCUUUCUUGAAUAAUAUUCCUUUUCCCAAAGUUCCCUUAAGCUACUGGAAAAUCCGAUGUGUUGCUCGAAGAUGGACCUUCUUGGGAUUAUGCAUAAACUGACUUACCACUUCUAUUGUAUAUGCUAUGUCCGAUUUUGUAUGUGAGAGAUAAAUCAAUCUACCAACUAGUCUCUGAUAGGACUCCUUAUCUAACACUAUGUCUUCAACAACUUCACAAAGUUUGUGAUUUUGCUCAAUAGGAGUUUUUAUUGGUUUACACCCAAGUUUUCUUAUCUCACUUUGCAAAUCCAACACAUGCUUUUGUUAAGAUAUAAAAAUCUCAUGCUGAGAGUGAGCAACUUCAAUGCUUAGAAGGUAUUUCAACCUGCCAAGUUCCUUUAUUUUGAAAUUCUUAUACUAGACAUUUUCUCAAAGCUUCUCUGCCUUCCAAGUCAUAUGUUACAAGUAUAUCAUCUACAUAAACCAACAAGGUAGUAACUCCCCUUGAAGUUGAAUGUUUAACAAACAAUGUGUGAUCACCUUGACUUUGCUUUUAUCCCAUAGUUUUCAUAACUUUGGAAAAUCUACCAAACUAAGCUUUAGGGGAUUGUUCCAAACCAUAAAGUGCAUUUUUCAAUUUACUCAUCUUGUUACUUUUUGACAUAAAACUUGGAGGAAAUUCCAUGUAGAUUUCUUCAUCAAGAUUGCCAUGUAAGAAGGCAUUCUUAACAUCAUAUUGUUGCAUACUCCACCCACGGUUGAUAGCUAGAGACAACAAAAUCCUCAUAGCGUUCAUCUUGACAACUAGUGCAAAGGUUUCAAAAUAAUCUAUUCCAUAGGUUUGAGUAUACCCUUUAGCCACCAACCUAGCCUUAAACUGUUCAAGUGACCCAUCUGCCUUAUACUUCACAACAAAGACCCAUCUACAUCCCACUAGUUUUUUUUUUUCCUUAGGUAGCUUAACCAAUUCCCAUGUUUUAAUUUUUUCAAGAGCCCCAUCUCAACUCUCAUGGUUUCUUUCCACUCUUUAUCGUCCAAUGCCUUAGAAACCGUUUUUGGGAUGGUUAUAGUGUUUAGAUGAGAAAGAAAGCUGUUAUGACUGUCAAAUAACUUCUCAUAAGAGACAAAGUGAGAUAAUGGGUAUAAAGGAUGUUGGGUACACUUUCUCACACCCUUCUUAAUAGUAAUAGGAGGAUCAUAAUCAUCUCCAGGCUUGGGAUCAGAGAUAUCACUUUCAUAAGCUUCCGAGUCAGAAAUUACCUCAAUACUAUCAGCUCUAUCAUCAGCACCAAGGUUUGGUUUUGAUUUUAGGACUUGCAUAGGUUGAAUAGUGGAUUCUCUUCUCCUUGAACAGACCUAUAGUGGGCGAUUAACACUUUGAAUAUGUUUAUCCUUUCCCAUAGAACUUAGAGUGAUUGGAGUUGUUUGAUUAUAAGAUGGUGGCUCAUUUGGUGAUAGUGGUGGUGAAGGCAAAGAAGAUGAUGAAGAUGGGGAGAGUGAAAGAUCAAGUAAAAGCAAAUCUUUGUCAUUAUCUUCCAUGAAGGAUGUCUUCCCUAGAAGAUAAAGUUUGGUAAAAUGACUUUGAUGUUCAACAAAUGUAACAUCAACAGAUACAUGAAAUUUUUUUGUAGGAGGAUGACAGCUUUUAUAUCCUUUUUGUGUAGAUGAAUACCCAACAAAGAUGCACUUAAGAGCUCUUGAAUCAAAUUUACCCUUAUGAUGUGAAUGAAUAUGAAUGAAUGAGACACAACCAAAUAUUCUAGGAGUGAGGUGGUUUAUGGUUUUGAAAUCAGGAAAGAAUUUUGAAAAAAAGGUUCUUAGGUGUUUUGUCAUCAAGGACUCUAGAAGGUAAUUUGUUUAUAAGAUGAGCAACAGUUAAAACAACUUCUCCCCAAUAAUUUUUUGGAACAUUUUUUUGAAAGAGAGGCACAAGUAAUUGCUAGAAGAUGACCAUUCUUCUUUUCUGCCAUCCCAUUUUGUUAUGAUGUGUUAACACAUGAAGACUCAUGAAUUAUUCCUUUUGCUUGAAAAAAUUGUGACAAGGUUUGAUUAAAAUAUUCCCUAGCAUUAUCUGAUUGAACCCUCUUAAGUUUUACUCUUAAUUGAUUUUUAAUCAUGUGAAAAAAUUGUUUGGAAGGUUGAGCUAACAUCAGAUUUUUGUUUUAACAAAAAAACCCAUGACACAUGAGUACAAUCAUCAAUAAACAAAACAAACCAACGAGCUCUAGAAACAUUUGGAAUCGUAGAAGGUCCCCAGACAUUAGUAUGGAUAAGAGCGAAAUGAGAUGACAUUCUUUUAUUACUUAUUGGAAAAGAAGUGCAUUUGUGUUUUUCAAGUUCACAAACAUCAUAAUGAAAUAUCCCCAUAUCACUCCCUUUAAACAAAUCUGGGAAUAUAAUUUUAAGAACAUUGAACAAUAGAUGGCCAAGACGAAGAUGAUACAACCAAAGUUUGUUUUUAUGUGAAAGAGAUGACUUAUAAAGGAAUGAAAAAGGCAAAUUAUUCUUAGUGCUAUUUUUCUCAUUGGAUUCAAGGUAGUAAAGUCCAUUCCUCUCUCUAGCAAGUCCAAUCAUCUUCCUUGUGCCCUAGUCCUGAAAUUCACAAUGUAGAAGACAAUGUUAUAGUACAAUCCAAAUCCUUUGUUAGCUUAUGAACGAGACAAGGUUUAUAGACAACUUAGGCACAUGCAAAACAUUCUUUAAAACAAAUUUCAAAUUGAUAACCACAUCUCCCUGACCAACAACUAUAAUCAAAGUACCGUCUACUGUAGAUAUCUUUUUAUUAAUGGGGUAAGGACUGUAAGAGACAAAAUGAUGGGAAGAUGUAGUUAUAUGAUUUGUGGCCCUGAAAUCAAUUAUCCAAGAUCCUGAUGUGGGCAUAUUCAAGACACUAAGUGGGAAGGAUUGAGAUCUAUUACUUGAAAAAGCCAAGGAACAAGUACCGAAACUUGCAGGUUUUCUAAAGUUCCCAAAAAUGUUCAACUUUUCAAUCUCUUCUCUAUUAAACUAAGCUUGGUCUAGAAAAGAGUUUGUUUCUUCUCCUGGUUGCAUUCUGGUUACAUGUGAUUGUCUUUGUCCCUUUGUCGGUCCAUUCUUUGUCGUUUCUUUUGAUUGUUUAGGGAUUUGAAAGUUUGAGGGCUUACCAUGAAGUUUCCAACAUUUUUCCCUAGUGUGUGGUUUUUUGCAAUAAGUACACACCAUUGGGUCUUUAUUUCCAGCCUUUGACACCUUUGACUAGCCACUUUCAUUUAUCACUCCACUGGAAUGGGUGCUCAACUGGUGAUCUGCUCCACCACUCCUUGCAUUAGCAUUUCUUACCACCAUAGCAGAAUUGUCCAUUGGUUGAGGUUCUAAUAUGACCCCCUCCUAAUUUCCUUUCCUCGGAUUAUGCCAAUGGUUUCAUUCAAUGAUGGAAGGUUUUCUAUUCCAAGAACUUGGACUCUAAUGAGGUCAAGUUUAGGAUUUAGUCCAACAAGAAAAGUAUAAAUUCUGUCUUUCUCCAUAAAUCUCUUAUGAAUAGCAGCAUCUUCAUCACAUUUCAUCUCUAUAAAUUCAUAAUGGUCGAAUUCUUGCCACAAGUUUUGUGCAAGAUAUUGAAGUAUUUAGUAAUAGAGCAAUUACCCUGUUUAGUAGUCAAGAUUCUGGUCUUGAUAUUGUAGAUUUGGGCUGCAUCACAAACCUUUGAAUAUGUUUGUCUAUGGAUGUUCCAAAUAUCCUUUGUUGUCUCCAAGAACAUGCAAGUAUCAAUUACUUCAGGCAUCAUUGAAUUCCAUAGCCAUGGCAUUACCAUAGAAUCAGCUUCAUCCCAAGUGUCAAACUUUGGAUCCCCCGGUUUCGGACCCUUGCCAAGGAGAUGACCCAAUUUGCCCUUUCUUUUAAAAAUGGUUCGGACAAAUUGAGACCACUUCAAGUAGUUUUUCCUAUUCAACUGAUAACUUGGUUGGAUAUUCUGCAAAUGUCCGACUGAAACUAUGCUUGAUGUCCCUGUCACUUGAAUCUCGGACGUAUUGGACAUCUCAAUUGCAUCAGACAUGAUGAUGCUAUAAGGGAAAAGAGAGGAAAGAAAGAAAAAAAAAAAAUAUCUUGGGUAAUAAGGUUAAAGAAAAUAAUGCAAAUAGGAGAGUUUUUGGGCUGAAAUAAAUAGAUAAUAGAUGACUUCAAGGUACUCUGUUUUGGAUAAGAAAACAGAGGAAGAUAAGGUACUUCAGCAGUUUCAAUGAAUGAGACGACAAACACUUAAGAGAAAAAAAAUAUUCAGCAAUGAAGACUGAGAAGAAAAUAUCCUAAGGAGCCAACUUGGCUCUGAUACCAUGUGAAAAUAUGGGAAUAUUUUUUAUUAAUUUACCAACGUACAAGGGAAAAUAUAUAGGCUAAACAAUAGUCAACUAAAUCCUUACAAAAUUGGGAUAUUGAGAUAGAAAACAAUCCCUAUAAAUAAGGGAUAAUAGAAAACAAUUCCUAUAAAUUAGGGAUAAGGCUAACUAAUUAAAUUAAAUAUUUACAGCUUUCUUAUCCUAUAAAUUAGGGAUAAUGUUAACUAAUUUCAAUCAUCACAAUUCUAGCCUGGCCUAGUCAACUUUGAUAAUAAUUCAUUCUUUGAAUCACUAGUAUUGUGCAAUGCACUACACACUCAUUGUCAUGUUUGGUAUCAAUAACACAAUUAAACUUGAGCAAUUAUCAUUAUCAUCAAAAUUCAAAGGAUUAGAGGAACUUAUUUAAUUAAAAUCACUUUAUUUUAGUUAACUAGAUAUGUUUUAUUUAUUUAUUUUUUUUACAAUAUUAUCUUGUUCAUUUUCUUUUGAUAAUCAUUUUUUCACAUAUUUGAGGUCUUCCCCAAGUCAAGACUGCAUUUGGAACUUCAGAAAUUUCUUAAAUUUUCUUGCAAAACUUACUGGUUCAAAAUUGGACAAUUCGUUUUUACGAUUGUUUGCUCCUUUUAGUGGAAUAUAUGUUAUCCCCAAGUGUAAGAAGUGAAUUGUAGUAUAUAAACCCAAGAUUUGGUUGUGGUACCUCGGGAAGACAUGAUUAAGGGUGUAAAGAAGAUCAAGAGGUUCAAAAUUGAAUUGUCUUUCAUGUUGUGCAAAACCACGAUAAAGAAUAAUAAUUGGGAUAAAAUAAUAAGAAAACGAAAACCAAACACAACGAUUUACGUGGUUCGACCUUAAGUCUAUAUCCACGAGCGAAGAUGAAGAACUUUCACUAUUGUUGAAGGAGAUUACAACUCUUCAAGCUCUCAAAUCCCAAACCCCCAAUUUAUACCCAAAAAAGAGACACUCACUAUUUUGGUCAGUCUCUUCCUAUAUUUUUUUCCUAAUUACAAAGUAAGCUUCUAUAUAGGAAACUAAGUGUAUAAUAGUCAAAGAUACCUUUUCCUGAAAAGAAGAUCUCAUAAUAGGAUAUUUCUUAUAAUAAUAGGAAACUUCCUUUCAAGAAUAUCUUCUAUUAGGAAAUUGUCAAUAACUUUCCAAUUGACUCAAAAUACAAUUUGAGACACUUUCCAACAUUCCAAAAUAGAGAGGAGUUUUUGUUUCAUCAUCCCUAUGAUUGAUGAGCUAUCCAAUGGUAAACAAUUAUUCCAUGGGUUGAUGAUUGUAAUUAACCUAUAACUAUUAGCAAAGAUCAAGAAAUGCAAUUUCCUUGGCUACCACAUAAUUUCUCUUAAUAGCUUGACAAAUCAUGCACAUUGUUUUCAUAUAAUAGCCUAUAUACUAUAAAUGAUUAGAAGUGAGCUUGGUAGUGUUUUUAUUAGAAAUUUUUUUGUGAAGUAUUUUCUUUAGAAGUGGUUUUAGAAGCACUAUAAGUAAUUUAUCAACUUUUUAAAAGUGUUUUCUAAAUUUUACCAAACACCUAAUUUUUCCUAAGUGCUUUCUAAAAGCAUCACCAAAUGGACUCUAAUUAUACUUGUGUAUAUAUAGAUAUAGCCAAUAUUUUGUCUUCAAAAUUCUUACGAUAUCAAACCCUUUUUCCAAGCUCGAAAGAGUCUUCUUCCUUUCCAAUCUAAAGAGAUGUACCAAAACUAAAUAUUCAAUCUUUCCAUUAGUGUUCUAUCUUAAUCUCACUCAAGGUAAGUAUGUCAAAUUUUCUCUUGUGGAGUUCCUAAAUACACCCCUUAGGUUGUAGCCUAGGGAUCAUUCAUCAUCUCAUACAUAUUUACGAACCAACAAUAAUAUCUAUAUAUAUAUAUAAAGUAGAAAGUAACAAAAAUAAAGAUGCCAAUGCACAAGAUGAACUUUAGGGUCAACAAUGAUGGCUUUCUUUCCUCAUUGCUUCUCAUAAACAUAAGCGAAGAAGUGUUGAAUGUCAUCCUUGUUGCAAAAACUGCAAGACAGGUUUGGAGUUUUUUAGAAAAACAAUUGUUAUUGGCUAUUCCAAGGAUAAGUAUGUUCAUUAAUUCCUUUUGAAUAUGCCUCUUCUAGUUUUAUUUUUAUAGAACAAAACCAAAGGAUUAUAGCAAUGAGGCAAUAGAAAUGACAACUUAAUGCAGUGGAUGGAUAUUUUCAAUAGAUGUCAAGUGUAAUAAGGAGAGGUGGGGCUUUGUCACACCAAUGUUUGAAAAUAUGAUUUUAUUUAGUAUCCAAAACAAUUCCAUGAUUACUAAAGAGGUAAGUAGAUGAAUGUUGAAAAGUGUAUUUUAUUGUUGUACACUACAACCUUUUAAAUAUACAUAUGAUUUUUCAAAAUAUACAUAAACUAUACAAGGUAUAUGUAUAUUACUCCUAAACUUAAAGUAUUGACCAUUUAAUGCUCUUGAUUUGUGGGUAAGAUUGGUUUUCUCCUAAUAUGCCCUUGUAAGAUGGUGCUUCCAUUAGAAACACAAAUCUUGGACUAAGAGAAUGUAAAACGAGACUUGGGUAGCAGCUUGGUGAGUAAAUAAGCAAGUUGAUUUUGGGUUAACACAUGAGCAACUUGAGAGAGCCUCGUAGUUACUUUUUCCUGCAAAAAAUGGUAAUAAAGAGUAAUAUGCUUUAUUUUUAAUGGAAUACAAGAUUUGCACACAAAUCCAUAACACCAAUGUUGUAGCAAAGUAGACGUGGUGUCUUAGGAAAAGAAGCGUAACUCAAGAAAAAGAUUAAUGGCUUAAGUUAUUUCAACCACCUCUGAGGUAAUACAACGAUACUCAACUUUAGUAUAAGAGUGGGUUCGUUGCUUUUUAAAGCACUAAGAGAUUGGAUUGACUUCAAGGGAGAGGACAUAUGUUAAUAUGGAAGUGCAAUCAUCACAAUUGCUUACCUAAUUAGGUCCAAGUAGGCAGUUAAGUGUAAUGAUUGUGAAUGACGGAGAAUGAGAUCAUAGUCUAGGGUGUGUUUAAGGUACCAUAGAAGAUGUUUGGCAAUUGUGUGCAUCAUUUUUUGAAUGAAAUACAAGAUUUGUAACACCAAUGUUAUUGCAAAGUAGACAUGGAGGCUUAGGAAGAGAAACAUAACUCAAGAAGAAGAUUAAUGACCCAAGUUAAUUCAACCACCACUGACGCAACAAAACCAUACUCAACUUCACUAGAAGAUGGGGCAAUGGUCCAUUGCUUUUUAAAGCACUAAGGGAUUAGAUUACCUCUAAGGAAGAAAACAUAUGCUGAGAUGGAAGUGCAAUCAUCACAAUUGCUUGCCCAAUUAGUGUCUAAGUAGGCAAUUAAGUGUAAUGAUUGUGAAUACGGAGAAAGAGAUCAUAGUCCAAGGUGUGUUUAAGGUACCAUAGAAGAUGUUUGGCUACAAUCUUGUGAGUUUGAUUUGGAGCAUGCAUGUGCUAAGUCAAUUUGUUUAUAGAAUAAGCCACAUUAGGUCUAGAUAUGGAUAGAUAUUGUAGGCUUCCAAUUAGACUGCAGUACUGCGAGUUAUCAACUUGUGAAGACCCAUCAUUCUGAAUAAGCCAAAUAGUGCAACUGAGUGGUGUGACAUAGGAUUUGAUACCUUUCAUAUGAAAUCUUGGAAGGAGGUCUUGAACAUAUUUUUGUUGAGAGAGGAAUUGUCCAUUUGCUUGGGGAAUAACCUCCACACCUAGGCAAAAUUGAAGAUGCCCAAGGUCUUUGAUUGAGAAUCGAUCAUAGAGUGGUAAUAACAUGAUAGAUAAAUAAUAGAGAAUUUUUUGUAAUUAACAAGUCAUCCACAUAGACUAAAAAAUAAACAAGAAUAGAGUUGUGAGAAUGAAUAAAUAGAGAAGAAUCAAAGUGAGAGUUCAAAAAGUUUAAAGAUACAAUGAAGGUCUUAAGCUUGAUGAACCAAGCCUGAAGUGCUUGCUUCAAGCUAUAGAUGGAUUUGUGCAAAUGACAAACAUGAUGGGUCCCAGAUUGAUCAAUGAAGCUAGGUGGCUAGGACAUAAAAACUUCUUCAUGAAGUUGCUUGCGUCGUGGAGGAAUGCAUUGUUGACAUCUAGUUGAUGCACUUAUCAUAUGCGAGAGAGAGAGAGCAGUAGAGGGAAUAGUCUGAAUGGUUGUAGGCUUGAUCGUAUGAUGAGAUCUCUCAUGAUAGUUGAUGCUGAGUUGUUGAUGAAAUUCUUUGGCCAUGAGGCAAGCCUUGUAUUGAGUGAUGCUACCAUUAAGAUUAUGCUUGAUCCUAAAAAUCCACUUACAACCAACAAUAUUUUGUUACGAUUCAUAAGAGACCAGCUCCCAAGUAUCAUGUGAGGCAAGAGCUUGAAGUUCUUCACUCAUGGCAUCUCUUCAUUCUUUGUGUUUUAAGGCUCGAAGGGAUAGGAUGCUUGGUGGCAAUGAGAGUGAAAACUUUCUUGGGUUUAAGGAUGUUGUUUUUGAAUCGAGUUUGCAUAGGAUGGUAGGAAAGUGGAUUGGUCUUAGUGAAGAGAGCACUGGUGAAGGGUUCACUACUCGGGAUGGAGCUUGGUAGUGUUUUGGUGGUGGUCGGUGAGAAAGAGAGGUCAACCAUAAGGGGGAUAGUUAGAUGUUGCAUGGAGUCAUGGGUGACAUGAGAUGAGAAUGGAGAAAUGGGUUGAGGAUGCGAGGGUUGUGGUGUUGAUAGGAGAGAUUCACGAGAUGGAGAUGAUGAAUGGAGAGGCGGGUUUAGUAGGUGAGUAUGAGACAGAGUGACUGGCAGAAUGGGAUGGAUUGAAUGUUAAUGGUGUGAUAAUAGGAAUCCUGACUCGCUAGAAUGAAUGCACAUCUUGUGUGGGGAAUUGAUUUAUGGAAUAAAUAAGGAAUGAAGGUGGCAGUGUCCAGUGUCCAGAGUAGGCAGCAUUGAGUAAAAGAAUGGAGUGUUCAAAAUGGGAACAACAUGUGGUAUGGAGAAGAAUGUGGGAUUAGUUUGCUGUGGCAACAAAAAGGAAGAGUAAGUUGGAGGUAGGUGAGUCUAAAUAGGAACGGAGGGAAUAGGUGUGGUAGUUUCUUUAGUCAACAAUUUUGGGGCGAAUGAUUUGGGUCUGAUUAUGGGAUGAACAUGUGGCAAAUUGAGAGAUGUAGGGUUAGUGAUAUGGGAUGGUGAAAAGGGAUGGUGUGGAGGUGAGAAUAAGUUGACUGAAGUGGGAAUAUUUAGGCUGCAUAAGGAGGGUUCCAUAAUGGGUUGGAAAGGUUGUGUAGAGAGGAGUGUUGAGUUGAUACCUUGUGACACUAAAAAAGGAAGAGAGGAAGCUGUUAGAGGAGUAGGAGAAUUUUCCUAGUUAAUGAGGGUUGGAAUUUUCAAGAUGAGUUGAGGUGGAAAGUGAGUCAAGGGGCUGUGAAAUGGGGGACCAACAAGAGAGAGUAUGGGAAUUAAUUUUAUCGUGCUUGGUAAAUAUAGAUCGAGAUAGAUAUGAUGUCUCAUCAAAUUGAACAUGCCUAGAAAUAUAAAAGUUGUGAUCUAUAAGCUCAAAAUAAAUGUAAGAGUUAUGAAUAUGAGAGUUACCUAAGAAUAGACAAGCUUUUGAACAUUGUUCAAUUUUGUGAGAGGUAUAUGGGCAGAUCCAAGGGUAACAUAAACACCCAAUUAUUUUUAAUUUUGAAUGGUUAGGCUUAGAGUGGAAGAGGCAUUCAAAUGGAGAUUUAUUCUCAAGAUUAGGCAUAGGAAAUCUAAUAAAGAGAUAAAUGGCAAUUUUAAAACUAAGAGACCAAAGUCGUAAAAGCAAGAAUAUCGGAUGAAGGAGGGUAAGUCCUGAUUAGAUAAUAUGUUGAAAACGAUGUUCAAUGAAGGUGAUGUGUUGAGUUGUGUACAAAUGUGAGAUAAGAUUUAGAUCCCAUGAUUUUCGAACACAGAUUUGAAGCCUUGGUCUUCUCUCCCACCAUUAGAGUAAAUGGUAGUAAUAGAAGAUCUAAAGUUUUUUUGACCCAAACUUUACCCAUUGUGGAUGAUAUUUAGUUUGGUAGCAAUAUCAUUACCCUUGAUAAAGAUGAGAGCUACAGUACUGUAGUGUGACCUUAUUUUUGAAAUAAAAGGGAAGCAAAGAAAAUGCCUUUGAUCAAAAUAAUCUUGACCCAAACAAACAAUGAAAACAAGUCUUAAGCUAGUAUCCUAUGGAAAUUUGAAAUGAUACUAGUCAUAUAAUCAAGAUAUGUCUAGAACACACUCACCUUUUGUGAUUAACAAAUCUGGAAGUAUCAAUGACUUUGAAAUAUAUACGUAUUUGUAUGAAAUUUAAUUAUCCACAUGACAUGUACUUGUUAAUAGCAUUAUUGCAUAUUAUUCAAUGACACAUCAAUCUAAUGAUUUCCUAAGAUAUUCAAAGCUUAUCACCUCAAGAGGCUUUGUUAAAAUGCCAGCUAAUUAUUCAAUUGAAUACCAGCUAAUUAUUCAAUUGAAUAAGCUUCUAGAGUUUCUCUAAGUCUCCCCCUCUUCUAUUUUAUCCUAUUACUCAAAAUGAACUGAUGAACAUUUGAUUAUUAGUGUUUAAGAGUCAUAACUAACUCUUACAAGAGCAAUUUAGAGGCAAAACCUUUUCUUUCAAUUGAAGAAAUUCAAACUGCGUCAACCUUGGCCACUGGGAUUACUUGUCCUACUAGCGUAAUCCCAUUGUAUUAGCUGUGCAGGUGUGCCUAAGAAAAUGAAUUCCAUAAUAUAUUGAUGUGCUGGUACCACAGCUUCCAUGACGCGGGUAGGGCAAGGCUAAGACAAAACAAUAGUCUUUAGAAUAAUUUACAUUUGCUAAGUAACACCUAUUGUUUUUGGUGCAUGACUUACUGCUGAAAAAUAGCUUCUUUGGUUGAAGUAGCAUUAGCUGCACACACUUGUGCUGGCUGUGCAAGCUUCACUAGAAGUUACCUCUCUACUUUAUACUAUACUGGUUAUGCGAGUACCCAUGUGGUAGUUACGGUUCUACCAGAAAGCAAUGUUUGAAACUCUUUUUGAACAUAUUAACCUAUGCUCUCUCAACCUAACACAACCCUAUGUUUCUCUAGACUUUAGGAAUCCUACAAUGAUCAUGGAAAACACUUUAUACAGUCUCUAAGGAAAUGCAAUCCAAUAUUCUGUAAGCUUGAGAUAAAACCAUCACCUUCUUUACCUUUGGUGUUUAGUAUGAGCUUGUUCUUCACCAAUCUUGAUCUCACUGCAUGGAUGAUCGACUUUGUGAUUGGUAAAACAUUUUGGUGAAAUACCUUAGCUAUUUAUUACACUAGAAAUGUCAUGAAAUUCACCAAUAUUCAAAUGUUCUGUUUAUGGUUUCUUUUUUUGAUAAUUUUGUGACAAAACAUACAUCACAAAGAAGAAAAAAAAAUGAUUAGGAUGUCAAGAAAUAGAACAAAUCAACCAUAUGCUUCUGAUCAAUAUUGAACCUGGCUACACAUUACCACUCAAAAACACUCAUUAAUAGUUUCAGACAUAUACAAGGCACACCAUUAUGUAAAUGCAAGCUAAGGUGCAUUUCCUCUUUCUGACACUUCUCAAAACAAUUUUUCUGUCCCAUUUUCUGGUAUAACACACAUUCUUCUCCUAUCCAUAUGUGCAUACAUCCCAUGUCAACUAAUGUUAGCAGAUUAGAUUAGAUUUGUUAUAGAAUUUGAAUUGGUCAAGCUAUUUGAAUUUACUUUUAUUUUUUUAUUUUUUUUGUUAUUUCAGAUUAUGUAGGAUUAGGAGUUUUAUGUUUUAAAUUCAAAUAAGGGUAGAUUGUUAUCUGUAACAAUUCUGCCAUGAUCCUAGGAGUAAUUUCAGGACUUUGUUGAUAACCCUUAGUCAUCCUAAGUCUAUUUAAAUGUAUUGCCUUCAAAUAAUAAAAAAUAAUGCAGAUUAGUUUUAGAUCUGGUUUCAUGGUAUUGGACCCAAGAUUAGUCGUCGAUAUCUCUUUCUAAAGACAACCAGGGAUGUAUUGGAUGCUGCCCAACAAACGUACUUCAAUCUUGGCAACGUGUCACAAUUGUUCGAAAUUCAGUCCAAAUUAAAGGAGAUCAAGCAAGACACCCAAUUGAUUACUCAGUAUUUCACUAACCUGGAGGAUAAGUGGCAAGAAUUGGAUUUGUUUUUUGACGAAAACUCAGUGUGUGCAACCUGUAGUGUGAAGUAGAGGCAGAAUCUUCAGAAAGAAUGGGUGUAUGAUUUUCUUAUUAGAUUAAAUCGAGAUCUUGAUGAAGUCCAAGAACGCGUUUUAAGUUGAGUUCCAUUCUGAACAAUUGAUGAAGCCUUUGCUGAAGUUCGUAGACGAGAAAAUCGUGGAAAAGUUAUGUUGUCUGAAGAAGGACCAUUGAGUGCUCCACCAACAGAAGGCUUGACCUUGAUGACCAGAAACAAAUUGCAACCAAGAAAGAACAACAAUGAUUCAAGGACACCACAUCAAGGAGAACAAAUGUGGUGUGAUCACUGCAGCCGCCAUGGACACAUCAGGGACAUAUGCUGGAAGAUUCAUGGAAAACCUGCAAAUUGGGUUCCCCAAAGAUAGACUGAAGGCCGAGGUUUUCAAGCUCAAUAAAACCAAUACAAGCAAGGAAUAGAUUCUUCAACACAACAUCAGUUUACAAAUUCAUUAGUUUCGUUCAGCAAGGAAUAGCUUGGGCAAUUCUAUUGUCUUCUCAAUCCAUCACCAGUCCCAUCUUUGUUAAAUUCUAAUCUAUGGUCAUGUUAUGUAGCACAAUCUGGUAACCACUCAGUCCUAACAUCUUUGGUUCACUCUACGAAACCUUAGAUCAUUGAUUUCGGUGCCUCUGACCAUAUGAUAGGUGGUUCUAAUUUUUUCCUAUCUUAUACUCCAUGUCCUAGUUUUACUAAAAUAAAAAUUGUAGAUGGAUCUUUAUCUUCUGUUGCUAGAAUAGGUUCAAUAAGAGUCUCGAAGGACUUAAUUCUUCACUCAGUCCUUCAUGUUCCUGCCUUAAAAUGCAAUAUGUUAUCCAUUAGUAAAAUCACUCGUGAUAAUAAUUGUUUCAUUCUUCAAUGUGUCAAUUUCAGAACCUAUCAUUGGGGAGGACGAUUAGCAGUGUUAGAAAUCAUGAGGGGCUUUAUUAUCUUGAGAACAUAGAGUAUGAGGGUCGGCAAGCUUUUGCAUCAAGGGUUGCAUCUGUUUUUGUUUCUAGUGAUAGGGAAGCAUCUGUUUCUAUUUCUAGUGAUAGGGAAAUAAUGUUAUGGCAUCAUCGACUUGGCCACCCUAAUUUUUUGUACUUAAAAUGUUUGUUACCUUUAUUGUUUAAAAAUGAAGAUUUUGUUUCUUUCAGUUGUGAUAUAUGCCAAUUUGCAAAACAUACUUGGGUACCAUUUUCUCCAAAACCCUAUAAACCUUCAAUGCCUUUUGCCUUAAUUCACAACGUUAUCUAGGGUUCAUCCAAAGUUACCACAAUGAAUGGAAAACGAUGGUUUGUGACAUUAAUUGAUAAUCAUACAAGACUCAUUUGGGUAUAUCUCCUUCGAGAUAAAUCAGAGACCAAUCAAGUGUUCCAAAAUUUCAACAAUAUGAUCCAAACUCAAUUUGGGAAAAAUAUUUGUCUUAUAGACUAACAAUGGGAGAGAAUAUUUUCAAUCUAUCUUGGGAGAUUAUUUAUUGCAUAAGGAAAUUGUUCACUAAAGCUCGUGCAUUGACACACCACAACAAAAUGGUUUCUUAGAAAGAAAAAAUAAACAUUUAUUGGAAGUGGCUAAUGCUCUUAUGUUUACAAUGAAUGUUCCCAAAUAUCUGUGGGGGGAUGCCAUUUUAACCACUGCAUUUCUGAUUAGCCGCCUACCUAGCCACACCUCGACCUUUAAAUCCCCACUAUCCAUGCUUACAAACAAAUUCCCACUUCUCAAUAUGCUUACAAAUACCCUUCCACUCAAAACAUUCAGACGCAUUGCAUUUGUCCACAUUCACUCUCAACACCGAACCAAACUUGAUCUUCGAGCCAUAGAAACAAUCUUUCUUGGCUAUUCUCCAACCUAAAAAGGGUACCGGUGUAACCGUCCCCAAACAAAGAAAAUGUUUGUCACUCGAAAUGUCACAUUUUUUGAAGAAAUCCCAUAUUAUUCACACACUUCUCUUCAGGGGGGAAUCAAGACAGAUAAGUUUCUGUGUGGGAUUGGGAUACUAUUGUUUUACCUAUAUUUGAGAUUCUAUCGCAACCUAUUGUUAUCCCAUUACUCGAGACUUUGGCUACUUCGGCCGUCAUACUCGAGCUUACCUCAUCUGAAACCUCACAACCAAUUGAAACCUUGUCACAACAUUCACUUGCAUACCAAUCCCAUAAACAAGGGGAUAUCCAACCAUACCAAAUCAAUAAAAGCUAUGGGUUUACUCUUGGAAAAAGAGUUCUCAAGGGAAUAAGCCACUUAUAAGCAAUGUGCAUUAUCCAAAAUCUGAACAUGAGUUAGGAAGUGGUUCCUCAUCCUUAGCUAAUCCUGAAACCAUUUCUGAUAGACUAGAUGAACCUAUUGCACUUAGAAAAGAUGUUAGGUCAUGUACACACCAUCCUAUUUCUAAAUUUGUGUCAUAUAAUAAUCUAUCUCCAUAGUUUCAUGCCUUUACCACAAAUCUUUCUAGAAUUGAUGUUCCUAGGACAAUAGAAGAUGCUCUAGCUAUUCCCGAAUGGAAAAAUGUUGUUCUUAAAGAGAUGCGAGCUCUUGAGAAGAAUGAUACAUGGAGUUUGGUGAAAUUACCACAAGGCAAGAGUGUGGUUGGAUGCAAAUGGGUGUUCACUAUUAAGGUAAAACCAAAUGGCUCAAUCGAGAGUACAAAACAUGAUUGGUUGCAAAAGGUUUCAUACAAACAUAUGGACUUAACUAUACUGAGACAUGUGCUCCCAUUGCAAAGCUCAACACAAUUCAUGUCCUAUUAUCACUAGCAGCAAAUUUAGACUAGCCAUUGUAUUAACUCGACAUGAAGAAUGCAUUCUUAAAUGGAGAACUGGAGGAAGAAGUGUAUAUGAGCCUACAACUCAACUUUGAAGAAGAUAAAAAGGGCCAAAAUGGUAUGCAAACUGAAGAAGUCUUUAUAUGGUCUUAAACAAUCUUUGUGUGCAUGAUUCGAAAGAUUCUCAAAAGUGAUUAAGAGUAACGGAUAUUCACAAGGGCAAAUUGAUAGGACUAAACAUGUGGAGGUUGAUACACAUUUCAUCACGAAAAACUUGAGAAAUGAGUAAUCAGCAUAAAGUACAUUCCUAUAGACCAACGGGUUGUUUACAUACUCACAAAAAGACUUCAUGGACCAGCAUUCAACUUUCUAACAAGCAAGCUUGGACUCAUUGACAUCUACGACCAAGCUUGAGGAGGAGUGUCGGUGGAUUAGAUUAGAUUUGUUAGAGAAUUUGAUUAGUCAAGCUAUUUGAAUUUACUUAUGUUUUUCUUUUUUUCUUUUUUUUUUCUUUUUUUGUUAUUUCAGAUUAUGUAGGAUUAGGAGUUUUAUGUUUCAAAUUCAAAUAAGGGUAAAUUGUUAUCUAUAACAAUUGUGUCGUGAUCCUAGGAGUAAUUACAAGACUUGGUUGAUAACCCUAUGUUGACCUAAGUCUAUUUAAAUGUAUAGCCUUGAAAUAAAAAAAAUAAUGCAUAUUAGUUUUAGAUCUGCUUUCAACUAAUAACCAAGAUCAUGUAAAGUUUCUUUCCCAUUCUUUGGCCUAUUUAGUAUGUGUAGCAUACAAAACUCAUCUCCUUUAAAUUGAACUAAUGCUAGUUAAAACUCUCCCCUUAGCAUCGCUUGUAAUAUUAGUCAUUGGGUGAUUUUUGUUCACUCUUGAUGUAGUCUCUUAGAGAAUUAAAUGUAGAUAAAAAGACUUUAAAAUGGGGUUAAAAAAUAGAGGAAAACAUCAAAAGCAAGAUUACAUCAAAAGAGAAUGGACAUCUACUUUAAUUAAAGCUAAAACAUGAAGAAAUCUAAACCAUAGAAAAGAACAAAGAGGCCUCCCAAAGGAGAAGAGAAAAUCUCCCAACUAUAAAAUGGGGUAUGGUUACCUUAGCUUGGGGGUACAUGACGGCAUCCUAUGGAACCCCCAAAGAUCCAAGUGCUAGGAGGAAAGUGCUAAAAAAAGUGGGCUUGGGCAUCUGGCAAAAAGGGCACCACGCUUGGAUGGCAUGGGCCAUGGGGCCCAACUUGGUGCCCAAAGUCGCCGUAAAAUUUGGGGAGGCUGCCAGAUUGGGCACCAUCCUUUUGUGCACUGUGGGCCAUAGGCCAGAGUCAAAACGAUAGUGUGCAUUCUUCCCCUGUUUCAUGCACUUAGCGUUCCUCUUGCUGUAUUCUUGUGCUUUGGUUGUCUCAGGAGGCUCCAUUAUGUGCACUUAUUCACUCAAAUAGAUGCAACACAUAGAAAACUAGAGGAAAACAUAGGAAAACCAAGGUUAUGCGGGGCAAAGCAAAAAUGGUGAUUGGAGAAUGCACUUUAUGUCAAUAUCACACUUAAAAUGCAAUUUCUAGUCUCAUUUCUGACCAAUAUUUGCAUCAAUCACCUCAUUAUUAUUAUUAUUUUUUAUUUUUUGCUUUAGGUAUACUUUGUUCAAAUCUUUAUUUUGGAUACUCAUUGGUGUAAUUUUAGAAGACAGUAGUGAUAAUUGGAUUUGGUUCCAGACUUCAUCAGACUGACACAUAAAUGUAACCUGUAUGAAUACAUGACCAAAUCUUAUGUUUUAAGUGCUUUUUUUUUAUUUGGUUCCAUAUUUUGAGGAUAUGAAUGUUUAUGCUUUAACUAGUGUGAUUCAGCUAUAUGUUGAGUUCUCCAUGCUGUGAUUAAUUACUACUUUGGCAAACCAUUCUUGCACUAGUGCUGUUAACUUAAUUUACAAUAUUUUGUAACUAAUGAAUCAUAAUUGUUCAUCUGAGUUUCUAUUUUGAACUUUUGUUGAUGUUCUGAGUUGUAUACUGCUGAUAACACAGGAAUGACUGAUCUAGCUGGUGGGGCUGCAGGUGAGAUAUAUAAAGAUGGGAAACGCGUAGCGACUUUUGCCUUUAGCAAUAUUCUUUAUCUGAGGGAUCUGAGCAGAAACUCUAAAAAGUUAACUCAGGAAGCCACGAAUCUCAAGGAAACGAGGAAAUACCUAGAAAUAAGAAGAUUUAAGACACAGUCAGGCAUAAGAGAUUGGAUUGCUACGGCUUCGAUUAUUUUAAGGCAAGUGGAACGCCUAGAAACUAAAUACAACAAUGAAAAGAAGCAUCGAUGGAAAUUGUUUUCCCUUGCAAAUCUUAGCAAAGAGAUGGAAGUGAAGUGCCAAGAAGUUUGUAGUCAUAGGGAAAAGGGAGUCUUCAUGAAAGAAACAGCAGUCAUGGAAUUGCCAGAGCCUGUCCAAAGAAUACCUACACUCAAACUGGAAGAAAACUCGUCAUUGCACAAAGUUUUACAACAUGUACUGAGGUGUCUAGAGGAUAAAGAAGUAAGAAGAAUUGGUAUCUGGGGCAAGCUGGGAACUGGGAAAACCACAGUAUUGAAGAACUUGAAUAAUCAUGCAAAAGUUGCUGAAAUGUUUAAUGUGGUUAUCUAUGUAACUGUCUCAAAAAAGUGGAGUGAAAAAAGGGUACAAGAUGCAAUCCUAAGGCGGCUAAAAUUGGAUGUAGUAGGUAAUGCCAAUGUUAACGAAGCUGCUUGGCUAAUAUCCGAAGAUUUGAAGGAAAGGAAGUGUUUGAUUCUUUUGGAUGAAGUAACGGACAUGAUUGAUCUAAAUAGAAUAAUGGGAAUCGACGAGAACCCAGAUAGCAAGGUAGUGUUGGUGAGUAGAUAUGAUGACUUUUGUAAAUGUGUCAUGAAGGCUGAUGAGCUAGUUAAUGUGAAGCCAUUGUUACGUACUGAAGCUUGGAACAUGUUCCAGAAAAUAGUAGGCCCUUCCAUUUCUAACCCCUUAAUUGAACCACUGGCGAGGGGUGUGGUUAAUGAGUGUUAUGAGUUGCCACUGCUGAUAGACAGAGUGGCAAAAACCUUCAAAAAGAAUGGGGAGGAUUCUGUGCUUUGGGAUUAUGGAUUGGAACAGUUGAAAAGAUGGGACAGUAUCAAAAUCUAUGGCAAGGAUGAAGUGCUGGAACGCUUACAGAUUUGUUAUGAUGAUUUGGAAGAUGAUGAACAGAAGGUUUGCUUUUUGUAUGGUGCAUUGCAUCCCCAAGAAAGUGAGAUAUAUGUAGAUUACUUGUUAGAAUGUUGGAAAGCUGGAGGUUUUAUUAAACAUGCAAAUGAUUUCAGAAGUGCACGCAACAGAGGGCAUACGGUGCUGAAUGAGCUUAUCAAGGUAUCUUUGCUGGAGAGAAGUGCUAACAGGAAAUGUGUUAAGAUGAAUAAAAUGCUUCGGAAAAUGGCGCUUAAGAUCUCAUCAAAAAGAACAGAUUCCAAAUUUUUAGUGAAGCCACACGAGGGGUUAGAAGAUUUCUCAAAGAAGGAAGAAUGGGAACAAGCCCAUCGGAUUUCUUUGAUGAAUGACCAACUACGCACUUUACCAGAAACACUAGAUUGUCGCAAUCUGUUAACGUUGUUGCUUCAAAGAAAUAAGUGCUUGACUUCUAUUCCUGAGUUGUUCUUCAAAUCUAUGUGUCGUCUCCAAAUUCUAGAUCUCCAUGGCACUAACAUUGUAGUACUGCCUUCAUCCUUAUCCAACUUGAUUUACCUCAAAGGGCUCUAUUUAAAUUCCUGCUCUGAGUUGAAAGAAAUCCGAUCUAGUGUAGAAGCACUUGAGCAUCUUGAGGUGUUGGAUAUUCGAAAGACCAAACUUAAGUUACUUCAAAUUGGAAGUUUAGUAUGGUUGAAGUGUUUGCGAUUAUCAUUGUGUAAUUUUGAUGUGGCAAACUAUACUGAAGCACAAGUGUCAAGGUUUGAUUUGUUGGAGGAAUUGACUAUUGAUGUUGGUUCAUUGGAAGAAGGGUGGGACAAGAUUGUAGAUCCAGUAAUAAAGGAGAUAGUUAAGUUGAAAAAAUUGACCUUUCUUAGAUUUUGUUUCCCUCAAGUAGACUGCCUUGGCUUAUUUGUUGAAAAAAGCCCUGUGUGGGAGGAUCCCCGCUUGAUAUUUCAUUUUGCUGUUGGUUACCAUGACUCCGCCGUUGCUCAUGCUCUUGAGUCUAUCGAUAAUCCAAGCUACAAGAUCUUGAAGUUGGCCAAUGGUGAUGGUGUAAAUCCUAUAGUCAUGAAGGUGCUAACGAAAACCAAUGCAUUGGGACUAAUAGACUACAAAGGAGUUUCGAGUCUAUCGGAUUUUGGCAUCGAGAAUAUGAAUAUGAUAUUUGAUUGUUUGAUUGAAGGAUGCAGUGGAAUGAAGACCAUCACCUAUGGUAAUGGAACAUCAAAGGCUGUGCUAGAAUGGUUGAAAAAUUUGCACAUAACCAAUGUCCCAGAAUUGGAAAACAUUUGGCAGGGGCCUGUUCAUGCUGGAAGUUUGGCUCGAUUAACAACUGUGACAUUAAGUAAUUGCCCCAAGUUGAUGAAGAUAUUCUCUAAUGGUAUGAUUCAACAACUUAUUCAACUGACGCACUUGAGAGUUGAAGAAUGCCAUCAAAUUGAAGAGAUUAUCAUGGAAUUUGAGAAUACACAACUAGAAAACCAAGCACUUCCAAAGUUGGAGACCCUAAAACUCAUUCAUCUGCCACAACUAACAAGCAUUUGGGCUAAAGAUUCAUUAGAGUGGCCAUCUUUACAAGAAGUUGAGAUAUCUAAGUGUUUCAAGUUGAAGAGUUUACCUUUCAACAAGGUAAAUGCAACCAAAUUGAGAUCCAUUGAAGGGCAACAAUCAUGGUGGGAAGCACUAGAAUGGAAAGGUGAUGCCAUUAAACAAAGAUUACAACCUCUUUUCAUCCCCAACCAGCUCCUUUGAUUUCAUCUCUUAUGCGUUUUAUUGUAAAGCUAAUCAGGAUAGUUGCUGCUGCUGAGACAAAGUAAGUUUGUGUGCAGGAUUCAAAAACUCUGGCUUGCACUUGCUUGAGAUUUACUAUUUUUUUCUUGUAUUUGUUUGAGAUUUGAUACUUUGGGUUGUGUUUGUUUAAGAUUUGCUACUUCAUAUUGUAUUUGUGUAUGAUUGCUUGUUGUUUGGUUGUUGUAUUUCCAUAUAUCUUAUGUAAGGAUAAUAGAUUGAAAAUCUUAAGCUCUAUUUGGUUCUAGAAAAGUAUUAAAGAAAGAGGAAAAUGAUUUUCUCAUAUUUGGUUUUAAAUAAUUUUCUUUAUAUAGAGGAGAACAAAAAAAGUAAAAUGAGUUUAAAAUAGCAUAUGAAAAUAAUUUAUCGACUUUAAAUCUUUUUUUUUUUUUUUUCAGUUUUCGUCUCCAUUUUCUUUCUCUUCCAUUUUUUUUUCAAAAUUUUCAAGAACCAAAUAUAACCUUAGUCAUAACCGCUAAUAAUGAUUUUUCUUCUCAUAAGGUAGGACUGAACAAUUGUAGUAUUUGAUAUUUGUGGAGAAUUAUUCAUUUGAUACACAUAUUCUUUCUCUUGAUAUCAUAUAUGGUUUCUGAUUUUACUUGUUAUCUUAAUUUUUGGUAUUUGAAUUUGAUUUCUUCAUCUCAUUUAUUUUUAUUUCUUUGGGGAAAUGGUUUAGGAAUAUGAAUAUGAAGAUGUUCAAUUGCUUUACGGAUUUCUGCUAACUGAGUCAUCAUGUGGCCUAAGCCCAGCCCUUUUCAUGCCCAAGCCUGGCCCAAUCAUUGAAAUUUGGGCUUAGACAGAACUCAGACCCGCAAUGAUGGGCUUUUAAAAUAUAAAUGUUAUGCAACACCUUAUCUUUUAAUUACCUUUAUGUCUUAUAAAAAUAAUUAAUUCUAAAUUUCAACUCAAAGUUAAGUUGUCCAAAAAUCAUUAAAAAUAGGAAACAUUUUUUUAGACUUGAAAAAACGUUUGGUAUUAUUUUAUUUUUCGAAAACAGUUCUUUGAAAACUUGUUAUGGAAAUAAAAUAUUUUUUGAGAACAUAUUUUAAUUAUUUUUAAAUAUCUUUCCUUAUUUUUUGGGAUUUAUUUUAAAAAGUAAUUGUACAUAUAUGUAGAAUGGUCGGAAUAAAAUCAUUGGAAACAAAAGUUGUUUUGAAGAAAUUCAAAAACAUAAAAAGUAGUUUGAGAAUAGGUGGCAAGUGUGUUAAAAAAUAGUUCUAAAAAACAAUUUAAAAAAAAAAAAAAUUAUGAUAUUUUUAAAGUAAGUUUAUUUGAAAACCAAAAAUUUUUGUUUUCUAUGUUUUUAAAUAUGUUUUAAAGAUAUUUUUUAUAUGUAGUACUUUAAUUUUAAUUAUUUUUUAUAUUUAUAUAAUUUUAAAAAAAAAAAAUAUUUAGAAAAUAAAUGAAAACAAUUAAAGAUGUUCUCUAAAAAACACUGUUUUCUAUUUUUAAAAAUAAAAAAUAAAGUGUUUUUAGAAAAUAUAUUUUAAUUGUUUUUACUUGUUUAAAAAAUAAUUAUAAAGAAUAAUUAAAAAUAAAGUGUUAUGAAUAAAAAUUAUUUCUAAAAUAUAUUUAAAAACAUAGAAAAAAGGCUCAAAGUAUUUCAAGUUCCAAACAAAUUUUGUUUUGUAAAACAUUAGAAAAUGGUUUUUAAAAACUAUUCUCAAAGCUGCUUUUUAAAACUAUUUUUGAGAAUACUUCCAAAACAGACCUUAUUCUCCCUUCUUUCUUGCCCUAAAACAAGUAUAAAAAACUGUUCUUUUAAAGUUGUUUUUGAAAAUACUUCCCAAACAGACCUUAUCAUUCUCUCUUCUUUCUUGCCCAAAAAUGAGCGGCAGUUCCAUAAUAGCUCAAGCUUACCUUCAAGGAGUCACCAGGCUGACCUGAGCCUGGCACUCAAAACAAAAACCAAAUAUGAGACAACAUACUAAGAAUGCACUUGUGUUAGAAAUUUAGACACAGAUGAUACAAAUGCUGCUGGGAAUUGGUUUUUUGGGCUUUGAAAGUAAAAUGUUUUAAGGAAAAACCAGCCAAAAUGUGCAGCAGGCAUUCUGGACCACCCUCUUCAUUCUGGGGAAUUAAUGAUUCUGUUCAACCGGUUGUUCUUUCUAUUGUGAUUAUUACACAUGACACUUUCAAACAUGUCAAAUUCGUUAAUUUUUCGAUAGCAAUAGGUAGAUAUAUAUCCAUGAUUUUGGUCUUCAAUUUAUGAUUUCAGUCCCUUGAAAAUCAAAUACCUAAAGGUGAUGGAGUUCUCCGACUUUGGGUGCCAACCCAUGAACAAUUCACAACCUCCUAAAAGGAAAUUUGAAGUUGAACCAAUAGAAAGAGAGAUUGUGAUAAAGAUCUUAUUCGAGUAUGAAACAAGUCUAGGAUUUGCAUGACAAACAUUUUAUUGGAAAAAUAAGGGAACAAUUACUCUUAAAUGAUGGUUGUCUUGUUAGAAUAAUACAUUGAAUUUAGGGUGAUUCAGGUUCUUUGGUAACUUGGUAUUAACAAGAUUACAAACCAAGGUCGAAAACUAAUGUUUUUUCCGAACUAAAAAGACUAAAAAAAGCAAGCAACUAUUGGCAUAGUGACUUGGUCGAUCCAUCACCACAUAUAAUGCUUCUAGUUUCAUUGCACCCUUCAACUAAACAAACUAACAUGUUUGCCAUGUUGUGAAUGCCAAAAUCUGAUAGUGUUGAAACACCUUGUGGUUAAUUAAUCAGAAUGCAUAUGUCACCAUAAGUACCUCUGCGAUUACAGGAUGCCUCCCUUCACCAUUGACCAAUUCAAGCAAUUGAAGCUUGGAUAAUCAGUAGACUCUAGAAAGUAAGAGGAGGUUGAGUCCUGGUGACCAACAGAAAAUUGAAAUGAGAAGUGUGAGCUCUUCUUCCUUGCUGGGCUUCCAUGGACAAACAAUACAAGGAAGUCCACCGUAGGGAAGCAAAAUUGAAGGGAAGUUAAUUUUUGCAAGGUAGCCACCUCCUCCGUAACAAUCUUUAAAACUUGACAAGGUUGAAAUAUUUAUAUGCAUCUUCAAACUCAUUUACAUUGCAAGUGGGUUCUGACUGGAAUCCUCUAUUCCAAUAGGAAAUUUUUGAAAUGAGAUAUCCGCUGUUGGGGCCUCUAUUUCCUGCAUGGCUGCAAAGACAAAAGGAUUUGAUGGGUCUAGACAUAUCUAUUGAGGCCUCGCGUCCCUGGUGAUCUACGUAGUUGCCAAAUGGAUGGACGCACGAUCUCAACCAAUAUAGGUUCUUGAUUCAGUCCUUCUACCUGCAAAAGGCGUUCGGACAGGGUGUCCGGACGCACCCUCCGAUGGUUUUGUCAGCCAUGGUUAGAGAGAGAUAAAUCAGUUGGCCUUUUACUAGGUACCUCAAGCUUACCUUCCUCUUUGUGUGAAGGUUCGUAUAUAUAGUAUCAGAAGCUUUGUUCUCCUCUUUAAUGGUGGGGAGAUAUUUUGUGUUGUCAUGAUGACACUAGGUGGUGGCAGGCCAUCAUCACCCUACGGGCGGCUGACAGAGAUCGUGGUAGGUGAUGCAGUUGUCAGAGAUCGUGGUAGGUGAUCGUGGGAAGUGACUUGUUGUCACUUCAUCUUGUCCUUUCACUCUGCAGGUGGCGGAACGUGGGCCAUGACAGGCUGUUGUGAUAACGUGCAAGACUUGCUUACUUCAGUCAAUGAUCUGGGCAACGUAUCCGGAUGGCCUGUGUUUAGUCGUCCGGGUGCAUUUGUGGAAGUCGUCAGGAUGUCAUGCUUAUGAGUGUCGUGUGCUUCUCCUUGAGGUAGUCCGGAUAGGAGAAGCGCGCCACGUGUACUCUUGGGGAAAUCCGGAUGGGGUUGACCCCGGAUGAGAAUGUGUGCCACGUGUUAUCAGGGGGAGGGGUCCCUACAAUAUCCAGAGCAGGAAUCAAAGAUGCCAUCCCAUCUUGGUUCUGGAGUCUGAAUUUUGACUACAUGAAUCUAGCCUACAACCUGAUGUAUGGCACUGUUCCAAGCUUAACAGCUGCAUAUCAGAUCCAUCUUGGUUCAAACAAAUUCAGUGGCCCACUGCCCCGUAUCUCUUCCAAGACAUUUUCAUUAGAUCUUUCCCGUAACUCAUUUAAUGGAUCCCUUUCACCCAUCUUGUGUCAACAGAACAAUGAAGUGAACACUUUGAGGAGAACUUUCCGGAAACAUUCACUCAUUUAAUGGACCUCCCCGGAAACAUUCUAUCAGGAGAACUUCCUGACUGUUGGGCGUCCUGGACACUACUCAUGGUGUUGAGAUCAAGAAAUAAUAAUCUGACUGGACAUCUACCGAGCUCAAUGGGUUCCCUACUUUGGCUAAGAUCAUUGCACUUGCGCAACAACAGUCUCUCUGAUACUUUACCGUGUUCCAUGCAAGGUUGCGAAAGUUUAACAGUUGUAGACCUCAGUGAGAAUGAAUUCUCUAGAAGCAUAACGAUGUGAGUGGGGAAGAAUCUGUCCAGUCUUAUGGUUCUUGUCCUACGAUCAAAUAAAUUUACUGGGAGUAUUCCUAUGGAAUUCUGUCACCUCGAGUCCCUUCAAGUCUUAGACCUUGCAAACAACAUCACUGGUUGUAAAGAGAACAGAAUAUGAGUACAGUGGUUCUCUUCCCCUUCUAACUGGAAUAGGCCUCUCAUGCAACAACUUGUCAGGGGAGAUACCAAAAGAACUUACCAGUCUCCAAGGUUUGAUGUUCUUGAACCUCUCUGUAAAUCAUCUUGAAGGACAACUUCCUAUGGAGAUCAGCGCCAUGACAUCGUUGGGGUCCCUUGAUAUCUCCAGGAACAAACUUUCGGGUGUUAUUCCACAAAUCCUUGCAGGUAUAUCAUUGUUGAGCCAUUUAUAUGUGUCGUACAGCAACUUCUCAGGCAGAAUUCCAUCAGGCACUCAAAUCCAAGGCUUUAAUUCGAGCUGUUUUAUUGGUAAUCUUGAGCUCUGUGGGCCUCCUCUUACAGAGACUUGUGUUGGAGAUGAUCUCCCAGAGGUUCCAAUUCCAGGGCCUGCUGAUGAAGAGGACAAUGAUGAUUGGAUCGAAAUGAAGUGGUUCUAUAUGAGCAUGCCACUGGGGUUUGUGGUUGGUUCUUGGGCUGUUUUGGUUCCAUUGGCAAUCAAAAAGGCAUGGAGGGAUGCCUUUUUCCAGUUCUUGGAUAACAUGAAAUGCAAACUGUUUGGCUGCUCUCAGUAUGGAGAGCAGUAUUUGUGUUCCUUGAAUACAAAUAUAAGCGUCCUUUUGGCUGUAGGCUCAUCACACACGCCUAACCAUUCAUUGAUGUUUCAUGUGAGCUCCUUUUGGUUGCCGAGAAAACCUAGUCCAAUGGGACAAAGUAUGCUGGGAAAGUGCGUUAUUCAUGGUAACUUCAAGGAGAGUCCAGAUCAACCCUUAGGGCCACUAAGAGAAGAGCAGGAGAAUCAAGGGAAUUAAGAAUGAAGUGUUUUUAAGGAAGUAGUAGAUUGAAAGGAAGAUCGAUUAUCUUGCUCUUGGAUUUAUUGACCUAUGUGAAAGAGGGAGAUGACCAUGUAAUAAACACACAAUACCUUCAUAAACUGAAAAAAAUCUGUUUUUCAUAUUUAAAUUCUCAAAGAGAAUUUCAUUCCUAAAAACAAUUAAGAAUUAUUUUUAAAAUUAUUAUAAAAAACUAUUGUUUGAAAAAUAUUUUAGAAAGCAUUGUUAAACAGACCCCUAGUUGUUGAUUUUCUAUAAACACCAAAAGGACAAGCAAUUAUCCACAAACAUUAGACACAAUUCAUCACUUCAAUUAAAUAGCCAAAAAGUAUCAAGGCUGAAGGACUUACAGGGGACAGUUAUAAACGGGAAGAAUACCUAGGACAUGUCCAAACACAAGACUCCUAAAGACUAAGCUAUGAGGAGGAAAAAAAACCCCAAAAUCAUGUCAAUAGAACAGAAGAGCAAAAUUGCAUACUUAAAAUACUUUACACAAUUUAGAGGAGAGAACUCAGUACUCCCAUUUCCUAUUCUCCAUGCCAUCAGGAGGGCUUCCCUCAACCUUCUUCGAUCGAACUUCCUUCCAGUUUGUCCACAGCACUGUCCUGUUUUACUCCACAAGUUAAAAAAUAGCCCCAAGAAAAACAAUGUCACCUUUGAAUCCAUUAAUUUGCUAAUUUCCCUUUUAUAAUCCCAUACUCAAUUAGAAUGAUAUCCUAUGUAACUCCGGUUUUGAAGUCUUACAAAAGAUUUUUGCAUGGCCAUUCUUGUGUCUUCAUCUGCAUCUGGGUAAAUGUCCCGGAAAAAUCUGUUCAGAGCUGCAUCUCCAUCCAGCUUUUCUUCUUUCUCCUGAAAUUCAAACCACCAAAGAGUUGAUCGCCAUAUAAAAUUCCGAUAAUGAAAACCAAAGUAACAGCAUCUAGACUGCAGGCAAACCUCCUUCUUGACUUGUGCUUCCAGCUUAUCCCAAUCUACCAUUUUAGUCUUAGAGGACGGGUAAGUGGGCCUUUGAGAUGCAACACCUGCAACUAGAAAAAGGAAAUAAGCUUAUUAGCAUGAAAAGAAACUUUAUGCUGAAAAAUGGUAAUAGGCUCAUGAUUUUCAAGCAAACAAAUGCUCUGUAGGUAAACAUAUUAAUAAUCGAUCACUCAAUGUCCUCUGUUCUUCCAAAAUGUUACAAUCUUGGAGAAGCAUCAACAGAUUGAUAUGAAAGCAAAAGAAAUACCAAAUCUAUUGUUGAGUUUGCCACGUUGAGUUUUGUCACUGCUGCACAUAUCACACAGCAAUUCUUUUAUGUGCUCUUCUCCAAUUGUAACACUAUAUAAAAACAAAAAUUGUAUUUUGAGGAUGCUGUUUAUUAGUGAUAGCAGUAAGUGAAGACUGCAACCUCAAAACUGCAUUAUGAGGAAGCAGCCUACCCUUGCUAGCAAUCAAGUGAAGACUGAUGAUCCAGAAGUUGUGAAACAGAUGAUCCUGGAUGUGAGCUUAACAAGGAUGGACACACAAGUAUAAGAACAUCCUCACUAAAUGCAUUGGAUAGAUAUCAUGUCCAAUGGGUUUUUAUUUCCAUGUAGAUAUAGAAUAGUAUUUUCAGGCUUAUAUCGAGGAGCAGUAUGACACUGGUAGUGCAAAUAACAGAGAAAGAAAAUAUAAAGUUUUUCUUUUCUUCAAGUAUGGCAUGAUUUGUAUCAUGUAUGAGCUGUGAAUAGAAUAAAUAAAAUUUAGAUCACCUCUACCUUUGAAGAGAAAAAGAAUGAAAAAACAACCUGACUGUUGAGAUGGAUUUCUCUCUUGCUUGGGAGCUAGAAGCUGAUUGCCAAUUUCCACUGAGUCAUCAAAUCAGCAUCUGAUUUAAUGGGGACAAAUAUAGAAUCCAGCUUAUGUGUUAGAACUGAUGUACGCCACUUCAAUGCCCUCCACCAGUCGGCCUCUCCUAUAAUCACCUUCAAAUUAUUACUAGAAACUUCCAUGAUAGAAAGAGCUUCAAUUCUUGGGCAAUUAUAGAAGCUCAUCCAUUCCAAGUCUGGUGCAAUGUGUAGACCACUAGAAAUGCUGCCCAAUUUAGGUAAGUAAUGAAGUGGUAUCUUCUUCAACUUUGGAAGGUAUGUUUUGAGCAGCGUAUGUUCUGCAGGGACUUCACGAGUCACCAAGCUGUUUAUUUUGGGGCAGUUUUCAACCACAAGCUCCUCUAAAAGGUCGAGAUUUUCAAGCAAAGCCAAAGUAAAAGUGGUCUUCAAUUGGGGGCAUGCAUACAAUUCCAGAGACUUGAGACUGGAUAGACAACCCUUCCUGAUGGCCCCUUCCAUAUACUGCCUAAAUUCUUCAUGUAGUGAAGCCUCAAGUAUCAGAGUGAUCCAAGUAUGAUUUCUUGAUGAACGUCUCCAUCGUCUUUCCUUGUCUAUAAGUUUCUGCUCUAUCCACAAGGGUUUGAAUCUUGCUACAUUGCCCCAUUACACAAAAUUAUAGUUUCAUUAUGUGAGUGUUUAGCUAGGUUGAUAAUUCCGGACAAAAUACUUAAGUGUCCCCUAACUCGGCUUUCCAAUUCCUAUUUGGACUACUUGACUUUGAAGACUAAAACUUUGCUAAAAGGCCAAGGUAUGUAGCCGAGUGUGUGGUGAUUGGAUGUGAAUCAACCCAGUUUUUAAUCUUUAAAUGUGUUAGAAAGUUGGGAGAAAUGGUUUUUGGUGAAAGGCUUUCAUUCCCCUGUUUCUGGAUCGAUCCAAGUAUAGGGGUGGAUUGAUCCAACUAAUUUUUUUUUAGAUCAAAUCUCAACCAUUAGAUUAAGGGUUUCUUUUUACACUUUAAAAAGCAAUCUUCUCUCAUUUUUCUGAGAUGUGACUGUAGAAAAUGUGGAGAGAGCAGCCACACUCCUUGCAUUCUUCAUUUUCUCAUUUUGUUUUCCUAAUUUGGGGUUUUUGAUUGCAAAGAAAAUCCACUUCUCUUAAUGUUUUCCAAACUAGUUUUUAAUGGAUUUUCUUGAGCAAUAAAUGGGUUGAUUCAUUCCUUCAUUCACAUCUCAAUCUCUCAUUCUACUUGGGUUUGGGUACAUGCCCAUUUUCUUUUUGUGUGGAUUCAAGAAGAGGCCGGGAUUGAGCUUGGUGCGGACUCCAAGUGUGCUCCGAAAGAAGAAGGUGAGAAGCUGAAAAUGAAGGUACUAGUCAAGUAGUCCGGGAAGGAUUGGUUGGCUUGAUUUAGGUAAAACCUUGUACUCAGUUUUUAUUCUUCAUAGUGGAGUUUUUCAAUCGAUGAUAGGCCUGUGGUUUUUGAUAUUCGGAGGUUUUCCAUGUUAAAAAUCUGAUGUUCAUUGUCUCUUUCUCUCACUCUACAUUUUGAUUUAUUUUCUGUUUUUGAUAUCAUUGAUUACUUAGGCAUACUUGUUGAAUGGAAGAAAUAUGAAGUGAUUUAAGUGUGAUUAUCCAUUGAAUGUCUUUAAUAAUUCUUCUGUUCACUUUGUUUAAUGAGAUCAUGGAAUCAAUUGUUAUGAGUUGAGGAGAUAAUUGUUCUUUUGAUUUAUUUUUGAGGAGUGUUGAAGCAUUUGCAUGUGUUUUGCAUUGAUAAAUUGUUGAGAGAGUGUUGAUGCAUAUAUUCUUACUUGUGGAUGUUAUGCUUUGUUGAAAAAUUGUUGGAAGAAAAGUUUCUUGACAUUGAGAUAGUCUAAAUGUUUGUUGGGAGAAUUUUUAAAUUGUUCUAGAACACCUAUUCACCCCCCCCCCCCCUCCUCUAGGUGUAGUCCAUUAUUGAGAUUCACAUUUUCGCAUUAUAUUUUCAAUCCCAAAGACAGCUUGGUAAGAGUUAAAUGGCGUUCCAAAAGCAGACCGGUAGCAUGCUGGAGUACCUUCUCAAUUUCCGUUGGGACACUAUUACCAUUGACAUACUUCAAGCCUUUUUUUUGCUGUUCAAAUUUAUUUGCAAUUUCUGGUGGUAGUCGAGAUACAAAGUGUUUGUGAUGCCUGCCAAUAGUAAACCUGAAAUUCAUCAAUAAGAGGUUUAUCACUGAUGUUCCACUCCUCAUGAACUCAUUCACAAGUAUAACCUCUGGCAAGUACAGUUUAAGAGUCUCAAUGUGUUUGAAGCUGUGAACUUCCUUAACAAUAUCUUCCACGAUCACAUCCCAUCACUGAUCAUCUGGAUUCACAUGUAUGCCUAAUUCUUCCAAUUGAGUGAGUUCUGAUAUUGUGUUCGGGGGAAUCACUGUGUCCAACGACUGGUCAUUUUGUCCAGUGUGGUUACUGUACCCAUAGAAGGACACUUUCAGGCACUUGAGGUUGGUCAGUCUUCUGAUAUUCACAGGUAGGUUUAUAAUUUCGGUCCCUUCAAGAUCGAGCACCUCAAGAUUUCUAAGUUCUCCAACAUCAAGUGGUAACUCCAUGAGAAGUUGACAUCCUCUUGGAAGGAAAAUUCUGAGUUGGACCAAUUUAAAAAGAGAUGGUGGUAACAAUCUGAUUCCAGUGUUGGACAAGUCUAAGAUUUGUAGGACAGGCAUGCCUUCAAAGAACAUCGGAUGAAUAACUCUCAGACCAUUAUUGGCUUAUAAGAACAGUGCCCUGAGUUGAGGGCAAUCUGGACUUUUUGGUAGCUCAGAUAGUUUAUUGUUCAUCAAGUGCACCUCACUGGCUUUUUCCCAUUCCUCAUCUCUUGGUGGCUCGGUUAAUCCCUUUCCACCUAGCCAAAGAUAUAGUGACUCUCUUUCAAGUUCUAACAAAUUUAGCAAGACCUCAUGGAUUUCAUCCCGCAUUUUGACAAGAACAGAAUGUUCAUUCCAAGAACUCUCGAACAAGAAGGCGUCAAGAAGAUCCCGAACCAUCUCUUCUCCUUCAUCCACUUUUCUAAUUACGCUGCCUGUAAUCCACCUGCCAAUCAAAUCUACUUUCUCUAACUCUGUCCAGCGUCCCAUGUGUACAAAGAACUUCAAACAAUACAUUGCUGAGCCCAAACGCCCACAGAUGAAUGCUAAGGAAUUAAAUAAGACAUCGUUGUCUCUCAGCCAAGAAGUGGGUUGCAAGGCCAGUGCAUGAGAUGCAUAUUCCCAUGUGUGAACCUCAUUGACAUCUCUCAAGGCUCUAGCCAUUAGAACAAUGGCAAGCAAAUGACCCUCGCACUCUUUGACCGCACUCAUUGCUAGGCAUUGGAUGCCUGAAGAAUGCACAACAUUGCCAACAUCCAAGUUAACAGAUGAUCCUCCAACCUAAUCUCCAAAUCCACUUCUGUGUGAUUAAUUCUCCUUCCCAUAGAGCUAAUUGUACAAACCAUCUUUUGAAACGUCUGAGUUCCACGAAUUGGUCCCCACUUCGUUCGGAUUCGUUGAUGAAGCGACGUCAACACCAUCAAGAAGGAUCAAAAAGUUUUUGAUUUUCAGCAAUCCAUCCACUUCCUGUCUGCUGGAUGUUGAGAGACCCAGUUCUGUUGCAAUGCCAUCUUCAAUAUCUCCAGUAGUCUUACAAGACGAAGCCUUAACGUGAAUGACAAGAUCAAACAUUCCCUUUUCUUGCUGUGGAUUCUUCAAUCUUGACAUGAGGAACGCUGCAUUAUCUAUGCCGAAGAUAUAAAUCCUCUGAAAUUCUGGAGUUUCUAUAUCUUGUAUAAUUUGGCGAAUAGCAAAAUCAAUAGCCAAACUGUACACUUUUUGUAGUAGGUGUUCUACCCCAUAUAGUCGUCCUUUGCAUCUCCUCAAUGAUGUGUGGUGGAACAUAAGCUUCAAUAUCGUGGAUUGAAUGAGCAAGCAGUAGACUGAUUCUAGAAAGAGCUCUGAAACAUUGAUUACUUUCUCCCUGUAAACUGCUUCUCUUAGUUUCUGAUUAAUCGCCAAAACAUCAAGAAUCCAACCUGUGACUUUCUUGUAAGCAAUUCAUAAUGCAUAUAAACAAUCUUAAUUUGUAACUUAUGCCAUACUUACCUCCAGCCAUUGUUGGGUUGCAAGUCUUUGGUUUCCAAAACUCUAUCUCUCCUUAUGGAUGGUGUAGUUUCUGAAGAUUUUCAGCAGCAUGAGAGAGGAGCUCGGGACCAAGACCGAUAUUUAAAAUACAAAGAAAACGUGGCUUCCCAUCAAAGCCACGUUUCUCUGAUUUGCCACACGAUGAGCAGUUGAGAGAAACGUGCUCCUUAACAGCAGCUACAUGAUGAAGGACGUGGCCAAGUGUUGGACCACUUCAGGGCAGCGGAACGUGGGUGAUUUGAUAACAUUCUCCCACUUGGUCCACACUUUUAACCUCAUGUCCUAUCUUAGAUCAUCAUUUUUCCGCAUUAAGUAACAAAUAUAUGAAUCAUGGCGAUAAGUCCUCUAUAUAACGAGUGUUAUCUUCCAUGUAUUACAAUGUAUUCAUUUCUUAACAUUUUACUUUAUGUGGCAAUAUUGCUUAAUGAAUAAACCCUAUGUUCAUUCUUGGUCCAAUGAAGUUGAAUUUUCUCAAAAUUAAAUAAAGGUGCACAUCAAUAUGAGAAAACAUCAUAAUAAGAGUUUGUACAAUAAAACUACAUAAGGGAACUAAGUCCCAUGUUCAUUACAUGAUCCUUGAAUUUCAACGGUGGCAUGCCCUUAGUCAAAGGAUCAGCAAUCAUCAAUUCAGUGCUAAUGUGCUCAAUAACCACUUUCUUUUCUUUAACACGUUCGCUUAUGGCUAGAUACUUAAUGUCGAUGUGUUUGCUUCGACUUCCACUUUUAUUGUUCUUUGCCAUAAAGACUGCAGCUGAAUUGUCGCAAUAUAUACUCAAUGGCCUAGAUAUUGAAUCCAUAACUCUAAGCCCGGAAAUGAAACUCUUAAGCCAUACACCAUGUGAAGUAGCCUCAAAACAAGAAAUGAACUCAGCUUCCAUAGUAGAAGUAGCAGUCAUGGUCUGCUUAACGCUCCUCCAAGAUAUAGCUCCACCGGCCAAUAUAAAAAUGUAUCCAGAUGUUGAUUUACGUGAAUCAACACAGCCAGCAAAGUCUGAAUCUGAGUAGCCAACUACCUCUAAAUUGCUUGUUCGUCUGUACAUAAACUUGUAAUAUUUGGUUCCUUGAAGAUAUGUCAUCACUUUCUUUGCAGCUUUCCAGUGGUCUAUACCUGGGUUACUCUGAUAUCGUCCUAACAUUCCAACAGCAAAUGCAAUGUCAGGCCUUGUGCAGACCUGAGCAUACAUCAAACUUCCGACUGCAGAAGCAUAUGGAAUGUUCUUCAUUUGUUCCCUCUCAAGAUCGUUUUUCGGGCAUUGGUUCAGAUUGAACCUAUCACCCUUCACUAUAGGAGAAACACUAGGUGAACAAUUCUUCAUCCGAAAUCUCUCUAAAACUUUAUUGAUAUAGGUUUCUUGAGACAAACCUAAGAUACCUUUAAAUCUGUCUCUAUCGAUCUUAAUGCCAAUGACAUAAGAUGCCUCACCCAUAUCCUUCAUGUCGAAAUUUUUAGAGAGGAAUUGUUUCACCUCAUGAAGUAAACCCUUAUCAUUGGUUGCAAGUAAGAUGUCAUCCACGUAUAAAACAAGAAAACAAACUUUACUCCCACUGACCUUAAGGUAUAUGCAUUGAUCCAUAACAUUUUCAACAAAACCAAAUGAAGAAAUUAUGUUAUGGAAUUUUAAAUACCAUUGGCGGGAUGCUUGUUUUAAACCGUAUAUGGAUUUCUUAAGCUUACAAACCAAUUGCUCACCAUCACUAGAGGGGAAUCCUUCAGGUGUUUCAUGUAANNNNNNNNNNNNNNNNNNNNNNNNNNNNNNNNNNNNNNNNNNNNNNNNNNNNNNNNNNNNNNNNNNNNNNNNNNNNNNNNNNNNNNNNNNNNNNNNNNNNGAAGACAACUUCAUUUGUUUGUUUGGAUAACAUGAUGAUGGGAAAGAAAUUAAAGACCCUUUAGUGAAGGUAUUUGCAUUGUCUUCCAUUGGUCCUUGAUAGGCUUUAUUGAAUGAUUAAGCUUUAGAUAAGGAAAGAAUAAAAAGAAGAAGGAGACAAGUAGUGGUUGUGGCAAUCAAGAUGAGACCCAAAAAUGAAUGGUCUACAUGUGAUGUUCCCGAAACUAGGGAAAAUGCAAGGAAGAGAAAAAGCAAAAGAAAAAAUAAAGAAAAAUAAAAAAUAGAUUAAGAGUUGAUAAAUUAUUUUAUUUGCUAAUUCAAACUCAUUUUACUUAUUUUGACUAAUCAAUAUAAAGAUUAAAUAAUUUUAAAAUGCAUAAGUUGUAAGCAAUUCAUAAUGCAUAUAAACAAUCUUAAUUUGUAACUUAUGCCAUACUUACCUCCAGCCAUUGUUGGGUUGCAAGUCUUUGGUUUCCAAAACUCUAUCUCUCCUUAUGGAUGGUGUAGUUUCUGAAGAUUUUCAGCAGCAUGAGAGAGGAGCUUGGGACCAAGACCGAUAUUUAAAAUACAAAGAAAACGUGGCUUCCCAUCAAAGCCACGUUUCUCUGAUUUGCCACACGAUGAGCAGUUGAAAGAAACGUGCUCCUUAACAGCAGCUACAUGAUGAAGGACGUGGCCAAAUGUUGGACCACUUCAGGGCAGCGGAACGUGGGUGAUUUGAUAACAUUCUCCCACUUGGUCCACACUUUUAACCUCAUGUCCUAUCUUAGAUCAUCAUUUUUCCGCAUUAAGUAACAAAUAUAUGAAUCAUGGCGAUAAGUCCUCUAUAUAACGAGUGUUAUCUUCCAUGUAUUACAAUGUAUUCAUUUCUUAACAUUUUACUUUAUGUGGCAAUAUUGCUUAAUGAAUAAACCCUAUGUUCAUUCUUGGUCCAAUGAAGUUGAAUUUUCUCAAAAUUAAAUAAAGGUGCACAUCAAUAUGAGAAAACAUCAUAAUAAGAGUUUGUACAAUAAAACUACAUAAGGGAACUNNNNNNNNNNNNNNNNNNNNNNNNNNNNNNNNNNNNNNNNNNNNNNNNNNNNNNNNNNNNNNNNNNNNNNNNNNNNNNNNNNNNNNNNNNNNNNNNNNNNNNNNNNNNNNNNNNNNNNNNNNNNNNNNNNNNNNNNNNNNNNNNNNNNNNNNNNNNNNNNNNNNNNNNNNNNNNNNNNNNNNNNNNNNNNNNNNNNNNNNNNNNNNNNNNNNNNNNNNNNNNNNNNNNNNNNNNNNNNNNNNNNNNNNNNNNNNNNNNNNNNNNNNNNNNNNNNNNNNNNNNNNNNNNNNNNNNNNNNNNNNNNNNNNNNNNNNNNNNNNNNNNNNNNNNNNNNNNNNNNNNNNNNNNNNNNNNNNNNNNNNNNNNNNNNNNNNNNNNNNNNNNNNNNNNNNNNNNNNNNNNNNNNNNNNNNNNNNNNNNNNNNNNNNNNNNNNNNNNNNNNNNNNNNNNNNNNNNNNNNNNNNNNNNNNNNNNNNNNNNNNNNNNNNNNNNNNNNNNNNNNNNNNNNNNNNNNNNNNNNNNNNNNNNNNNNNNNNNNNNNNNNNNNNNNNNNNNNNNNNNNNNNNNNNNNNNNNNNNNNNNNNNNNNNNNNNNNNNNNNNNNNNNNNNNNNNNNNNNNNNNNNNNNNNNGCAGAAGCAUAUGGAAUGUUCUUCAUUUGUUCCUUCCAGAUCGUUUUUCGGGCAUGGUUCAGAUUGAACCUAUCACCUUCACUAUAGGAGAAACACUAGGUGAACAAUUCUUCAUCCGAAAUCUCUCUAAAACUUUAUUGAUAUAGGUUCUUGAGACAAACUAAGAUACCUUUAAAUCUGUCUCUAUCGAUCUUAAUGCCAAUGACAUAAGAUGCCUCACCCAUAUCCUUCAUGUCGAAAUUUUUAGAGAGGAAUUGUUUCACCUCAUGAAGUAAACCCUUAUCAUUGGUUGCAAGUAAGAUGUCAUCCACGUAUAAAACAAGAAAACAAACUUUACUCCCACUGACCUUAAGGUAUAUGCAUUGAUCCAUAACAUUUUCAACAAAACCAAAUGAAGAAAUUAUGUUAUGGAAUUUUAAAUACCAUUGGCGGGAUGCUUGUUUUAAACCGUAUAUGGAUUUCUUAAGCUUACAAACCAAUUGCUCACCAUCACUAGAGGGGAAUCCUUCAGGUUGUUUCAUGUAAACCUCCUCCUCUAGCUCUCCAUUAAGAAAUGCAGUUUUCACAUCCAUUUGUUGCAAUUCUAAAUCAAAGUGGGCUACUAAUGCCAAUAUAAUGCGCAAGGAAUCUUUCUUAGAUACAGGAGAAAAGGUUUCCGUGUAAUCGAUUCCUUCUUUCUGAGUGAACCCCUUUGCAACAAGUCUGGCCUUGUAUCUCUCAAUGUUGCCUAAUGAGUCUUUCUUUGUCUUAAAAACCCAUUUACAACCAAUGUUUUUCACACCAUUAGGCAACUCAACAAGGUCCCAAACACCGUUGCACUUCAUGGAACUCAUCUCAUCCUUCAUGGCAUUGUACCACAAUUCAGAUUCUUUGCAACUCAUGGCUUGUGAAAAUGAUUCGGGAUCAUUUUCGGCUCCUAUAUUAUAGUCAGAUUCUUGUAGAUACACUACAUAAUCACUAGGAAUUGCUGACCUCUUAGUUCGAGCAGACCUUCUUAAGGUUGUACCAAUAUCUUCCGAGGAAGUAUGAGGUUCAACUUGUUGUUCAGAAGUGUUAGGCAACUCCUGAUCAACUUGGUCUACUGGAAUGUUGUCAACAACUUGUGGAACUUCAAUGACUGGUUGAACUUCAUCGAUUGUUCGUUCAACACCCGUUUGUACUUGAGGGGUGUUAUGAACAAUAAACAAUCUAUCGCUUGAAGUGGAAGGUUGAGACUCUGUAUGAUCAAUAUCAGAAACUAUGUUCCUAAAUUGAUCGCUCCCACUGACCAAGUCAUAUUCAAGAAAUUUAGCAUUUCUUGAUUCCACAAUCCUAAUGCUGUGAGAUGGACAGUAAAAUCUGUAUCCCUUAGACUUUUCAGCAUAUCCAAUGAAAUACCCACUAAUAGUCCUUGGGUCCAGUUUCUUCUCCUGUGGAUUAUAAAUUCUCACUUCAGACGAGCAUCCCCAAACGCGCAUAUGUCGCAAACUCGGUUUCCAACCUUUCAAUAACUCAAAUGGCGUCUUUGGGACAGCCUUGGUUGGAACUCGGUUUAAUAUAUACACAGCUGUCUUAAGUGCUUCAGUCCACAAGAAUUUAGGAAGUUUUGAGCUGCUAAGCAUACUCCUCACCAUGUCCAAUAAAGUUCGGUUUCUUCUUUCUGCUACACCAUUUUGGUCUGGAGAACCAGGCAUGGUGUAUUGGGCAACAAUCCCAUGCUCUUGAAGAAACUUCGCAAAUGGCCCAGGUGAUUGUCCAUCUUCCAAGUAUCUACCAUAAUAUUCUCUACCUCUAUCUGAUCUCACAAUCUUAAUUUGUUUACCAUAUUGUUUCUCUACUUCUGCCUUGAAGACUUUAAAGGCAUCUAAAGCUUCAUUUUUAUUAUGAAGUAUGUAGAGAUACANNNNNNNNNNNNNNNNNNNNNNNNNNNNNNNNNNNNNNNNNNNNNNNNNNNNNNNNNNNNNNNNNNNNNNNNNNNNNNNNNNNNNNNNNNNNNNNNNNNNUGAGAAACUUGGUACAUAAAAAGUCUUUUGCAAUUCUAAAACAAAACCACUAUUUAAAGUUAAAUAACAUAUCCCUAUUGCUUCCACAUGCGAGCCCAUCUUGUUUCCGGAUAAGAUGAAUUGCUCACUUGUCACUGGCUUCCUUAGGUUUUGCAUACCCUGCAAGGAAUUUGAAAUGUGGAUUGUAGAUCCAGAAUCAAUCCACCAUGUGUUGGUGUUUACAUUAACCAUAUUAGAUUCAUAGCAAACAAAUGAGGUAGGGUUACCUUUCUUCUCAAGCCAAUUCUGAAAUUUCAGACAUUUCUUCUUCAUGUGUCCUUUCUUUUUACAGAAAAAACACUUUUCGUCUUUCUUAAUGUCAGAUUUGGGAGGAAUUUGUUUCUUCCCUUUCUGACUAGCUUGAGAUUUUCCUUUCUUUCCUUUCCUUUGCGUCACCAGCAUGGCACUUUCUCCUUGUUCCAUCAAUAACCUUCCUUCCUCUUGAACACACAUGGUCAUCAAUUCAUUGAUAGACCACUUAUCCUUAUGUGUGUUGUAAGAGAUUUUGAAAGGUCCAUACUGAGGUGGAAGAGUGUUAAGAAUAAAGUGCACCAAGAAAGAUUCAGACAUUUCUACCUCGAGUUUCUUCAAUUGAGCCACAAUGUCCCUCAUCUCCAUGAUAUGUUCACGCACACCUCUUACACCGGUGAGCUUCAGGGAUGUGAACUUCAUAAUUAGGGUGCUUGCCAAGGCUUUAUCUGAAGUGACGAAUUGCUCGUCAAUAGCCUUUAGCAAUUCACGGACAUUCUCAUGUUGCUCGAUUGAACCACGUAUACCAGCACUGAUUUUUGUCUUAAUAUACAUCACGCUAAGGCGAUUAGAUUUCUCCCAGCGUUCGUACAAUAAAAUUUGUUCAGGUGUGCUGGUAUCUGUGAUCUUAUGCGGUUCAUCUUUCCUUAUAGCAUAAUCUAUGUCCAUGCACCCUAAUUGAAGAAGAAUUCUCUCCUUCCAUAUCUUAAAGUUAUCUCCUCUAAGUUCGGGAACCUCACAACGAAUAUCAGAUAUGCUAGGUAAAACUGCACAAAAGGAUUAGAAGCUUAUUAAAAAUUUGAGGCUUUAAUAUAAAUUCAUGCUUUACCAAUGUAGAACAUGCUUAAAAUUGAAUCUAAUUUUACUAAAAAUUGCCUGUGGGCUAAAUCUUUAAUUCAAUAAGAUUCAUUAUCUUUAUGAUAGACUUUAUCAAACUAUUUUAUUAAAUCAUGAAAUUUAUUCUAAAUAUAGUUUGAUAUUUUCUGUCUAUAAUCUUUAUGAUAAACUUAUUAAAUUAAUUCUUCCUAACUCCUGUGGGUAAAUUAGAAAAAAUUAAUUUUAAUAUUUUAUCCUAAUUAAUUAUAUAAACAUAAUGAAAACCCUGUGGGGUAAAACAUCAUAUUUAUAUAGUUAAUUACAAUUAAUGUCCAUAAUGCGAUCCUUAUUAAUAUAUAAUUUUUUAUAUAAUUAAGGAUGCUGUGGCUAUUCCUUAAUUAUUUAAAAAAUCAUAUGGAUUCACUAGACAUUAAAAUCAUAUGAUAUAAUUUUAAUAUAUCUAACUAAAUUUUAGGCAACAUUUGCAUGCAUACUAUAUGAUAUAAUCUUAAUAUAUCUAACUAAAUUUAGUCAACAAUGUCAACAAUUGCAUGCAUACUAUAUGAUAUAAUCUUAAUAUAUCUAACUAACUUUAGUCAACAAUGUCAACAAUUAGGCUAUAUUUUUACACAUACAAACAUAUAAAUUAAAAUAAAUAAUUUAAUUUGCAUGUAUAAAAAUCACACAUAAUUUAGAAUAAUUUAAAAGGAAUUCAUAUUAUGAAAGGGUGCCUAAAUCCAUAUAAAAACAAUUAAUUCAAAACCAAUAAAAUAAUUUAUCAGAUUUAACCCAUGGCCCAAUACACAAAGACCUUUAAUAAUUUUAUUGGUCACUAAUAAGCCUAAUGGGUCCAAAAGUAAAAACCCAAUAUCUCUCUAGUUUUUAUUUAUUUAUUAAUUUAUGUGUUCCAACAUUCAGCACGUUGGCAUCAUAACCACCCUAGUCUCCUGCAGCCGCAUCAUCCGCGGCACCAAAACAACACCUCAAAUGGCGCUUCUAGAACGCCCGAAAAUGGUGCCUGCAGCGGCGCUUGACUAGCUCCUGAAUGGCGCUUGCAGUGGUGCCUGAAUGGCACUCGGAACAGGCACCUGCAUUGGCGCUUGAACAGCGCCUGAAUGGCGCUCGUAACGGGGGCUUGCAGCGGCGAAGAUCAGCGCUUGAAUGGCACUGAAAUGAGUGCCUGAAUGAUGCUGGAAUGAGUGCCUGAAUGGCGCUCAGAAUUGGGGCUGAAUGAUGCUCAGAAUUGGCGCCUAAAUGGCGUUUGGAAAUGGCACUUGCAGCCCCUUUGACCAGCACCAGCAGCAGCGCUUUAAUGUCGCUUGAAUGUGGGGCCUGUAGUGGCUGAAACUGCAGCCCCAAAAGCACCGAAAAUGGCUCUUUUGGAACGCCUUAAAUGGUGCCUGCAGCGACGCUUUGAAUAGCACCUGCAGUGGUGCUUAAUGGUGCUCUAAAUGGGGCUCGAAAUGGCGCAUGCAGUGAAUAUAUAUAUAUAAUAUAUGUAUGUAGAUAGAGAAAGAAAUGGGUUUUUAUGGUGAAGAAAAAAUCUAGAUCAAAGACGUUGUAGUUGAAUGGGUGGCAUGGCUGUAGGUGGAAGUAAACCACAAAAGCUGAACCAUUUCACCCAAUUUCUUGUUCUAUUUGAUUUUAUUUCCAGAAAGGAAACAAUUAUCUAAGCAACUAACACCAAGGCAGAGGCAAGAUUGCAAGGCUCUGAUACCAAAUGUAAGCAAUUCAUAAUGCAUAUAAACAAUCUUAAUUUGUAACUUAUGCCAUACUUACCUCCAGCCAUUGUUGGGUUGCAAGUCUUUGGUUUCCAAAACUCUAUCUCUCCUUAUGGAUGGUGUAGUUUCUGAAGAUUUUCAGCAGCAUGAGAGAGGAGCUCGGGACCAAGACCGAUAUUUAAAAUACAAAGAAAACGUGGCUUCCCAUCAAAGCCACGUUUCUCUGAUUUGCCACACGAUGAGCAGUUGAGAGAAACGUGCUCCUUAACAGCAGCUACAUGAUGAAGGACGUGGCCAAGUGUUGGACCACUUCAGGGCAGCGGAACGUGGGUGAUUUGAUAAAUCUUUGAUGACAAAAUAAGGCGUAUGAUAUCUUUCUUCCUGUUCAGUUCCAAAGUUUUGUCCGUGAUUCUGUGUGUGGCAGAAACAAAGCAAAAUCAUCGUCAGAGGAUUAGUUUAGACCUGUAAAAGUUAGCCACUUAUCAUAAGUAUAUAUAGAAACACAAAGACAAGAAUCUCUUCAGAAUCCAUAAAGAACUAAAAAUUUAUUGUAUUCCAACACUCUUUAUGAAUAUUCACAGUUAAUAAAAUAAAAACUCUUAAUAAUGAAUAUGUAAACCUUAUAAGAUUUGACAACUCAAAAAUAAAAACUAAAAUAAUCACUCAAAAUCAAAAAGAAAAACCCUACCAAAACGAGAAAACCAACUGUAAAACUGCCUCCACAUUGCUUCAUACCAGAAAUUAUCAAAGACCUAUUUCUAGAAAAAAGCAAAAACAUACCUCCAAACUCUCAAAUUCAACAAACAGAGGGCACUGACUGCGAUCCCAAGAGACCCACUUCAGAAAAAUGGAAAAAGAACGCCCUCAAAGCUUCAGACAAGCAAGAACUCAACUACUGCAACAGAAAAGAUUAAAGUAGCAGGUUUUUUUUAUCUUUUUUGUUUGGUUUCAGAGAAAAAACUCAGAAAAGUGAGAAUGCGAGUGGGACAGAUGUUGAAGAUGGGUAGAAAAAAUUUCUCAGAAUUUUCCAUAAAUAAGAAAGGGAAUCGGAUUAUUAUGGAAGAGAUCCAUCUCAUAAAGUGCUCUUUAUUAAGCAUUCUAAGAGUUUGUUUCUUUAGCAAAUCUAUAAAAAAGAAUAAAUAAAUAAAUAAUAAAUAUAUUUUCAUGCCUUUUAAAAAAUAUUAUAAAUAAAUAAUUUUGAUCCAUGGGUUAAUUAUUCUUUAGAAGUAUUUUUUUCCUUAGAAAAUAAAAAAUAAAUAAAAAUAUUAAAUUUGUUUUUUAAGAAAGUAGUAUAAAUAAAUAAAUAAAAAGUUACUUAAUUGUUUGCAAUUUUCUUUUUUUUUUUUUAAUUAAAAUUGUUUUUUAAGAUAUUGUUUUAUAAAGUGAUAAGUAUUUUUAAAUAAAAUUUUUGUUUCUAAUUUAUGAUAGUAAUUUUUUUUAAUUUAAAAAAUUAAAUAAUAUCCAAACUUUUUGUAAGUUUUCAUGUUGUAGAGUGGAUUUUGAAAAAAAAUUAGAGAAUAUAAAGUAAAAGAGAAUUUAUGUACUUUUAAAAUAAAUAGUAUAAAUAUUGUGUAUCAAUUUAAAUAGGAAGGAAUUUAAGGAUUAAAAUAAAAUGAACAUUUUUAUGUUAAAUUCUUUAAAAAUUCUACUUUUCUUAUUGGAAGAGUGAGUUUUUGGGGUAUGGAAAUGGAUGGAAAAUUUUCAUUUUGAUGAAAAAAAAAAAGACACCUUUAAAUGACAUAUCUUGCAUCAACCCAAGUGACAUUUAGAAGGAUAAUAGGAAGAACUUUUUUCGGUACCUAUUCCAUUCCUCCCCUAAUAGGAAGAGUUUGGAAUAAAGAUAAAUCAGUUGGGGAGUGGUGUUUGGAAAGUUUUUAAAAACGCAAGACAUGUUUGGAUGAGUUUGAGUAUUAUUUUGUCUAGUUUUGUCUUGAAUAUAUGUAAUUUUAAAUAAAAAUUUAAAUGGAACGUGGUGAGGUUGGUAUGAGAGUUUUUCAUAUUUGUUCCACCCCAUCCCUUUUUAUUUAAUAUUUUUUUAUAUUUAAUGAAUUUCCGAUGGGGAAGAAAAAUGAGAUGCUUGAAAGAGGAAAAAAAUUAAGCGACAAAGGGAAGAAAAGAAUAAGGUAGAGGAAAAGAAAGUGACAAAAAAAAAAAAAAAACACUAAGGGAAUGACUUUUGGGUUAGUGUGAGAAAAAGAGAAAUAUUAGAGUUAUGUUUGGUUUUUAAAAAUGUUAAGAAAAGAAAAAUAUUGUUACAGAAAAUAUUUUCUCUUAUUUGAUCAUAUUUUGAAAAAUACCAAAAAAAUAAAAUAUAAUUAAAAUUAAUAACAAACUUAUGUAUUUUUAAAUAUUUCAUCUUUAUAUCCAAAAGUUAAAAUAAGUUUAAAGUAGCAUAUAAAAAAAAUUAUUGAUUUUAAAUUUAUUUUAUUUUUUAUUUACUUUUCCUUUUUUUUUUUCCCCUUUGUAUUUUUCCUUAAAUUUCUUAGGAGCCAAACAUAACCUAGAGAUUUAACAUAGUUUGAUGUGUUUAUAUUAUAUUAUUAAAAAAAUAUUUAAAAAAUAAUACAAAAUUAUAUAUUUGGAAGGGAAAAAGGUGAGGUUGAAAUAAACCCCCACCUAUUUGUCUUACUCAAUAUGUCUUUAUUUACUUUUCAAAGUCUUACUGUUUUUUUUUAUAUAAUUAUUAAGUAUAGUGCUUAUAUGCAAUAUUUCUUUUAAUUAUUGUUGUAAGAAUAAUAUAUAUAUUUUUAGUAGAUAAUAUUAAGCCCUAAUCACUAUUUUCAAAUCAUUUCUUUUAUCUUGCUUUUAGAUUAGUUGUUUCACUUUGAUUUAGUGUCAUAAAUCAAGUCGAUGCAAAGGUAAUGAAUGGAUUUCCAUAUUAUCUAUUUAAUCAACAUGAUGAAAUAGAUAAGAUAUAAAUGAUUGAUGUCAUAUAAUUUAUUCUAUUGAAUCUGACAUAAUUUGGGGUUAAUGAUAGACAUAAUUUGAGGUUAAUGAUAGAAAAGAUUUUUUUUUUCAAAUGAAAGACCUUAUAUUUUGUAUAUGGGGUUUGCCCUUGUGGUUUAAUAACGAUAUGAUUUAGGUUUUGGUAAAAAGAUUCUCUUGAAGCAAACUAACUCGUAUAUUUUACACAAGGCUUAUACUAUUGUUGGAAUGAACAUGAAUUUGGUUAGAGGAGAGUUAUGCCUCGGACAAACAAAAUUUAGAAAAUAAAAUUUGGAUACUUUGUAUAUGAGGUUUGCCCUUAUGGUUUAAAGAACGAUUUUUGAUAAAAAGAUUCUCUUGAAGCAAAUUAACUCAUAUAUUUUACAUGAGGUUUAUACUAUGGUUGGAAUGAACAUGAAUUUGGUUAGAGGAGAGUUAGAAAUGCCUCGAACAAACAAAACUUAGAAGAUAAAAUUUGGCAGAAGCAUGGUGUACUAAAAUUAUGUUGCAUCAUAUUAUAAAUGACUAAUAAUAUUUCAUUGUCUCCUACAAUUCAAUUCAAUUUUUAUUGGUGAAAGAAAACAAGAAAAUUCUUUCAAAUAACUUAUGAAUUUCAUUGAAUUGCAUGUACUAUAUAGAAGUCAUCAAACACUUUCUUUGGAUCUCUUGUUUAAGAAAGAAUUGCCAAAUUUUACUUAUGAUAAUGUUAUGUUUGGUUUUCAAACGUUUGAGGGGAGAAAAAUUUUUAGUUGUUCAUGAAAAAGUCGAAAAAAGCAACUUAUAUUUAUGAAAAUGCAUUUUUCCUAAUUUUAUUUUCAAAUUUGAUCAAUUAUCAUUUUAAUAUUAAAUGAAUUUUCAAAUACCAACUAUUAUAAAAUGUUACAUAUUAUAUCAUUCAUAUAUUAUAAUAUAUAAUAUGUGUAUUAUUAUUUCUUAUAUCAUUUUUAGGAAGUUUCCAAUAUUUUCAUAAAAUUUGAUUAGUUUUUAUUCUAUCGAUAUUUUGUGUUAAAAUAUCCACCAAUAUUUCCCAAUAUAUCCGUAAAAUUAAGUUAUCGAUAGAUUCCACCGAUAUUUUGUGUUAAAAUUAAGUAAAACACUUUUGGUAAUGGAUUAUGCAAAUUCUCCAUUUUUAGCCUUAGAAUUCUUUUGGUAAUGGAUUAUGCAAAUUCUACCUUCUUAGUUUUUUAAUAAUUCCUUUUAUAAGGAAGUCUAGACUAGAACUCUGGACUUCAAACCUUCUAAUAAUUACUUAAUAAUUUUAUAAGUUACAAUUUUAUUUUUGCACAGAAUCGUUAAACUUUAGCAAGAAUCUUGUUUAGCUUUUGUAGGGAAUCUUGUUAAAACUUUUUAGGGUUUUUUGUUCAACUUUUGUAAGGAAUCUUGUUAAAACUUUUCAGGGUUUAAUUUUGUUCAGCUUUUAUAGCGAAUAAAAUUUUACAAUGUAUUAAGCUUUUGCAAGGAAUCUUUUAGCUUUUGUAAGGAAUCUUUCAACUUUUGUAAGAAAUCUUAUUCAAUUUUUCAUUCAAAUUAUAGGCUUGUUAUUUGGUCCUCUACACAAUCUUCCUAGUAAUCCAAGUUAUCAAAAUCUUCAUUGUCUUAAUACAAAUGAGUGCAUCCUAUCCAUGGUUGAAUAAGUACUCUAUAGAUAUACCUUAUUAACCAAAAUUCAUUUUUUAUUUAAUCUAAAAACUAUAAAUUUUCAUAAGCUUCCUCUUGAUAGUUUUGCAUGUGAUAUGUAUGGGUUGAAAAUAACUGUUCAAUGGAUAGGGCUAUGCCUUGUUCUCCUCUAUGGCUAUGAUUGCAUAAGGGAAUAAGGAUAGGGGUCUUGCCCUAUAAUUCAUUAAGCCUCAAGAUGAGGAUGACCUCUCAAACAAUCCUAUGGCUUGUAAUAAUUUUCCUUCUAUGAUGGAAAAAACUACUUUAAGCAACCCUUUUUUUCUAUUGCUUUAUGCUAUUAUUGACCUUAAUUAAGAUUUCCAUGGGGAAGAAUAUUAUGAUGUACCAUGCUACUAUGUAUAUAAAUAGAUUUGCUUCUUUUUGUUGUGAAAAUGUGGAGUGUUUCCCAUGGAUGUUCUAGGUUUGGAUUAAGAGAAAUGCCCUUGUCCAAGAUGGUCGUGUAUACUCUAAAAAGUGUAUUUCUAAGGAUGAGAAUGAGAUAGGUUUUUUCAAGUACCCACCCCACCUCUAGUGAGAUGGGUUUGAAUUUAAAUAAAUGAAUUUAGGAUGAGAUUGAGAUUUUUUAAAAACCCAAGACAAGUUCAGGUAUUGUCUUGUCCCGCCUCAAUUAUAUAUAAAAUUUAAUUUCAAAAAUUAAAUUAAUUUCAUUUUUAUUUUCCUAUUUUUAAUAUAUAUAAUAAAAUACUUUUAAAAUAAGUCAUGGAAAAAUAUAAUAUUUUAAUUAUUCAUAAAUAUGUUUAUUUUAAUGUAAUUUAAAAAUUUUAAAAUAUUUAAUUUUUUUUAUAAAAAAAGGACAAACAAUUUAAACGAGGCGACUAUGAAAAUUUCUCAUACCCACCGCGCUUUGUUUAAUUUUUUAAAUGGGAUGGAGAUGAGAAAUAUUUUGAAUAAAUAGGACGGGUUGGGGAUAGGGGGAACCUGUCUAGAACUCGCACUAUUGUCAUCCCUAAGUAUUUUCUAUAAUAUGAUGGAACUUUGGAAUAGGAAAAUGGCUUCACUCCUACUAAAAUGUCUUGAAAGUACUUCAUUUGGUCUUAUCAUAAGAUAUCACCAAACCUGAUAUUCAAACUAUCCCAUGUACAUAUAGGGUUGAAUACCUGAAAAUGAGCACUCUACAUAUAGUCUAUCCCAAUUUCACAUUUCUCGAGUUAUUUCAGAUACUUCAAAGCAAAUGUGUUAUUCCAUAGAUUUACCAUGCAAUGAUCAACUUAGGAUGACAUGUUGACAUAUACAUUCUUAUAUUUCUUCUUUAUAUAAGAAUAAUCAUCUACCUCUUACAAAAAUAUUAUUGAGGAACAAGGAAGGCUGAAGGUUGAUUUCCUUUGGGAAUUAAUACUUGUUUCCUACAAGGUCAACCUAAUAUAUAAACAAAAGUUUACUCAUAAUACUCAUAAAAUAAAACUCAUAUUAAUCAUGGAUGGUCAACUAUAAAAGAAUAAGCAUAGAAAGACAAGCUAUUAAGGUGUCAUUUGGAUACACUAUCUUUUUUCUAUUUUUAAAAAAAUUUAAAGUAAUAAUAACUUAUAUAUAAAACAUAAUAUAUCUUAUGCAAAAUAUAUAAACUAAUGUUAUUUUCUUAAAAAUUAAUUUCAAAAUUCUUGAAAUUCGAGGUAGUAUUUUCUUUUAAAAAUCUAGUAUAUCCAAAUCAUGACUAAAUUAAAACAAAAGAGCUAGAAAUUAUUCAUAAGAUAGAUGGUACCAAUUCAUAAAUAUGCCCUUUCACAAUUUGUUAACAUUAAAAAGGGUUUUCUUAAUAAUUGAUUAUUUUUUCUCCUAAAACAAGAAUUCUAACUAUAGGCUAUGAUUUUCUAAUGACUAGGUCAUUUUUUUUUGUUCAAUUGCUUCCAAAGAACUUUUCAUGCAGACUUAUACAAAGAUAGAGAAAAUUAGAAGCUUUGCAACUUAUAUGAAGUAAAGGAGAUUUUUAUUAAUUUAAUGUAUUUUACAUUUAUUAACUCCAUAAAACCAGAGUAAUCAUUUUACCUCAAAACUUAAUCAAUCUUAUUGAUUCCCAAAACAAGUAUUUUUGAUAAAUAUAGAAUAUGAUAUUAUAAUCAAUAUUUGCUUUAAUAUCUUUUCAAUUUGGUUACUCAAUGCCCUUUUUCAAGAUUAUACUCGUACACUUUCGUUAAUUAUAUCAUGCUUUGAAUUUUUUUUUUUUGUGGAGAAAAUUUAUAUUUAGACAAUACGUUUAAUUCACUAAUUAUGAAGUAUCUAAUUAUCAAGUGCAUCAAUAGAAAUAUUUGUUUUUUUUUUUAUUUGAACCAAAAUUUAUUUUUUGGACCCUUGUCAUCAACAAGAAAUUCCAUUACUUUCUAAAUUAUCAUUUGGGUGUUCCUUAGGCCCAUCGAUAACACCACCUAAGAGGAUUGUUUGAUAUUUGAAUGAUCUCCUACAUUCCAAACUAAGGAAUAAAAUAUUGGAAAAAAAAUUCUAGAGAAACUUUUAAUGGAAUAAAAAUUGAUCAAAACGUGUAAAAAUAUUGAAAAAACUAAAAAUAAUGAUAUGUGCUUCAUAAUUUUUUUCAUAUUUUUAAGACAUAAAUCAUAAGAAAAGUAUCAAUUUUCUUGAAGAAAAACAUCAAAAGAAAUGAAGACAUACCCAUCAUUAUUUUUAAUUUGUAUUUUUAACACAAGAACCAUAACAAAAGUUACCAUUCUUCUCUGCCAUUUGUCCAUGAGUUGUUCAUCUUCCUUGCUACAUCUUUGGAAAAUCAACCAAAUAUGGUGGAGGAUUCCUCUCCAUAACCCAUAUUUGGUUGAAAAGAAAAAACAAAACAAGAAAAACGGAAAACUUUAUUGAAACUAAGAAUGACGAUGUUAUCUCCUAAAAUGCAUAUGAAUCCUCUCCCAAUGGUAAACAAAAGGUUAAUAAAUAACUUUCAUGCCUAACCCGAAUUGGAAAACACAAAAACAUCGCAAAAAAUGGCAAAGAAACCUUAAAAAAAAAAAUCAAGUGUCAUAAUAAAAUUGACAAAGUUAAUUUAACUUUAAUUUAAAAAAAUUAUAAAAAAAUGGUGUUUAAUUUAAUUUACCCUUUUGACUUAUGGGGUCCGAAAACAGUACUAUUGGUGGGGAAGGUUGAUGAAGAGUUGACUUUUGAAAAGACCCAUAAGAACAAAUUUUCAUAUGAUGAGAGCAUAGAUAUUAAUGAGGGUUAAAAUGGAUAUAUAAACAAUAAAAAGGAGGCAUACAACAAAUAAUAUGAACUACCUGUAUUAGGCUCCACCCACAGCUUGUCAACUUCCUAUAAGAGUAAGGCAUGAUUGAGAAGCGAAAAACAACCAUUGGGAUUUCAGUGGAGAAUGCCAGUGAUUUCGACACUAAUGAUCUCAAGGCAAAUCCAAUCCUAGGGAGAUCAAUGUGGUUACCGGCCCAUGUCAGUAUAUAUUUAGCUUGAAUAGUUAAAAUUUUGAAAAAUGUACAAACCUCAAUUUAUUAUUAUUAUUAUUAUUUUUUAAAUCUUUUGAGUUAUAAUUUUAAAUUUUUAUAAUUUGAAGAGUAAAAAAUUUCAAUUUUAAGCAUUAAAAUCUUAUCAGACCAAUCUAACUAGCUUUGAACCAUUGCAUGUGACUCAAUUUAAGUUCCUUUGAUUAGAAAAGCAUCAUGUUAUUUUGAAAGAAAACCUAAAAAUAUCUAGAUUUCAUGUUCGGAUCUUAUUACUAUAUAACCCAAACGAGUUAUAAUCAAGCUUCAAGCUCUAAAGUUAUGCUAAUACAUAAUUAAAUUUAUGUUAUAAUUAAAACUACAACUUGGACGGAUUAAUGACUAACCCAAAUCCAACCUGAAUUAAGAAACAAUUAAUCUGAACUCAACCCAACUUGAAAUCUAACCCGAGAUACUCAAUCUAAGCCCAACCUAACUUCAAUUUUUUGAGUUCGGGUUGUUCAAGUUAGACUUGGGGUUGAUCGGGUUAGAUUCAGGUUGAUCAAAUUGAAUAAUUUAAAACCCAUUUAAAAUAUUUUUAAAAAAACUUUUAUGUUAUUUUAUUUAAUUUAAAUGGAGAAUUGUGUAUAUUUUACAAUAUUAUUAACAAUUGAGAAAGGAUUAUUUAAUUGUAAGUGCCAAAAAAUUAUUCUUACGUCAAAGAAAACAUCUUCAAGGUUUAUAAACUUUAAACUUGACCUUAUUUGAUAAACAACUUUUAUCAAUAUUUGUUCAUUGAAGUCACAUCUAAAAUAUUUAAGAAAGUGAAGUUUACUUUUUAUUUGAAAAUUAUAUUAUCUUUUUUGACAAAUAUUUUUGAAAUAACUCAACUACUUGAUCAUUCAAUUCAUGAUAUUGAAGCUUAUAUUCUACCUUAUGUGAUUAAGGAGAUGCAAAAGGAGACUCUUGAGAGUAGAACUCCUAAAAAGGAAGUGUAUAAUUUGGCUAUUAAUUUUGCUACUCCCCAAAUUUUAGAAUAUAUAAAAAUUCUCAAAUUUCGGAGAAAUGAGAUUUUAGGAGUGCUAGAUGACACAAGACCAUUGUCGAAAUUGAAGAUAGUAUCAUAAGAGAAUUGGGACUCGCAAAAUGGAGCACACAAUAAGGAAUGGAUAAAUUAUUGCAAAAUAAAAGCUUUUUAAUCCUUCUAAGUAACGUUGAUUUUUGAUGAUUUAAAAGAUACUUUCUACAUAUACACUUCAUACAGGCUGUGACAAACGAUUGGAUUUGGAGAUUAGGUUGAAGGUUCCUCCCUUUGGGGUCUAAAAACAAUACAACUGGUUGGAAAGGUAGAUGAAGAGUUGACUUCUAAAAAGACCCAUAUGCCCCUUGAAAAAAUUCUCAUAUGAUGAGAGCAUAGAAAUUUAUGAGGGUUCAAAUGGAGAUAUAAACAACAAAACGGAGGUAUGCAAUAAAUAAUAUGAACUACCUAUAUUAGGCUAGGCUCCACACAAAGCUUCUUGUAGAGGUGAGGCAUGAAUAGCAUGAAUAGGAAGCGAAAAACGACUCUUGUUUCAGUGGAGGAUGCCAGCCACCGUAAAGCCGAAGUCAAUCCUGACCCGACCAUGUAAGCAUAUAUUUAGCUUGUAUGGUUAAAAUUUUGAAAAAUGUAUAAAUUUUUUUUUUUUUUUUUUUAAGUCUUUUGAGUUGUAAUUCUAAAUUCAUGUAAUUUUAAGGAUCGAUUUGUUCAAUUUUAAGUAUUAAAAUCUAAUUGAACCAAUCUAAUUGAUUUGUAACCAUUGCAUGUGACUAGGUUUAAGUUCCUCUAAUUAGAAAAUUGACUAUUUUAUGUUAUUUUGAAAUAUAACCUAAAAUAGCUAGAUUUUAUGUUAGAAUAAUUUAUACACAAACAUAAAAAGUAUUGUAUCUUGUUUGGCAUCUAAUACAAUGAGUUUGAGAAAAAUAUAAACAAGUUUGUAAAUCUUUUUAUCAAAGGAGGAUUUGAGUUUGAUUUUAUCUCGUCCUGAUUAUAUAAAUAAAAAAUUAUUUUAAUUUUUUUUCAUUUUAAUUUUUUAAAAAUAUAUUAAAUAUUACUUUUCAUAAAAAUAAAUUAUGAAUAUUUAUUAAUUUUAUUUUUUUUAAUAUAAUUUAAAAUGAAAAACAAAACUAAGAGUUUUGAAAAAAAAUAUAAAAAGCUAAAUGGGGCAAGAGAAUUCUCCCACCUUACAUGUUUAAAUUCAGUUUUUUGGAUAGAGAUGAGAAUGUAUAUAAAUAAAAAAAAGGUUGGGAUGGGGUGACCCGUCUUUCGCCUCUUAUCAUCCAUAAAAAAUUAUUUUUGAAAGGAAAUAAUAUAUACAAGACACUCGUGUCCAUAUUUCUAUAUGAAUAAUCAUCAGGUUGAUUUUAUUUUAUUUUAUUUUAUUUAGUUUUUAUAAUGGAAUACCACAAAUAUGAUAUUUUACACUUUAAAUUGAAGAGUUGUAUUUUACAAUAUUAUUAACAAGUUUAUGUCUUUGAGAAAGGAGUAUUUAAUUGAAAGUGACAAAAAAUUAUUCCUACAUUAAAAAAACAUCCCCUAGGUUUAUGAACUUUAGAUUUGACCUUAUUUGAUAAACAACUUUUGUCAAUUUUUGUUCAUUGAAGUCACAUCUAAAAUAUUUAGGAAAGUGAAAUUUACUUUUUAGUUUUUAUUUGAAAAUUAUAUUAUCUCUUCUAAGAAAUAAUUUUUAGAAAGCAUUUCCCAAGAGUAAUAUAUAUAUAUAUAUAUAUAUAUAUAUAUAUAUAUAUAUAUAUAUAUAUAUAUAUAUAUAUNNNNNNNNNNNNNNNNNNNNNNNNNNNNNNNNNNNNNNNNNNNNNNNNNNNNNNNNNNNNNNNNNNNNNNNNNNNNNNNNNNNNNNNNNNNNNNNNNNNNUAUAUAUAUAUAUAUAUAUAUAUAUAUAUAUAUAUAUAUAUAUAUAUAUAUAUAUAUAUAUAUAUAUAUAUAUAUAUAUAUAUAUAUAUAUAUAUAUAUAUAUCGCCACUACUAUCUAGUUGAUUAAUAUCAUCUUCAUUAUCUGAAUCAGUCCUUGAUUCAGAAUCUGAGGAGCUUAACAUUACCUUACAAAGCAUAUUUUUUAGGUCAUCUGAGACACUUAAGUUAUUAAUCUUUUGCUUAACUCUACAAUCUUUCUUAUAAUGGCCAACUUUGCCACAUUUAAAACAGAUCAUUGGCUUAACAUCUAAAGGAGUUUCUACCUUUUUCUGGGCAUCCUUGCUUAUUCUCCUUUGGACGUGUCUUGAAUGCUUGGUUUCAUUCAUCCUAUAAUUACCAUGAGUACCUCUUUUACUAUGGUAAAAUUUAUCUUUGCUAGGUUUCCUGUUGGUUUGUUGCUUAGAGGGAGGCUUAGUUUCCUUUUGGCUGAAACCAAACUGGCUACAGAAUGAUCCAAAUUCAUUCUUGUAGAUUUUCUGUUCAUUCUUCAUUUGUUGCUUGAGCUUGAAGUCAUUGCACAACUUAAUCCCUUCAGCUGUGACAAUGCUUAUAAUCUCACCAUAGGUUAGCUUAUCAUAAGGGAUUUGUCCAUUAUACUGUUCCCUUAUCUUGAUCCUAAUUCUCUCAGAGAUGAAUUUUUCUGAGAUGAAUUUUUCUUUCCAAAAAGACUGGUUACAGUCUGACCUUAGCAUGACUUUGGUUAGGAAGACUUCCUUAUACCACCUAAAAUCAUGAAGCUUGGGACACUUAAGGUUGGUUAAGAGAUCUGCAGUUUUAUCCUUAAUUUUUGCACGAUCUCCAAUGAAGUGCUUGGAUAUUGAGUAGAUAAGAGUAGCCACUGCAUCCUCUAUAUCUUGGCCAUCUUCGUCCUUAACAACUUCAUUAUUUUCAUUAAUCUUAUAGGCUUUUAGGAUACUAUUUCUAUCCUCAAAAGUGAGAUAAUUAUCCCACCAACCCUUAAGCUGACCCGUAAACCCAGCAACAAUGGUCUGAGCUACAGCAUGAUCUGGCAGUCUAUUGUUUAACUUAUAGGCUGUACUUACCAUGGUCAUUUCUUGAAGCUUAGUGAGUAUGUUAUACUCGGUCAUACCGUCUAUGUUCCAUUCAUAGAUAGUACCACUGGUGUAUGAGGCUUGAGUAUACUGAUUUCUUUCCUCAAACUGCAUGUUAGGAAAAGUAGGCCUAGGAUAGUAAUUCCUAGUCUUAAAGGCUUCCAAGUUGUUAAUAAUUUGAUUAUGGGGUUCCUCAAACAUCUUAAUUAGUUCAUCAGCUUCUUCUUCUGAACUAAUAUCACCUUUAACCAUAUUGAUUCUCUUAUCAGGUUGAACAGUCAAAAGGGCAACAAGAUUAUCCUUAAUCUUCUGAUUAAUCCUAUCAACAAAAGCCUGGUUGAUUUGGGGAUUUUCCUCGAAUUCCUUAGAAAAUUCAAAGGACUUAGUUUUAUCAGUGCUCUUAGUGUUGUUAAUACGCUUACAAGGAUAAUAUGGAUAUUCCUCUUGUUUGAAGAGUUCAAACCAAAUCCAAAACUUAAUAUUUUUCUUUUCUUGUCUUAAGUAAGCAUAGAAUUCUUCUUGGUAAAUGGUUCUAAUGACCUUAGGGACAGUGCUAAAGAACCAAUCAUUUCUUUGCUUAUUGAUUUCAGAAUAGAAGUCCUUUCUUAAGAGAUCCUUGUUGAUCUCAAAGUCCUCAUCGCUUAGGCUUAUUGUGUUAAUCAUCUGGGAAUAGGUAGGAGACAUAACAGGGGACUCAUCCUGUUGGGAUUCCUGAGUAGACUCAUUUUCUUCACUGUAAAAUGGUCUAGCCACGUUGAUGUGACUUCUAACACCUGUUAGCUUAAUGUUCUUAGGGUUUCCUGAGCUGGAUCCUUCUUCUUCCCUAGUGGUUCUAACUGGGAUGGAAGAGCUUGAAGCUCUAGAGGGUUCAUAAACAGAAACUCUAGGGCUGCUUGAGUGUCUGAAAGAUUUGGAGAAGACCAGUUCUCCUCCUCCAUCUGGAUAUUGAACUAUUUGUUCAAUACUUUCAGAACGCUGUGCUAUGGCUGGAACAACAUUAGCAAAAUGCCAAUUUUCAGGGAAAUCAACAUCUUUCCACAAGAUCUUCUUGGGGAUGAUGAAAUCUGACUUAUCUAGCAUAUCUGAGUGAAAAUAGGUGGUCUCACCUUUAGGACUGGUACAAAGAGCCCCAGAUCCAACGCUUGUGUUCAUGCUCUUAUAGGCAAACCUGGUUAUGAUAGAAACAGGAUUGUUUCCUAGUUUGAUCUUAAAGCCAUGAGUCUUAAUAUGCAGGACAACGGAAUCUAAGAUGUCUGCAUCUCUUAUUCUAACUGUGAAGUUAGGAUAGCACUGGAAAUAAACCGGGCCAUCAUUCAGUCCAGCUUCGACUGCGCCUAUAAUAGAAUCUCGAUAUUUCAGAUGCCUAUUAUCCCUUAAACACAUGGCAAUAGAGGUGUUUAAACCUAAUCUUGUCAAAGGCUUAGCUGCUACUUGAAUCAUACCAAAGUGUAUGAAAUUAUAGCCAUCUUUCUUAUGCUUAUCAAUGGAUCUGUUAUCUAGAAGUCUUAUGACUUGGUCAUCUUGUUCUAAGCUGACUGACAUUUCAGAGGUCUUAAUGGUAUAAUCUGUGAAGAACUUAAAGGUUCAUUUCUUAUAAAUUUCUUGAUUAGACACCUUGGGUAACUUCCAAUCAUCUAAAUCAUUUUGAAUCUUAGGAUAAUUGAUCUCUUCACUGUUUACAACAGUAUCUUGAGAAUCGCUGGAUCUCUUAGACAUGGUUCUGAAAAUUGAACUCAUUUUAGGGUUUUUGAAAUAGGGCCUAAUAGCAGAUUGACAGACCUUAUGAGACGUCACCCCAACCCUCUUACAGCCUAACAAACGCCUAUCCACGGCUAACAACGGCUCAACCGGCAGGGCUCGCGCUCCUAGGCACACUGCUACCUAUCCUAGGAUAGGCCAAGAACACCCAAAACAAGACCCAACUUCCCUCCCACAUGGCUCUGAUACCAUAGACACCCAGGACAAGGUCAUAUGCAAUGAAAACAGGAAUUAUGCCAUGAUUCAAAACAAAGAAGAGGGUUAGAAAAUACAAAAGAUAUCCAACAAUGAAAUUUAAAGAGAAGAAACCAAAAACUUGUUAGUUCAUAAUAAGCUUAAAACCGACCAUGUAGGCGGUAUAAAAUAAAAACAUAAACUUAAAAACAAAGCUUAAUUAAAACCGACCAUGUAGGCGGUACAAGAUGAAAACAUAAAAUUAAAAUAAAAGCUUAAUUAAAACCAUCCAUAUAGGAGGUAAUCAAAACAUACUUAUAUUAUACAUAAGGAGAAAUAUGUUACAAUGGACAAAGGUAGGAAAGCUUGAAGAAAGCUUGAAAACUUGAAGGGCUCACAUGAUGAGAGAGAAAGAAGAGAGAAGGGAGAGCAUAAGCUUGGGAGAGAAACAGAACUAAAAUUAAGCGUGCUUACAAAUGGGGACCGAGCCUCCUUAAAUAGGCAAAAAAGGAAUGUUGAAUAGUAACCAUGAAUAGUAGACCCGUGCUUGAAUAGUGAAUAGUGAAUAUUGAAUAGUAAGAUUCACUUUUAUACCGAAAUCCCCCGAAAAACCAUCUUUCGGCUGAAAAGACCUCUGGCAGGCUGCUUUAAACUGUGUAUACAUAUGCUUGCUGCUUUUUGGAAUAGAAACUGCAAAGCUUGAAAUAUUCUUGUUGACCGGCCAUCAUGAGUAAUCCUUACGAUGUUCUUCAAGAAGCUUGAUAUCUUCAGUAAUAGUCAUAGCUGGAAGAGGGUCUAACUUCUUGCCACAGAAAAUUUGAUGACAAGAAUCUGCAGCAAUGAGAUAUCCCAUAUUUCUUGGAAAAGCCUCAAAAUCUCUGCAAAUAAUUCUGGCUCUCCAGUGAUUGAUUUGCUUAAUAAUGGGUUCAGCACAAAUAUCAGAAAAUAGCAGAGGGUUAGACAGACGAGUAGGUCUCCUAUUCUGAUAGUGAAGAGAAACAAUGUGCUGAGCUGGAAUAAGCUUGCCACUAGAAACCCACUCAGGAGCUUUGCUGAUGAUGAUGGCGUUCGCGAAUUUCUUGUUUAUUUUAAAUCCUUGGGUUAGGCCAAGAGCAAUUUUUCUUCCAAACUGGGAAACUUAGUUGAGAUCAGAACAGAUGAUUUGAUGAACCAGACCAUGGUCCAAAAGCUUUUCUGGAGUUAAUAGUAAAUCUUCACCCUUGAAUUUGAUGCUGAUUGGCGAAUAGUAUUGCAAGUCCAAGCAAACACGACUGAUUGUGAAAUUUCUGUUGCAGUUGCAAAUCAUUUUCUUAAUGCCUUUUUGGUACUGGAAAUGAUCUUCAAUCAUUCUGCAAAUUUUUGAAUCAUCAACUUCCUUAUCAGUAACCAAGCUUAAACCUGGGACCUUAAGACCAAUAUUGGUAGAAAGAUAGAGAUGAAGAUCCUGAAAGUAUGAAGAGAUGAAGCUCUGUCUUUCUUCUGCUGAGGACUUAGCCUUUUCCAAAAUUAGGAGACGUAGAUCUGGCUUAAGAGAGUAUAGAUUCUCUGUCUUAUGAUGAUACAUUCUUAGCAUACGGUAACCCAACUCUUCCUCACUCAAUUUAUCAUUCACCAGUGGGGUAGAAUGCUUAUUCUCACCAUUUUCCAGUGGGGAAAAUGAGGCUUGAGCUUUUAACAUGAGCUUAUGAAAGUCAACUAAUUCAAGUUUUCUUUCAAGAGUCUCAUACCUUCCCUGCCAUUCAAAAAUGCAAUUGAUAUAAUCAGAUAAAGUGUUAGUAUUGUUAAAAGAUGGAUUUGUGGGGAAGGAAUCUUCCACAAAAGGUAGAGAUUCCGAGCUUGAAUCUAUAUCCCUGCUAGGGGAUGCUGAAGGAAUGUGAUGAUUGAAGUGGCUGGAAGAACCUGCUACUUCAAAAUGGUCAUAAUAAGAUGGCAUGAAUUUCUCAGAAAGAGCUGAAUGGGGAUUCUUAGAAUCUGUAGGUUUAAUGGACCUAAAAGGUUGUUUGUCUUUCUUGGGUGCCAUGUUCAUGUGAAUCCUGCAAAUUCCAUGAGUUGAGUGAUUAGGAAUGGAACUUUCUCCUUUAAUAAGCUUAAUUUGAAAAUUAGGGUUUAAAAUAAUCCAAUCAAUUAAAUUAUGCUUAAAAGCUAUAUACUUAAUUGUUUUCUCAGAUGUGAAAACAACUUUUAAAAUUCCUUGAUUCAAAAUAUCAGUUUGAUAUUUUGAAAUACAUAAAUGAAUGCUUAAAAUAUCAUUUAUAAUGAGCUUAUGAAUGCAUUGGGUACCUAACAUCUUAGGUGGAUCAUCAAUCUUAACAAGAUUAAUUUCUUGAUCACAAGGAGUGAUGCUUUCAACAGGAUUAACAAAUUCAAAAAGAAUUUCCUUAUCAAAAAGCUUAGUUCUUAUACCUUGGUUAUCUACCCACAAUGGAUAAAUAGAACUUAAGAAGGGUAUUCCUAGAAGGGCUUUUUCCUUAAGAUCCUUAACAAGGAUAAAGGUUUGCUUAAUACAGACGUCAUGGUUAUGGAUAUGAACAUCUGUUAAUUUAUACUUAAUGGCAAGUCUUUUGCCAUUGGCUCCAAAUAGAGACAUACUAGUCUCUUCGCAUAAAGGAAUAGGUACAAGACCUUCUUGAAGGCAAUUUUCAGUUGCGCCUGAAUCAAUCAGAGCAAUAAUAUCAAAGACAAAUUUAUCUUUGACUACUAUAGUAAGGGAGACUUCCCACCUCUGGAAGAUAACCCUACUCACAGUAUUCAAAAAAGUAUCUGUCUCAUUAUCAUUAACAUGAGAAGAUUCUGGAAUAUCCAUAUGGAUUUCUUGGUUGCCAAUUCUAUUGAUUUGAUCUUGGAGAUCGGAGAGACCUAGACUUAUGAAUUGUCUUAACUCCUUAAUCUCCUUUUUAUGCUGUUUAACUUUUUCAUGAAGUUCCUUAAUGCUGACUUCCUUGGGAGACUGUUGGUCAAACCUGUUUAAGAUAUCAUUAAGGUUGUAAGGAUUAACAGUCUUCUUGGCUUCUACUUUAACAACAGAUUUCUUAAAAACUUCAUAAAGAUUUUGCUUAGUCUUUUCAUCUUCAACUUUUCUUAAAGUAUCUAGGAUAAAUUCCUGAUCUUGGCUUAUGACAUUUAUAGUAUUAGGACGACAAUUACAAUUACCUUUAAUACAUUCUGCUUGGUCACUAGAAGAUUGGCUAGAAACUUCACCACUACUGUCUAGUUGAUUAAUGUCAUCUUCAUUAUCUGAAUCAGUCCUUGAUUCAGAAUCUGAGUUUAACAUUACCUUACAAAGCAUAUUUUUUAGGUCAUCUGAGACACUUAAGUUAUUAAUUUUUUGCUUAACUCUACAAUCUUUUUUAUAAUGGCCAACUUUGCCACAUUUAAAACAAAUAAUUGGCUUGACGUCUAAAGGAGUUUCUAUCUUUUUCUGGGUAUCUUUGUUGACCCUUCUUUGGACGUGCCUUGACUGCUUAGUAUCAUUCAUCCUAUAGUUGUCAUAGGUACCUCUCUUACUAUGGUAAAACUUAUCUUUGCUAGGCUUCCUGCUUGGUUUUUGCUUAGAGGGAGGCAUAGUUUCUUUUUGGCUGAAACCAAACUGGCUACAGAAUGAUCCAAAUUCAUUCUUGUAGAUUUUCUGUUCAUUCUUCAUUUGUUGCUUAAGCUUGAAGUCAUUGCACAACUUAAUCCCUUCAGCUGUGACAAUGCUUAUAAUCUCACCAUAGGUUAGCUUAUCAUAAGGAAUUUGACCAUUAUACUGUUCCCUUAUCUUGAUCCUAAUUCUCUCAGAGAAAAGCUUGGGUAAUCCUGAGAUGAACUUUUCUUUCCAAAAAGACUGGUUACAAUCUGAUCUUAACAUGACUUUGGUUAGGAAGACUUCCUUAUACCACCUAAAAUCAUGAAGCUUGGGACACUUAAGGUUGGUUAAGAGAUCUGCAGUUUUAUCCUUAAUUUUUGCACGAUCUCCAAUGAAGUGCUUGGAUAUUGAGUAGAUUAAAGUAGCCACUGCAUCCUCAAUAUCUUGGCCAUCUUCGUCCUUAACAACUUCAUUACUUUCAUUAAUCCUAUAGGCUUUAAGGAUACUAUUCCUAUCAUCAAAAGUGAGAUAAUUAUCCCACCAACCCUUAAGCUGACCUGUAAACCCAGCAACAAUGGUCUGAGCUACAGCAUGAUCUGGCAGUCUAUUGUUUAAUUUAUAGGCUAUACUUACCAUGGUCAUCUCUUGAAGCUUAGUGAGUAUGUUAUACUCGGUCAUACCAUCUAUGUUCCAUUCAUAGAUAGUACCACUGGUGUAUGAGGCUUGAGUAUACUGAUUUCUUUCCUCAAACUGCAUGUCAGGAAAAGUAGGUCUAGGAUAGUAAUUCCUAGUCUUAAAAGCUUCCAAGUUGUUAAUAAUUUGAUUAUGGGAUUCCUCAAACAUCUUAAUUAGUUCAUCAGCUUCUUCUUCUGAACUAAUAUCACCUUUAACCAUAUUGAUUCUCUUAUCAGGCUAAACAAUCAAAGGGUCAACAAGAUUAUCCUUAAUCUUAUGAUUAAUCCUAUCAACAAAAGCCUGGUUGAUUUGGGGAUUUUCCUGGAAUUCCUUAGAAAAUUCAAAGGUCUUAGUUUUAUCAGUGCUCUUAGUGUGGUUAAUACGCUUACAAGGAUAAUAUGGAUAUUCCUCUUGUUUGAAGAGUUCAAACCAAAUCCAAAACUUAAUAUUUUUCUUUUCUUGUCUUAAGUAAGCAUAGAAUUCUUCUUGGUAAAUGGAUCUAAUGACCUUAGGGAUAGUGCUAAAGAACCAAUCAUUUCUUUGCUUAUUGACUUUAGAAUAGAAGUCCUUUCUUAAGAGAUCCUUGUUGAUCUCAAAGUCCUCAUCACUUAGGCUUAUAGUGUCAAUCAUCUGGGAAUAGGUAGGAGACAUAACAGGGGACUCAUCCUGUUAGGAUUCCUGAGUAGACUCAUUUUCUUCACUGUAAAAUGGUCUAGCCACGUUGAUGUGACUUCCAACACCUGUUAGCUUAAUGUUCUUAGGGUUUCCUGAGCUGGAUCCUUCUUCUUCCCUAGUGGUUCUAACUGGGAUGGAAGAGCUUGAAGCUCUAGAGGGUUCAUAAACAGAAACUCUAGGGCUGCUGGAGUGUCUGAAAGAUUUGGAGAAGACCAGUUCUCCUCCUCCAUCUGGAUAUUGAACUAUUUGUUCAAUACUUUCAGAACGCUGUGCUAUGGCAGGAACAACAUUAGCAAAAUGCCAAUUUUCAGGGAAAUCAACAUCUUUCCACAAGAUCUUCUUGGGAAUGAUGAAAUCUAACUUAUCUAGCAUAUCUGAGUGAAAAUAGGUGGUCUCACCUUUAGGACUGGUACAAAGAGCCCCAGAUCCAACGCUUGUGUUCAUGGUCUUAUAGGCAAACCUGGUUAUGAUAGAAACAGGACUGUUUCCUGGUUUGAUCUUAAAGCCAUGAGUCUUAAUAUGCAGAACAACGGAAUCUAAGAUGUCUGCAUCUCUUAUUCUAACUGUGAAGUUAGGAUAGCACUGGAAAUAAACUGGGUCAUCAUUCAGUCCAGCUUGGACUGCGCCUAUAAUAGAAUCUCGAUAUUCGAGAUGCCUAUUAUCCCUUAAACACAUGACAAUAGAGGUGUUUAAACCUAAUCUUGUUAAAGGCUUAGCUGCUACUUGAAUCAUACCAAAGUGUAUGAAAUUAUAGCCAUCUUUCUUAUGCUUAUCAAUGGAUCUGUUAUCUAGAAGUCUUAUGACUUGGUCAUCUUGUUCUAAGCUGACUGACAUUUCAGAGGUCUUAAUGGUAUAAUCUGUGAAGAACUUAAAGGUUCCUUUCUUAUAAAUUUCUUGAUUAGACACCUUGGGUAACUUCCAAUCAUCUAAAUCAUUUUGAAUCUUAGGAUAAUUGAUCUCUUCACUGUUUACAACAGUAUCUUGAGAAUCGCUGGAUCUCCUAGACAUGGUUCUGAAAAUUGAACUCAUUUUAGGGUUUUUGAACUAGAGCCUAAUUGUAGAUUGACAGACCUUAUGAGACGUCACCCCAACCCUCUUACAGCCUAACAAACGCCUAUCCACAGCUAACAACGGCUCAACCGGCAGGGCUCACGCUCCCAGGCACACUGCUACCUAUCCUAGGAUAGGCCAAGAACACCCAAAACAAGACCCAACUUCCCUCCCACAUGGCUCUGAUACCAUAGACACCCAAUAAGAAAAUCUAAGUAAUCAUCAGCCUUUUGUCUUCCAUCAAGAAUAUUUUACAAGCUUUGCAGUUUCUACACCAAAAGCAGCAAGCAUGUGUCUACUCAGUAUAAAGCAUCAUGCAAGAAGUCUUCUCAGCCGAAAAAGGGUUUUUCGGGGGAUUUCGGUAUAAAAGUGAAUCUUACUAUUCACUAUUCACUAUUCAAGCACGGGUCUACUAUUCAUGGUUACUAUUCAAGAUUCCUUUUUUGCCUAUUUAAGGAGGCUCGGUCCUCAUUUGUAAGCACGCUUAAUUUUAGUUCUGUUUCUCUCCCAAGCUUAUGCUCUCCCUUCUCUCUUCUUUCUCUCUCAUCAUGUAAGCCCUUCAAGCUUUCAAGCUUUCUUCAAGCUUUCCUACCCCUGUCCAUUGUAAAGAUAUUUCUCCUUAUGUAUAAUACAAGUAUGUUUUGAUUACCUCCUAUAUGGAUGGUUUUUAUUUAAAUUUUGUUUUUCAUUUUAUUUUAUGUUCUUGUACCGCCUACAUGGUCGGUUUUAAUUAAGUUUUAUUUCUAAGUUUAUGUUUUUUAUUUUGUACCGCCUACAUGGUCGGUUUUAAGCUUAUUAUGAACUAACAAGUUUUUGGUUCCUUCUCUUUAAAUUUCAUUGUUGGAUAUCUUUUGUAUUUUCUAACCCUCUUCUUUGUUUUGAAUCAUGGCAUAAUUCUUGUUUUCAUUGCAUAUGACCUUGUCCUGGGUGUCUAUGGUAUCAGAGCCAUGUGGGAGGGAAGUUGGGUCUUGUUUUGGGUGUUCUUGGCCUAUCCUAGGAUAGGUAGCAGUGUGCCUAGGAGCGCAAGCCCUGCCGGUUGAGCCGUUGUUAGCCGUGGAUAGGCGUUUGUUAGGCUGUAAGAGGGUUGGGGUGACGUCUCAUAAGGUCUGUCAAUCUGCUAUUAGGCCCUAUUUCAAAAACCCUAAAAUGAGUUCAAUUUUCAGAACCAUGUCUAGGAGAUCCAGUGAUUCUCAAGAUACUGUUGUAAACAGUGAAGAGAUCAAUUAUCCUAAGAUUCAAAAUGAUUUAGAUGAUUGGAAGUUACCCAAGGUGUCUAAUCAAGAAAUUUAUAAGAAAAGAACCUUUAAGUUCUUCAUAGAUUAUACCAUUAAGACCUCUGAAAUGUCAGUCAGCUUAGAACAAGAUGACCAAGUCAUAAGACUUCUAGAUAACAGAUCCAUUGAUAAGCAUAAGAAAGAUGGCUAUAAUUUCAUACACUUUGGUAUGAUUUAAGUAGCAGCUAAGCCUUUGACAAGAUUAGGUUUAAACACCUCUAUUGUCAUGUGUUUAAGGGAUAAUAGGUACCUCGAAUAUCGAGAUUCUAUUAUAGGCGCAGUCCAAGCUGGACUGAAUGAUGGCCCAGUUUAUUUCCAGUGCUAUCCUAACUUCACAGUUAGAAUAAAGUCACCAUGAUGUAAUUUUAAGUUAGUUAUACUUUAAUUUAGAUGGUUUGUUUUUUAAUUGAAUAAAAAAAUCAAAAUAUUUGACUUUUUUUCUAUUCAGAUAAAAAUAAUCUAUUAAUAUUAAUUAAUAUAAUUAAAAGUGAACUUGUUAUUAAUAGAUUCAGUUUAGUUAUAUUAGUUGAUAUAAAUAAGUUAUUUUUAUCUGAAUAGAAAAAGCUCAUAUCCAAAUAACAAACACCACUUUAGUCUCUCAAUUUUUAUUUUUUUUUAAACAAUGUUACCUUGAAAUUAUGCCUAAAUAUUAAAUAUGUAAUUUUGUUAAAAAAAAAAAAAAACCAUAUGAGAAGCACAUAUAUAUUGUUAUUGGUUUUAUGUGGUAUGUUUGGAUAAACUUAAUCUAUCCAUAUGUUUGUUAGGUGUAUACACAAUUGAGUCUAAUUUUGAGUAUUAAAAUUACUAUUGAACCAUCUAAUUGAUUUUCAUCUAGUCAGAACUAAGCAAACUAGAAUUACGAAACCCGGUGGUCCAACAAUCAUAAUAACUUGUCUAAAUUGGUGUACUUCACUUUGAUUUGGUAUAAUUUGAUUUAAUAUUAAGAACUAUUUUUUUUUUAUUAAUUUGGGUGAAAACCCAAUAGCUUACAAUUCAAUAUCAUGGGUUAAAGAACUUAAAUAAUACUACUAUAAGAAGUUGUCUUAAGAACUAUUCAAAUCAUAUCAUUAGAUUCAUUACAACUCAUACUAGUAAUUUUUUUUUAAUAUCUCAAAAUUUUAAAUAAUUUGUAAAAUUAUUACUUUUUUCUAUAAGAGUUUUUAUGUCUUAUAUAAAAGUUAUUGCUAUUAUCUAAUUUUAAAAUUAAAAAACAAAAAACAUAUACAAAUUCAAUAAAAAUAUAUUUAUUGAGUUCUAUGUUUUAAAAAAAAAAAUUCUUUUACUUUUCCUUCUUCAAUUUUUAUCCUUAUUUUCUCUCCAUUGUACAUUCUCUUAAACAUAUUUAAAUUCGAACAAAGUUUUAAUCUUCCUCCAUCUUCAUCUCAUUUUAUGUUAAGUAGUGAUUUGUGGUUGGUGACAAAGCUACUUCAGAGAUCCCUCUUGAAACAUUUUUCAAAUACAAAAAUUCAGUAUCUUUUCCCGAAUUUGUGAAUUAGCCAAGAUUCUUUUAUACACGAUAAUAAGUAGCACAUAAAUUUUAUUAUAAAUGCGAAAUACUUAUCAAGUAAAAAUGCAAGGUCAUUUCUCUGCUUGGCUAGUGAAGCAUGGGCUAGUUCAUAGAUCUUUGGGCUUUGAUUAUCAGUAUAAAAAUGGUUUUACCUUAACACUUCUAUCGAUUGCAUUUCUAUUAGAUCAUAUACAUAAAAAAAAAUAGUUAGUGUUUAAAUGUAAAUAAAAAACUAUUUUCAAAGUGUCAUUGAUACUAAAAAAAACAAACUAAAAUAAAUAUAUGAAGUGCAAAUCUAAGAAUUGGGUGAUUCUUUAGGUUUUUACUAAUUUUAAUCAUAUUUGAUUUUAUUUACUAUUUUUCAUAGUAAGAUUAAAUAGAAGAAAAUUAUUUUCCUUCAUAAUACAUAUAUAUUUUUUUUACUUUUUUUUAGUACAUUUUAGGAACCAAAUAUAGCAUUAAUGGGGUAUUUGUAAUUUCAUCUUCUCAAAUAUUUUUUUACCACUUUUAGGAGGUUUUGGCAGCAAGCUUUAAGAUGGUGGGCUGGAGCAGUGAUCUUCUCUUAAAGCAAGCAGCAUGUGACGACAGGUGGCAUCGGAUACUUUUCUUGAAGCAACCCGCAUGUGACAGGUGGUAUGGGAUUCAGAGGCCGUUGGGAGUAAGCUUGGGCAGUAAGAAAUCUGAGCCGGAGGGUGAGAAAAACAGAGAGGAGCGGAUGCAUUGUUUUUUUUACAGAGAACAGGGUGAGAGGUAAGGAUUCUGGACAGAAAACCAUGGUAAGCUGAGCUUAGACCAUGGGUGAGCUGUAAGAGUGAGAGAGAACGGAGGAGAAGGGUUUUCUAGAGAGAGCUAAAACAGAGGAAGAAAAAUGAAGUGAGAGCAAGGAGGAGAGAGUGAGCUGGGGAAGACAUCUGAAACAAGAGGAGCUAUAGGGAGGUGAUUUUGAGCUGAGCAGGGGAGUGAGUUGGAUUUUGAGAGGGUUUGAGGCUGUGAAAAUGAGCUGAACAGUGAGAGGGGCAGAGGAGAGAAAGGGAGUGGGUUUGCUGCGGUUUUGAUGUAAGCUUAGGAGAAGAAGCAGAGCAGCUUGAAGCCCAGUUAGUUCCGCUGGAGGGGAGCAUUUCCAGGUACGUUUGCUAGACCACGUAUUGAUUGCAGUUGAUUUUCUUUGGGUUGCUGUGACUGUGUUAUAAUAAAUCCAUGCUUGGUUCUUUAUGUGAAAUUUGUUUAAGAGUGAUCUAGCUCAUUUUUAGCUUUCCUUUGAGCGUCCGAGUCAUAUUUUCGAUCUUAUUUUCUCCUGGUUUUUCCCACCCACACAUAAGCCCAUCGACUUCAAUAUGAGAAGGGGCUCGGUUUAAUGUCUUCUUUGGCUCAUUUGAUGCUCUGUUUUUCCCUGAAAAUUUACCAUGAGUGGGUUCUACAUUUCAUGUGCACCAAAAAGGUGCUUAUGUUUUUCUCUAGUUUCUGAGUUUCUGAGCGCCCAAACAGUAAAAAUGCAGAAUUAGUUCUAUCGUUUUUGGUGUUUUUUUCACUUUAUUCAUGAAAUUUCUGAUUGUAUAUUGAAAUUGUAUAUUAUUACAUUGUUUUUGGUUGGAUGCUUCCUUUAAAUGCUUGAAAUCUUCAUUUUUUUUAUUGCCCGGAAUGGAAUUUUUGGUCAUAUUUGAUGAUAUAUGAGUGCAUAACAAAUGUUUGCAUGUCCAAAUUUACAAUAUUUUAUAAAUUUACACCUGCAACUUAGGUUGUGCCUCAUUUUUCUUUGGUGCUCCUUGGGUGUUGUCCCUUGCAGUUUAGUCACUAGGAGUCUUCUGCACCUUGUGCCUUUCAUAUUUCAUUGCAAUCCUAUUUAGGGAAAAUAACACUAACUUGCCUUGAGGUUUGUUGUUAGAAUUAUAGUGACCUCCCCUCACAUUUGAAAAAAGAUGCUAUUCUCACUCAAGGUUUGAUAUAACUAAAGCAGUGAUAAACACAACAGACAUGUAAUGUGGUCCGGUUCCUUUUUUACAAUCGUAAUUCUCAGAGGAUUUCUUCACCAAUGAGGGGUUUUUCUUUGAUUAUGUAGGAGUUUAGCUUUAAGUAUUCCUACAGUGGAUGAGUCUUUUUAAUUGGUCUUGUGGCUGAGAUAUGCAUCUGUUAUUUCCUUAGAUUACUUUUUCCAUUCGGUUGAUUGGGAGGAACGUUUCCAAAUGUGUCCUAGUGCAUUUUUCUUAGACCACUUUCUGAUCAUUUCUUUUUACUGUGGUGGGGCUAGGAUUUGGAGAUGGAGAUGUUCUUUCAGGUUGGAGAACAUGAGGCUUCGAGUGCAUACAGUGCAUGAGUUUGGAGUUGUUAAAAAUUGGUAGUUUACCUAUCAGUUUACGGGUCUCUCCAGUUUUGUCCUUUGCUAGAAAGUUGAAGGCUCUGAAAGAUGAUCUGAAACAUGGACUAGAGAGGUAUUUGACACUGUUCCCUUUCAUAAAGUUUGUGUCUUGGAGUGAAUUAGCUUUUAGGAUUGUAAGGGUGGGUAUAAGCUUUAUUUGGAUGAUAACCACUUAGCAGUGUGGGAAGAGAGGUCUGAGUGAUGGAAGUCAAGAGGUGUUCUGUGCAUGCUAUUCAUUAACAUGCACAUUUGUCCCAACCACUAAAACAUAUUAAACUACAUGUUCAAUAUCCACUUCUACCCAAUGCUGAAACCUGUGUUCCAACACAAGUAGCCCUGUACUCUGUUCACAGUCCAUGGCUAUGCCUGAUCAAGGGACGUUGGUGUCUUUUUGUGCCAAAAUGUUUUGACAUCGUGAAAUUCAUAAUCAUUAUUUCAAAGUUAAAAAUAUAAUUAUAAAAAAUUAAUGAAGGAAACAAAAUAUUUUGUAGUUAUACUUGAUUGUACUUGAGAUGCAAACCAUCAAGACCAAAUGACUCUUAUAUUAAAAUAUGUGGACAUUUGAACAGCUCUUCUACACGUAGAUUAAUAUUUUUAGAAUUUUUAAAAGUUGAUGAUGCAUAUACUAAGUGGUUGUCAUAACCUCAAUCUGAUUUUUUUUUUUUUUUUGAUUAAGUAAUAAGAUUUAUAUAAUAAUAAUAUUAAAAGUAAAAGAAUAUUUUCAGAAUUUUUAAAAGUUGAUGCAUAUACCAAGGGAUUGUCAUAAACUCAAUCUGAAAAAUAAAUAAACAAAUUUUAGAUUAAAUUAUAUUUGCAUAAGUAAUAAGAGGUCUUAUUUAUAUCUUCAUUUAUUUAUUUAUUGCCUUAGGCCACAUUUCUUGUUGAGCCUCCCUUUGUGUCUUUUGUUUUGUUUUCUUCCCUCCCCUGCCCCCUUUUUUAAGCAUUUGAUCCCCAUUAUCGUUCAUCUAAGUUAUUGUUUUGAAUUUGAAUUCUUUUUUUUUUCAAUUGAUAUUCUGACUUCAAUGUUGUUGGUACCAGAAGGAUGGCCUUAGAAGCAGCAGCAGUGGAAGCAGCAGUGACUGAUGUAUAUAGAGAUGGGCGAAGCUUAUUAAGUUGGUAUGGUCGUAAAUUUGGUUAUUGGAAGAAUCUAAAAAGAAACAAUGAAGAUUUAAUGCAGAAAGCUAGAGAGCUUUGGGAACUGAGAAAUGGCAUAAGGGAAGGAAUAAGCCAAAAUAGAAUCAGGCCAGACACAACAGCAUGGCUGAGAUGAAUGAAAGUGAAGCGAUAGAACUAGACACCAAAUACAAUGAUAGAAAAAACCACCCAUGGAAAUUGUUUCGUUUUUGGAAGGGUGCUAGUCUUAGCAAAGACAUGGCUGAGAAGUGCAAGCAAGUUCUUAGUCUUUGGGAAGAGGGAAAACGUAAAAGAGGAGUGUUGGAUGCGGAGCUGCCAAAGCGUGUCG
rnacentral:lncRNA from 1 species